GAAGGUUGCCCGAAGAAAAUUAACAAAAUAAACAUGGUACGUGAGCUAGUGUUCAGUAGUCACCUUUGGCAUCAUGCCUGUGACAUCCGCCGCAGAUGAGGUAUGCGGAAGAUGUUUUAUUCAGGAACGGCAUCACUCUCUUCAUUCGAGACAGCUUGAUCUGAAGACACAGGUGCGUGAACCGCGUCCCUCCCUUCAUUAGAGCCAGCUUGAUCUGAAGAUGCAGGUGCGUGAACCGCGUCACUCCCUUCAUUAGAGACAGCUUGAUCUGAAGAUGCAGGUGCGUGAACCGCGUCACUCCCUUCAUUAGAGACAGCUUGAUCCCAAGAUACAGGUGUGUUCCCUACAUCUACACUUGUAGCAGCAGCCUUAGGAACAUUUCCCCCCUCUUCUUGGCUACCAGCAUCAACAUCCAUGCUACAAUUGGUAUUGUCCUGGUCAUCUAAUUUGGAUGAAUCAACCUUGUCAAUGGCGCCCUCGUUCAUGGUAACGCUGUCCCCACUAUGAGCAUUAGAAGUAGUCUGUCCAACUGAAGCCCCAUCGUUAUCCACUUGAGUGUCAGGCAAUGGAGGAAUAGGACCUACAAGGUCUCCAUCUACAUCUGCAUUGUCCAUGUCCAUCUGAUCCCCCUUGAUUUCUUUGCUUCCUGCAGCUUCUUCAUCAGUAACCAUAUUCGUCUGUCCUGAUUCCUCUUCAAUGUCAUGAUUCUUCCUCUCAUUUUCUUCCUCAGCAGCACGAUUUUGAGCUGCAGCUUCCUCCUCCUUAGCACGGGUUUCUGCCUCUAUUGCCGCUUCCUUAGCACGGUUUUCUGCCUCUAUUGCCUCCUCCUUAGCACGGUUUUCUGCCUCUAUUGCCUCUUCCUUAGCACGGUUUUCUGCCUCUAUUGUCUCUGCCUGUAGCCUAAGUAGCCUCUUGUGCUCCUCAAGUUGUUCAUGGAUGCUCUGGUAUCCAGACAGCAGAUCACCAUAGCGGCUCUGGAGAGUCCGUUCUAAUGCUUUCUGUUUAUUCACUUCAUCAGACAAAUUUUUCACACGAUAGGCAGCAGCCAUCUGUUCUUGUUUCUGCAACUCUUGGAAGCAUUCAAGUUCUGUGGCUGCAGUGUUCAUCUGCUUGAAGGUGUCCUGGAUCUGUGACCCCAAUUUUGCAGCCCGAGCCUAACAAAUCAAAUAACAAGUGGAACAAACCAUCAGCACUGCAAAUCGACAUGGAAAACCUAGAAACAAAAUGAAAACAAUAUCAUACAAUAUUGUUUCAGUAGAACUAAUCCAGUAUGUAUCAAAUGAAAAGCAAUAGAACUAAUCCAGUAUGUAUCAAAUGAAAAGCAAAAUAAGAAGUGAUCACUAAACUGUUGCAUUUCUUUGCAAAUUAUGCAAGUUUGGUUUGGGGCAACUGGAUAAUCUUUCAAAUUAUGGGUUAGCUUACACAUGGUGCAUUUUUAAAUGACACCAAACAUCAAUGGGGCAGAGAUGUUAGAGAGGUGCCCUUGGUGCCCUUACACAGACUAGAGAGAAACAUUUAGCAUAGCUAGACUGUAUAAAAUGCUGUCUGGAAAAAAGUUAAAACUAAUAUAGGCAUACCACAAAGAUGAUGCAUCAUCCUCAACUAACCUGGUAUCCUUGUGUCAGCAGUUUGAUCUUCUGCUCAAGCCGAGAAGCUUUCUUUGCCUCAUCAUCCAUUCUCUUCUUUACCAUUUCAAACUCAUGUUGCAAAGCAGAAAUUUUAUCAGCAUUUCCAGCAACACUAGCAAGACCAUAGCUGUUGUUAGUAGGGAAAAACAUAAGGUCCUCCUGGCAUGCAUCAUGUGACUUUACAAAAUCCUCAAAAGAUUCAUUUUCAUGGCCCAUGGCCACACGAAGAUACUGAAUCUCCUCCUCAACCAUAGAACUUGCCUGUCAACAAAUAAAUAUGUGAUUUUAAAAACUUCUUCAUCAUUACGAUUAGACUAAAGCGGGCAAACAGGACUGGCACAAAGAACUAUAAAAAACCGUAAAUAAGAUUUAGCAAGAAAUCAAAUCCAUAUACGGUUAAAGAAAACCACCCACUCACAAGUCAUAACACACAGCCUUCUAUUGAAAGGCAAAAAUCUCCAUUCACAGAUGGUAUGCUAGACAACAACCCACUUAGUCAGGCUAAACAAAAAGGACAGAUGGCUAUAAGUGAUUACUAAAUUGAAGAAGUGUUUCAGUAAUUCAAUAUAUGUGUAUCUGAGUUCUUAUGCAGAAAGAAUACACAUCUCAAACUUUGUCAAUACUAUUGUGAAGAAAUACUGCACAGUUCUCUACAUGGUGUGUGCCCAUGUGCAUAACAUAACAAUUCUAACUAACACAUUACUUGUAGAUGGUAACAUCCUUUACACUCCGGAGGGACAUAUUUUCAAACUGGAGAAUCCAUAUAUUUUUAUCUUGAUUGAAUUCUUGAUAUUUCAGACUUCCAACCACGGUUUUCAAAUUCUUUUCAACUUUCAAUCCCCGAGAGAGGUUGUUUUUCAAGCAAUCUUGUGCACUCAUUGUCUAUCCAUGACAAUGUCACAUCUAAGUGAUGCAUGCUUAACCUGAUUAGUGGCCUCUUGGAUUUUUGAGCAUUCAUUCAUUUUCCAGAAACACGAGUAUCCUAAAAAAUGGGGUAAGCACUGCAUAAAACCUAGCACAAUUCUUCAAUGAAUCCUACAGCAAAACAGUUAUCUUGUGAGUGAUGUGCUGUAUACAGCUCCCACUAUACAAAAUAAACAUGCUUUCCUUCCCUUGCCAUCUCCAGGAUAGCACUCAAUGCCAAUGGAUUAGCUAUAAAAGUAAUUGGCUAUCAGAAGUAAGAUCAUAAAGGUUGGUACAGGAAUAGUUUAGACCUGCUGCUCACAUACAGGCGCUAUAUUCCAUAUUACUGUGUUACUCACUUGUGUAUAUACAAUUAUGAAACCACAGCAAGUAAUUAUUGAUGUGCCUAAUACUACAUGAAAUCGGAAUAUAUGUUAUCAUGUAAAUUGAAUAUACAGUUCAACAUCAAAUACCAAUAAUAAAAAAGGAACAGAAAAGAAGUAUACCUCUUUUAGUUCAUGCUCAUCAAAACCUUCGAUUUCAGGGACGAAAGCUGCCCCAUUUGCCUGACGCUUGCUGCCUUUCUUUUUCUCUCUUUGAGUUUGUUCAUCAAGAGGAUAUUUAGCAUUAUCAUGCUCAAGGAGCCUAAGGAGUUCCUCAUUUAUUAGCUCGUCAGCUUGUUCAAGUGAUGUAGGAGGCACAAAGGUACUUCUGGUUUCACCACCUUUAAUCAGAGAUUGCCGGAGAAUCUCCACUGAAGCAGCAGGUGGCCUAGGCAAACUCCUCUGCAACACUUUGGACCUCUUUCUGAGCAAUGCCUCCUGCCUUGCUUGUUCCUCAGCCCUUUCUCGUGCUAACCUGUCUGACAUAUCCUCUUCAAUUCUCUCUUCUGCUUCUUCCUUCUCCUCUGUGAUAGGUGGCAUAACUAUCUGGUACUCAUUCUUAGGCUGUGGAAUAGAAGCAAAACCAGACCGCAAACCUCUUCUCAGCUCGGCUUGCCUACGAAGCUCAAGCUGAGCGCUGUCUUGCAUUUCCACCUCUUCAUUUAUGUGAAGCUCAUCCCUGAAAGGGGUUCCUUUUGGAGUUAACCCAAAGGCAUUUCCAUCUCUGGAUGGUGUCAAACCAAUCCUUGGGGUAACACCAGGGCCAGGGCUAGCCAGAGGCGUCGCCAUGGGAUUUGGAGUCUGUAUCUCUUUCUUACGUGGUGUAACGCCUGAGAAAUCUGAUGGGUGAAGCUCUGGGUUAUCGCCUCCUAAAAGAGGUGUUUGUGAUUCCCUUAAACGUGCAAGAUUCUCUGCCUCCAUCAUAAUAGCGUCACCUUUCCCACCUGGCGUUCGUUGCGGCGUUCGCAAUGGUGUCAUACCAAGCCUUGGAGUCUGGGAAUAAUUUGCAAGCAGUGUCCUAGUGGCAGUACUUCCUUCACCAAGCUCCUCGGCUAGAGCAGGAUCACCGGCAUUGCCCAUCUUUGCAAUCUCCUCCAAUUCAUGGUCGGAAAUUUGGGGUGGUGGAAGCAUUAGUUUGGACCUUCUUGUGACAGCUUCUGGGUCAUUGAGUUUAUUUGCUUGCAUUAUUGCGGCAGGGGCAUCCUGCCUCUGCAGAAUCUUGUUCUUGGCAAUGUCUUGCUUUCUUAAUUGAGCCUCUACAUCCACUCUUCUCCUCCCUUCAAGCUCCUCAAUGGUAGUUGGAAACUGCACAUGCUCAAGUGGCCUGUCCUCGCCCACUGUAUCAUAAAAACCUGGAGGGGGUCUCUUUUCAAAAGGGAUCUCGGCAUUAUAGUCAAUUCCCUUUCUCUUUCUUUUUUUGUGCCGGUUGUCAAUACCAGCUGCCUUCAGUUCUCUCCUUUUUUGCAGUGAUGCAAGCCGCCUCGCCUCUUCAAGCUGUUUCUCUCUUGCCUUCCGUUUUGCCUUUUUACCCCUGGUGUUAGCUAAGCGAGCCCUUGCCUCAGAAAGCAUUUCCUUUUCAUCUUCGUCCAUGUCAACAGGAUCUGGACGUGCAGGUUUUGACUCAGGGUUUGGAUCUAUCUCCCCAGGUCGCAACUUUCUUGGGUCAUCGUUAGGCUCAUAAUUCUCAUCCUUUGCACAGGCAGCAUCAAGCAAUUUUUCAUAACGCUCGAGGCACUGGGAUGGUGUUCGACCCACAAUAGGUGCAAUAGUCCUCCAUUGAGUAGGCAUGAGCUUAGCAAGAUGAAGCAGCUUCUCAUCCUCUUCCCUUGUCCACUCAGUCUGGGGUUAAUGGGCACUGGUUAGUUAAGUAACGUAAAUGACAGAACCUCUAUAUUAUUCGACAGACAACUGAAAACUGAAAAUGGGGCAGACCUAUGUCAUAAUAGAGCAGAUAUAACCAAUUAAAAGAAACAUUAAGCAUCAUAUGACAGGUAAAGAUUGACGGUUAUUUUGAACAAGUUAAUUUGAUUAGAAUGUGAAUCACACAGACUGAAAAUAUAGUUUAGUCAAGUUAGCUUGGUUUUUAUUAGACACUUAAGUUUUAGAGUUAGAUGACAACGCUAAUGAAGCAUUAAGAAUCAAAUUUAGAGUUCUCAACAAAGAUUUAUUAACAUCUUUCCUAUAACUUUAACAAGCUAGGUCCAUAUUUCAACGAUAUCACAGAGAAUGUGUUAAGAGCAUAACAUCAUGCAAGCCAUAAUAGUCAUGACCAAAAAAUAAGUAUACGAUGGCAACACAGAUAUGACAUAUUGUGUUCAUUAUAUUACCCUCGCUAACAAGAAUAUUACAAUGCACAAAGACAAUUAGUCAGUUCCAUUGGUAGAAGUUGACCAUCCAAUAACGUAUGUACAAUCAGUGCAUAGGAUUCUAGCAUGGUAUAGUAUGAAGAGAGAAUAACAUAACCUCAAAACCAAUAUGUGUGUUGAAAUAUGAGCACUUCAAAAACAUGUGGAGCAAUUUACAACAAAAAAUGUAAACUAGAUAAUGUAAACCAAAUGGCAAUUCGUCAAAACUGUACACAGUGUAGCAUUUUCAAAACACCACAUGAUAACCACGGAUCCUCUAGUUUGUACUCACUCCGCGUCACAAUUACAGAUCCUCUAUAUAAUCCUUUCAUAGCAGCAUCUAGUUGCAGUUCACUCGCUAACAAAGUACUAGCCAUCUAAAAAAAUCUNNNNNNNNNNNNNNNNNNNNNNNNNNNNNNNNNNNNNNNNNNNNNNNNNNNNNNNNNNNNNNNNNNNNNNNNNNNNNNNNNNNNNNNNNNNNNNNNNNNNNNNNNNNNNNNNNNNNNNNNNNNNNNNNNNNNNNNNNNNNNNNNNNNNNNNNNNNNNNNNNNNNNNNNNNNNNNNNNNNNNNNNNNNNNNNNNNNNNNNNNNNNNNNNNNNNNNNNNNNNNNNNNNNNNNNNNNNNNNNNNNNNNNNNNNNNNNNNNNNNNNNNNNNNNNNNNNNNNNNNNNNNNNNNNNNNNNNNNNNNNNNNNNNNNNNNNNNNNNNNNNNNNNNNNNNNNNNNNNNNNNNNNNNNNNNNNNNNNNNNNNNNNNNNNNNNNNNNNNNNNNNNNNNNNNNNNNNNNNNNNNNNNNNNNNNNNNNNNNNNNNNNNNNNNNNNNNNNNNNNNNNNNNNNNNNNNNNNNNNNNNNNNNNNNNNNNNNNNNNNNNNNNNNNNNNNNNNNGAGACCGGGGCGACGGGGUGGUGCGGCGAGGAGGGGAUUGGAGGAGCGGGGCCGCGGGGGAGGGCGGGAAAGUGGGCGACGGGGAGGGCCAAGCCGGCGGCGGAGGGCAGUGGCGGCGCUCCUCUCACGGGACGGAUUGGUUCGGGCUCGGGAGGCGGGACUUGUCCUGGUGAGGUAAACCCGAUGACGUGGCAUGUAACGCUCAGUCAAAACCAGUCAACCGCUGGAAAGAGUUUCUCUAGAGCAACCCUACCACACCCCGCAUCCCGUCGACCCGAAAAACACGUUUGCAGGUCGUGCUAAACUGCUUAUGCGGGCUGGCCUGGGCUGUCACAUAUGCAGAUCCCACAAACGGAUCCGUAAAAAAUAUAUUUGUGGAAUAUUCUUUUUUACGGGUCGACUUUGAAGGGUCCGUUCUUUGCACCGCUGCUUCCCGUAUCAUUAGACCGUAAAUAUCAAAUACAACAUAAUUCAACGGCCGAAAACAAACUGAAUUAUUCCAAUCAAACACAAUACAAUAAUCAUCCGCAUUACAAAUAAUUAUUCAAAACUUGUCAUGAAUACAAAUACAAAUGAAUACAAAAAUAAGUCGUUGUCUAGCCCUUUGCCAAUAGUGUUCAAUGAGAUACUUCUGAAGUUGAAAGUGGGUGUCUGGGUUUUCAAUCUCCUUGUAUGUCUGAAGAAAAGCUCUAAUGCGGUUUGGGUCUCUAGCUGGUUUGACACGGCUACCCACAUUGUCGUAAAAGAAUUCUAAGUUCAAUCCUCUCUCAUCUUCAAGAAUCAUAUUGUGCGGGAUAACACAGCGUGUCAUGAUGUUCUUCAAGGUUCUCUUAUCCCAAAAACGAGCAGGACCAUGCACAAUGGCAAACCUAGAUUGCAAAACACCGAAUGCUCUUUCAAUGUCUUUGCGGGCUGCCUCUUGCACCUUUGCAAAUUCAUAUUUUUUUUGUUUUGGGUUCUUUGAUGCUCUUGACAAAUGUGCACCAAGGAGGGUAUAUACCAUCUGCAAGAUAGUACCCCUUUGUGUAUUCAUGUCCAUUAAUAGCGUAGUUGCAAGCAGGAGCAUCAUCACUAGCAAGCCUAGCAAACAAAUGCGACCGUUACAACACAUUGAUAUCAUUGAGAGUGCCCGGCAUACCAAAAAAGCAAUGUCAAAUCCAUAAAUCCUCGGAUGCUACGGCCUCUAGCACAAUUAUUGCAUCACGAGACUUGUCACAAUAUAUUCCUUGCCAAGCCUUGGGGCAAUUUUUCAAAUUCCAAUGCAUACAAUCAAUGCUAUCUAGCAUUCCAGGCCAACCUCUCCUCUCAUUAGAUGCCAUCAAUUUCUUUGUGUCAUCUUCAUUGGAUGCCCGAAGAUACUCAGGACCGAAGAGACGGAUGAUCACUUUUGCAAAUCUACGCACAUACUCAAUUGUGGUAUCUUCACCAAUGCGAAUGUACACAUCGGCAUAGUUAACCGGAACGCCAUAUGCAAUCACCCGCAUAGCUGCGGAGAUUUUUUGAUAUGCACUAAAUCCCUUUAAGCCUGCGACAUUCCUUCUUUGAGUAAAAUACCGGCAAUUUUCCUCGCAAGCUUGAACAAUUUUCACAAAGAGGGAUCAGCGCAUUCGGUACCUUCUCCGGAAGAGGUGUGGAGGAUAUGUAGGAUUCUCCGCGAAAUAGUCUUGCAUCAACAUCUCGUUCCCAAGAUGGCGAUUCCGAGGAAUGCACAAACGCUCGACAGUCGAUCCUCGCCUCUUCUUAUGGUUCUCGUCUUCAUUCUCCUUCACGGCAAGCGUCAUGACUAAUGUUUGCUGACGAAAGGUCGCAAGCAUGGUCUCAACAUCCGAGCCGUCCGAAUCGGACGAAUCGGAUAGCAGGAACUUCUCACAUGGGGUCAACUCCAUCUUCUCGGGUAGUUGGCGGGAGGAUAGUAGGAACCACAAAAAAGGUACUAACCGGCGGCGGCGAUGAGGCGGUGGUCGAUCCCGGGCGGCGACGGCUAGAGGGGGCUCUUCUCGCCGGAUCCGGAGGGGCGGUGCAGCGGCUCGCCUGCAGAUAUGGCCGGAAUCGCCACCAGCAGGCGGGAGGAAGCAAGGGCGGGGCGGCGGCGGCGGAAGGGAGGGGAAAAUAGCGCGGGCUGAAAUGUCCCUCCCGCCAACUGCCUCUCUGUUAUGCAGGGCACCGCAGCCGUGAGGGGGAAACCCGCGUUUUCCCAGGUUGGGGUCGGGAAUUUGCCGCGCCCCCUGAAAAUUUUUGCGAGCCGGGGCGGGAUGCGGGGUCUGAUCGGGCAGGCUUUUCCACCCCGACCCGCAUUUUGGCGGUUAUUUUGCGGGUCGAGGGCGGAUGCGGGGUCUGCUAGAGUUGCUCUUAGAACCGAAAUCUCAUCGAGUGAAUGUUUUACGGAAAUACUAACUGACGAACGUUUCCUCUGUGGAAGGUAGAUGGCAAGCGAAUGCAUUUUCAUGACCGUUUUGGUUACGGCGCGAGAUUAAACGAUGACAGUUUUAGAAAAAAUGCCUUCUUUGAAAGAAAAAAGAAAACAAUUAAAAACAACCAACUGAUUCUCUCUCCCUUAAACCGUCGCCUCCGUACGCCAUGUGCCCUCAUGGAUUCAUCCACCGCUCACUCUCGUCCCACCUUAUCUCUUCCCCUCCACUCGUUUCUCCCUUUCCCUUUUCAUUGUUCUCUUAUUCGUCAGCUGUUAGAUGAGACACUGGAGGGAAAUCAGGAGGACUGUCGACGGAGUUGAGGAAUCGAGUGCAGGAUCGUCGUGCAGUCGCAGUCCCGAUAUCCCACACGUGUUGCUGCCCUAACAAUUGAAAAUCGGGGAUCAUCUGCCAUUGUUGUAGGAGAGGAGAGCCGCACAACGCUGACCACCCUGUUGUCGUGAGUUGCAGGGCAGCCAUCGCUGCUGAUAAGGGCUCGUCGUAUCGCCGCUCGAGGGUGUGGCGCUGCCGCAAAAGGAGAUGUCGCAGCACCCGUGAAGUUGCAAAGUGGCAACGGUCCGCUUGAGGAUGAGGCGUUGCAGCUCUCGUCGUGCUACAAUGGAGUACUCACCGGCGGCAUGCAAUGCUGGUCGGUGUUGCCGAAGCUGCAGUGCAACGGUCACAAUGCUGCAAUGGAGCGCUCGCGUGAGUAGUCGGUGCUGCGGCGAGGCUGUUGCGUUGCAACAGUUGCGACUCUACAGGGAGAAACGGGUGCUUCGAUGCAGCUUUGUCGGUGGUUGUUUGUGCUGCGGCGCAACGUUGUCGGAGCUCCGAUGGGCGCUCAUGAUGAUGCAUGGACGAUGUUGGUGCUUCGAUGCAGCGCUCAUCGACGACUAUCGUGCUGCAAUGCAAUGCUCAUCGGUGGCUGUUGGAAGGUAAGACAGGGGUGUGGCAGGUGAACCUACUGAUGAGCAUUAGUGAUGGAUAUGACCCCUACCACGAAGCAGAGGCUGGGAGGCAGGCGACGACCAGAGGAGAAAUAAGCAGGACAUGUUGACACGGUUUUGCAUUGACCGAUCCAGCUGCUACGCGGGACGGCUCCAACGGCUUUCGACCCGACUGAUUUUCUCUAGAAAUGAGCCGGAUGAUCCCUAGCAGUGGCCAUGUAUUCCUAUAAAGAUAUUGUCAUGACAUUCUUUUUUUCGGAAUGAAAAGGAGUUUAUUCUAAUAUUAUAGGGUUACAAUCACGAGUCAAAUGCUCCUCACAAAACAGAGGACUCAUGUUCAACCAUACCGCAGGGCAACACUCGAUACGGCUAUAAUGUGUGAGAAGAUGUGCUACCCUAUUUUGCUCUCUACCAAUUUUACAAGGAACAAACUCACUAACAACUAUGUGAUUUUUAAUGUUAGCAUCCAACUGACUAAAGAUUGAUCUCGAAAGACUGACGCCUGAGAGUACUGUCAAGGCAUUCGUAGAGUCGUGUUGGACGAUUACCGGCUUGUUUGAAUGCUCAAUGGUCAAUGCCAUACCUUGCAUGAUUGCGUGAAUUUCUGCAUCAAGUGCGUCAUUGCAAUGAAAGAUAUACUUGUAUGCAUCAAAGUUCGCGGAAUCAUCCUCAUUUCACAGAACCAUUCCAGCACAUGCACGCCCAUCAUGACUCGAAAAUGAGCCUCAAACAGAAAAGGCACACCAUCCAGCUGUUGGAAAUAUGCCCUAGAGGCAAUGAUAAAAUAGUUAUUAUUAUAUUUCCUGUUUCAAGAUAAUCGUUUAUUAUCCAUGCUAUAAUUGUAUUGAAUGAAAGCAUAAAUGCAUGUGUGGAUAUAUAGACAAAACAAAGUCCCUAGUAAGCCUCCAGUUGACUAGCCAGUUGAUCAAGGAUGGUUAAGGUUUUCUGACCAUAUGCAAGUGUUGUCACUUGAUGACUGGAUCACAUCAUUAGGAGAAUGAUGUGAUGGACAAGACCCAAACUAUAAACGUAGCAUGUGAUCGUGUCAUUUUGUUUCUAUUUUUUCUGCGUGUCAAGUAUUCAUUCCUAUGACCAUGAGAUCAUGUAACUCACUGACACCGAAGGAAUACCUUGUGUGUAUCAAACGUCGCAAUGUUACUAGGUGACUAUAAAGAUGCUCUACACGUAUCUCCGAAGGUGUCCAUUGAGUUAGCGUGGAUCAAGACUGGGAUUUGUCACUCCGUGUGACGGAGAGGUAUCUCGGGGCCCACUCGGUAAUACAACAUCACAUAUAAGCCUUGCAAGCAAUGUGACUAAAGUGUUAGUCACGGGAUCUUGUAUUAUGGAACGAGUAAAGAGACUUGCCGAUAACGAGAUUGAAAUAGGUAUAGGGAUACCGAUGAUCAAAUCUCGGGCAAGUAACACACCGAAGGGCAAAGGGAAUGGUAUACGGGAUUAUAUGAAUCCUUGGCACAAAGGUUCAACCGAUAAGAUCUUCGUAGAAUAUGUAGGAUCAAAUAUGGACAUCCAGGUCCCGCUAUUGGAUAUUGACCGGGGAGUGUCUCAGGUCAUGUCUGCAUAGUUCUCGAACCCGCAGGGUCUGCACACUUAAGGUUCAGUGACGUUUCGGUAUAGUUGAGUUAUAGGUGUUGGUGACCGAAGGUUGUUCGGAGUCCCGGAUGAGAUCACGGACAUCACGAGGAUUUCUGGAAUGGUCCGGAAACGAAGAUUGAUAUAUAGGAUUGUUUCAUUUGGCCUCCGGAAAGAUUUCAGGCAUUACCGGCAGUGUACCGGGAGUGACGAAUGGGUUCCGGGUUUUUACCGGGAGGGAGCCACCCACCCGGGAGAGAACCCAACAUCACAUGGGUGGCGCACCAGCCUUUGGUGGGCUGGUGAGGCCAGCCCAAUGGGUCUAUGUCGGCUAGAAGAAAAAUCAAAGGAGAAAAAGAAAAAAAAUGAGGUGGGAAGGAAGGAGGGGACUCCUCCUUCCCCAAACUGAAUUGGAGUUGGAGUCCCCUCCUCCUCCACUCGACCGACGCCCUAGGGGCUCUCUUGAGCCCCAAGGCUAGUCCCCCCCUCCUGUAUAUAUUAGAGGUUUAGGAUUUUUGGUGACACAACUUUAGCCAUGUGCAACUGUAAACCUCUACUUCGUAGUUCUUCCUCUAGAUCGGUUUUCUAUGGAGCUCGGGCGGAGCCUUGCAGGAAUAGAUCAUCACCAUUACCGGGGCGCCAUCACACUGUCGUGGAACUCAUCUACUUCACCGUCUCUCUUGCUGGACCAAGAAGGCGGAGAUCGUCAUCGAGCUGUACGUGUGCUGAACGCGGAGGUGCCGUCCGUAAGGCGCUAGAUUAGAACGGAUCGUGGGACGACGGUGAUUUGAAUCACGAAGCUGUUCCACUACAUCAACCGCGUUUCUUAACGCUUCCCACUUAGCGAUCUACAAGGGUAUGUGGAUCCGAUCUCCCUCUCGUAGAUGAACAUCACCAUGAUCGGUCUUCGUGGGCGUAGGAAUUUUUUUGUUUCCCAUGCAACGUUCCCCAACAGUGGCAUCAUGAGCUAGGUUCAUGCGUAGAUGUAAUCUCGAGUAGAACACAAAAGUUUUUGUGGGCGUUGAUGUUCGAUUUGCUGCCCUCCUUAGUAUUUUCUCGAUUCGGUGGUAUUGUUGGAUUGAAGCGGCCCGGACCAACAUUACUCGUACGCUUACGAGAGACCGGUCCCAUCGACUAACAUGCAAAUUGUUGCAUAAAGAUGACUGGCGGGUGUCUGUUUCUUCAACUUUAGUUGAAUUGGAUUUGACCGAGGCGGUCCUUGGAGAAAGGUUAAAUAGCAAUUUGCUCAUCUCCGUUGUGGUUUUGCGUAAGUAAGAUGCGAUCAUACUAGAUACCCAUAUCAGCCACGUAAACACAUGCAACAACAAAUUAGAGGACGUCUAACUUGUUUUUGCAGGGUAUGCAUGUGAUGUGAUGUGGCCAAAGACAUGAUGUAAUAUAUUGGAUGUAUGAGAUGAUCAUGUUGUGAUAGUUAAAUAUCGACUUGCACGUCGAUGCUACGGCAACCGGCAAGAGCCAUAGGUUUGUCUCUAAACUAACGUUUGUGUUCGCAGAUGCGUUUACUAUAUUGCUAGGUUGUAGCUUUAGUAGUAAUAGCAUAGUUAGCACGACAACCUCGAUGGCGGCACAAUGAUGGAGAUCAUGGUGUGGCGCCCGUGACGAUGAAGAUCAUGCUGGUGUUUGGUGAUGGAGAUCAAGAAACACAAGAUCAUGGCCAUAUCAUGUCACUUAUGAAUUGCAUGUGAUGUUAAUCCUUUUAUGCACCUUAUCUUGCUUAGAACGACGAUAGAAUUAUAAGGUGAUCCCUCACUAAAUUUCAAGAUAAAAUUAUGUUAUACCCGACUGUGCACCGUUGCGGCAGUUCGUCGUUUCGAGACACCGCGUGAUGAUCAGGCGUGAUAGACUCAAUAUUCACAUACAACGGGUGCAAAACAGUUGCACACGCGGAACACUCGGGUUAAACUUGACGAGCCUAGCAUGUGCAGACAUGGUCUCGGAACACAUGCGACCGAAAGGUCGAGCAUGAAUCAUAUACUCCAUCCGUUCCUAAAUAUAAGUCUUUUAAGAUAUUUCACUAGUAGUUUACAUACGGAGCAAAAUGAGUGAAUCUACACUCUAAAUUAUGUCUAUAUACAUCUGUAUGUAGUCCACUAAUAAAACUUCUUUAAAGACUUAUAUUUAGGAACGAAGGGAGUAGUUAAUAUGAUUAAUAUAGAGAUGUUUACCACUGAAACUACACUCAACUCACGUGAUGAUCGGACUUGAGUUAGUGAAUUUGGAUCAUGCCACACUCAAGUAACUAGAGGGAUGUCUAUUUGAGUGGGAGUUUAUUAGUAAUUUGAUUAGCUAAACUCUAAUUGUCUUCAACAUAGUCAAGUCCAUUUUGAAAUAUUUUAUGUUGUAGAUCAAUGGCUCACGGAGUAGCAACCGUGAAUUUCAAUACGUUCCUAGAGAAAGCUAAGCUGAAAGAUGAUGGUAGCAACUUUGUAGACUGGGCUCGUAAUCUAAGGCUCAUCCUACAAGCUGGGAAAAAGAAUUAUAUCCUUGAUGCAGCGCUAGGAGAUGAACCACCCGCUACGUCUGAUCAAGAUGUUUUGAAUGCUUGGCAAGCACGUAAGGAGGACUACCCAGUAGUUCAAUGUGUAGUCUUGUAUGGCUUAGAACCGGGACUCCAACGAUGCUUUGAACGUCAUGGAGCAUAUGAGAUGUUCCAGGAGUUAACGUUUAUCUUUUAGAAGAAUGCCCGGAUCGAGAGGUAUGAGACCUCCGAUAAAUUCUGAUCUUGCAAAAUGGAGGAGAAUUUGUCUGUCAGUGAACAUGUGCUCAAAAUGUCUGGGUACUCAAAUCGUCUAGCUGAGCUGGGAGUUGAACUUCCGCAAGAGGCUAUCACUGACAGAAUUCUUCAAUCACUGCCACCUAGCUACAAGAGCUUUGUGUUGAACUAUAACAUGCAAGGGAUGAACAAGUCACCCGCGAGUUAUUCGCGAUGCUGAAAGUCGCAGAGUCAGAACUCCGGAAAGAACAUCAAGUGUUGAUGGUCAAUAAGACCACUGGUUUCAAGAGAAACAGCAAAGACAAGAAGGGUAACUCUAAGAAGAGCGGCAAAAUUGUUGCCACUCCGACGAAGAAACCUAAGGCUGGACCUAAGCCGGAAACUGAGUGUUAUUAUUGCAAGGGGAUGGGUCACUCGAAGCGCAACUGACCAAGUAUUUUUUUGAUAAGAAGGCGGCCAACGCCAAACCAGGUAUAUGUGAUAUACAUGUUAUUGAUGUGUAUCUAACCAACUCUCAUAGUAGUGCCUCGGUAUUUGAUACCGGUUAUGUUGCUCAUAUUUGCAACUCGCCCAUGGGUGGCGCACCAGCCCUUGGUGGGCUAGUGAGGCCAGCCCAAUGGGGCUAUGUCGGCUAGAAGAAAAAUCAAAGGAGAAAAAAAGGAAGGUGGGAAGGAAGGAGGGGACUCCUCCUUCCCUAAACCGAAUUGGAGUUGGAGUCCCCUCCUCCUCCACUCGCCCGACGCCCUAGAGGCUCUCUUGAGCCCCAAGGCUAGCCCCUCCCCUCCUCCUAUAUAUACUAGAGGUUUUAGGGUUUUUGUGACACAACUUUAGCCACGUGCAACCCUAAACCUAUACUUCGUAGUUCUUCCUCUAGAUCGGUUUUCUGUGGAGCUCGGGCGGAGCCCUGCAGGAAUAGAUCAUCACCAUCACCGGCGCGCCGUCACUCUGACGGAGAACUCAUCUACUUCCCCGUCUCUUUUGCUGGAUCAAGAAGGCGGAGAUCGUCAUCGAGUUAAACGCGGAGGUGCCUUCCGUUCGACGCUACAUCGGAACGGAUCGUGGGACGACAGUGAUUUGAAUCACGAAGUUGUGCACUACAUCAAUCGCGUUUCUUAACGCUUCACGCUUAGCGAUCUACAAGGGUAUGUGGACCGAUCUCCCUCUCAUAGAUGAACAUCAUCAUGAUAGGUCUUCGUGUGCGUAAUUUUUUUUGUUUCCCAUGCAACGUUCCCCAACACCAGCAGGUGGAUGAGGCCAUGGUACAAUAAGUAGCACACGUUUGUUGUGUACACAGCUUGGCCUUCCUCCAUCGUUGGCAUUUUUCCUUCUAUGAUUUCUUCCGUAUUGAACUUAGUUGCCAAGUUAAGCGACUUAUAAUAGAUGUUCAAAUAGUCAACUAUAACUUGAAUCGGGGUCUCACACUUCCCAUGUGUAAAAUCAUUCUGAAGUUGCCAAAUUCGUCAAAUGGUCAUGAUCACCAUGUCCUUGGUUUGUACCGAACAUUUAUACAAGAGUUGCAAGGGCCAAUCCUUCCCUCAUACUAUCCCUUACAACGAACAUUCACCAGCUAUCCAUUGUUGUGCAAGAAACUUAACUAAUACAUGGGGAGGUGUUCUUCGUCGAGGCAUUAUCGCUUCCCUACAACAUGCAAUUCAUGAAUAAGUCUCCACCAAAAACAAAGAGUUGAUGCUUUUUCCGCCCCAAUCACUUUGGCUCCUCAGUGUAAUGCUCGUCCUUUCAAAGUGUUGGAACACCGGGAAUGCAAAGGCAUUUCGUCAGCUUGAUAUCCAUUCAGACACAUUACUUCGACUUACGAUUUCAUAUUUGGACCUUUGGUCUCAUAGACUUUGUAAACAUGAGUUGAAAAUGCCUGAACUUCCAUGCCUCCGGUUCAUGUCGAAUAAGGAAAAAAAACAUUAUCCUACACGAAGGCAGCGAUUUUUCUUCACCCAUGAUUAAAAAGAAACAAUUCUCAUAUAUUUCUCCCGGAGCACUCUCCAACAUGAAAUUUCUCGCUUCGUCACCUUAAGUGUUUCUCUGGCCAGGAAUAAUUACACCUUUUAGGGCAUGAAUCCAACCACUAGUCCGGUUCGGUCCUAUUCCCUCAGUUCAUAAAUAUUUGUCUUUCUAGAGAUUCCACUACGGACUACAAAAGGAUGCAUAUAGACAUAAUUUAGAGUGUAAGUUCACUCAUUUUGCUCCGUAUGUAGUCCGUAGUUGAAUCUCUAAAAAGACAAAUAUUUAAGAACGGAGGGAGUACUUUCUAGGAAAAAAUCUGGUGCACCGACAAGCCAAAAAUCUACACCCUAUAUGAUGAUUUACACCAAUUCAUCUUUGACAUGGCUAGUAUAAAACCGCCCACAUAGCACUGCUGCUGAAACAAGAUCAAGCUCGCAUCAUAUACGUGUGUCGACCUAUAUCGUUCUGCCCUAUAAAAGCUUCAGCCAAACAGUGAUAAAUAGACUCAAACCUACAAUACCUUUCAUAUGUAUAGGGGCCGACAAAUGAGUAUCCUUUGAUGUUUGCAACUCCUGUGUCAGCGAUGAAGGAAACACCGAACGUUUAUUUUUUCCCAGCCCAGGAGAAUCGGUUUCCAGCAACAGCCCUGUCAAUUCUGUAUAGAUACCAAAGUUGGGUAGAGUUUUAUCAGAGACUUGCAAUGGAUAUCUUCUGAGCACCGAGAAGAUAUCUCCAUUUUGGCUGCUGACUAGCUCACAUUUUGACACUACGGUUAUCCUAUACUCAGUGUGUUCAUUGCAUCACUCGUAAGGACAGAAAACAUAUCCAUGGUGUUUUAAACUGGAAACCGCACGUUCUUCAAUCUUUUCAGUGUAGACAACGUGUGUUUCAGCCGCUCUGAACUGCAACCUGCGUUUCAGUGCGUUCUCGGCGUUUUUCUUGUUGUUGCUGUUCUAAUCACCUUCGAUUUCGUGCCGCCGAUCAUGGUAGUACCGGAAUUCAUACAUGUAGUAUUUGAGCAUGUCUAACAAUAUGUGAUUCUCUGAAGAACUCCACGCAUCAAAGGUACUGCGCUAAACUGAGUGACAAUAAUUAUGCACCACAGCACACAGUAUUUCUCAUUUCUUCAUCCAACAACUGAAUGAUAUCACAUAUUCUAUCUGACGGAUCAAGUUCCUGCCCGCCUGAUACAAACACCUUAGCAGCACCUUUCAGUUGGAUCCAGCUACAGCCAGGAGACUUCUUGACACCAUGCUCUGCCAUGGCUCUUCUCACCCCCUCCGCUUCCUUCCACUGCCCAGUGGCGCACAACAUGUUGGACAACAUCACAUACCCAGUGUCUCUCACAGGCUCCAUCGACACCAUGCCGCUCCCCACCUUCCUUCCGAUUCUUGUGUCCAGUUGCACCGAUGAGUAGGCACUAAGCAGAGACUCACGCAUAUCGCUGCUGUGCAUCUGAACCGUUUCAGAGUAUUGCUCCAGCACCUCAAUGGCUUUUGCGAUGUUCCCAGAUCUAGCAUACAUGUCGAGAACGCAAGCUAAAUGCUCCGGUGUUGGCUUCAGUCCAUGGACAGACACCAUCGACUCAAAGAAGGCUCUCCCUUGCUCCAGGAGGCCAGAAUGGCUGCAGGCUGUGAGCAAGCCUGUGAAUGUGACUUCGUCGGGGCAAACAUCCUGGGACAACAUCCUUUCAUACACUGCAAAUGCUUGCUUUGCCCAUCCAUUUAUUGCAAACCCGAACAACAUGGUGUUCCAUGACACUGUGUCCUUCUGAAGAACGGCAUGGAACACAUUGCUUGCCCCCUCGACGUCUCCGCACUUUGCAUACAUGUCCAUCAAACUGUUGGCCACGUACAAGUAGCAUGCAUAACCCGUUUGGAAUGCACAGCCAUGAAUCAUCCUUCCACUGGCCAUAGAUGCCGCAGCAGCGCAAGCAUGAAGCACAGCACCAAAGGUGAAGUCGUCAGGAUGGAUAUGCCCGUGUUCCAACAUCUUACUAAAUAGUGCAAGGGCCUCAUCCGCACAGCCAUUCCUCGCAAAACCUCCAAUCAUCGAAGUCCAGGAGAUGUCAUUGGUCUCAGGAGCACUUUGAAACAGAGCAGCAGCUUGUUCAAUGUGGCCAAGCCUUGUGUGUGCGUCGAUCAGUGAAUUCCAUGACACAACGGUUCUACUCUCCAUAGACUCGAAGAUCUUGACAGCACAAUCCAGCAAGCUGAACUUACUGUAGAAGGAAAUAAGCGAGUUAUUGACCUCAGGGAUGGCACUCCAGCCACUCUGAACCACAAUCUUGUGGACUGCAGCGCCGGUGGAUGGGCAGGGCAGCUCCGUGCAAGCAUCGAUCAGAAUGCAGAGCGUCGCAUCGUCGCAGGAAAGCCCCGACACCCGCAUCUCGUUGAACAGAAGCAGACACUGCUUGGCAUUGCCACAGCGGGAAUACCCCGUGAGCAGCGUGUUCCAGGCAACACUGCUAACGCUUCCAGCGGGCAUUUCGUCGAACAGCUCGCGCGCGAGCGCCAUGCGGCCCGAUGCGACGUAGCCGUGGAGGAGCGAGCACCAGGAGAGCGCGUUGCGGUCGCGCAUCUCCCGGAAGGCGCGCGCGGCGUCGUCGGCGCGGGCGCACCUGGCGUACAUGGCGACGAGCGCGUUGCCGACGGGGAGCGGCGCGCGCAGGCCGAGCCGGAGGAGGCGGGCGUGGAGCUGCGCGCCGGCGCCGGGCGAGCGGAGGGCGGCCGCCGCGGAGAGCGCGGCGGUGAGGGAGAAGGCGUCCGGACCGCGCAUGGCGGCGAAGAGGGCGAGNNNNNNNNNNNNNNNNNNNNNNNNNNNNNNNNNNNNNNNNNNNNNNNNNNNNNNNNNNNNNNNNNNNNNNNNNNNNNNNNNNNNNNNNNNNNNNNNNNNNACGCGGUUGAUGUAGUGGAACGUCCUCACGUCUCUCGAUCCGCCCCGCGAACAAUCCCGCGAUCAGUCCCACGAUCUAGUACCGAACGGACGGCCCCUCCGCGUUCAGCACACGUACAGCUCGACGAUGCUCUCGGCCUUCUUGAUCCAGCAAGAGAGACGGAGAGGUAGAAGAGUUCUCCGGCAGCGUGACGGCGCUCCGGAGGUUGGUGAUGACCUUGUCUCAGCAGGGCUCCGCCCGAGCUCCGCAGAAACACGAUCUAGAGGAAAAACUAUGGAGGUAUGUGGUCGGGCAGCCGUGAGAAAGUCGUCUCAAAUCUGCCCUAAAAGCCCCAUAUAUAUAGGAGGAGGGAGGGGGACCUUGCCUUGGGGUCCAAGGGAACCCCAAGGGGUCGGCCGAGCCAGGGGGGAGGACUCUCCCCCCCCCCCAAACCGAGUCCUACUUGGUUUGGUGGGAGGGAGUCCUUCCCCCUUCCCACUUCUUCCUCUUUUUUUUUCUUCCUUUGAUUUUUCUUCCUUGGCGCAUAGGAUUUGGUGGGCUGUCCCACCAGCCCACUAAGGGCUGGUGUGACCCCCACAAAUACCUAUGGGCUUCCCCGGAGUGGGUUGCCCCCCUCCGGUGAACUCCCGGAACCCAUUCGUCAUUCCCGGUACAUUCCCGGCAACUCCGAAAACCUUCCGGUAAUCAAAUGAGGUCAUCCUAUAUAUCAAUCUUCGUUUCCGGACCAUUCCGGAAACCCUCGUGACGUCCGUGAUCUCAUCCGGGUCUCCGAACAACAUUCCGUAACCAACCAUAUAACUCAAAUACGCAUAAAACAACGUCGAACCUUNNNNNNNNNNNNNNNNNNNNNNNNNNNNNNNNNNNNNNNNNNNNNNNNNNNNNNNNNNNNNNNNNNNNNNNNNNNNNNNNNNNNNNNNNNNNNNNNNNNNAAUAAUAACUAUACAUUUAUUAUUGCCUCUAGGGCAUAAUUCCAACAUAGAUGUCAUGCAAGUUUUUUUCCCUAAGCACGUAUGACUACAUACGGAAUACAUGCCUACAUUAGAUUGACGAAUGGGAGCUAGUUACUUCUCUCUCCGUGUUAUAACUGUUACAUGAUGAAUCACAUCUGACAUAAUCAUCCAUCACCGAUCCGAUGCCUACGAGUCUUUUACUACUGGUCCUUGCUACGUUACUCUGUUGCUACUGCUGUCACUGCUGCUACUGUUACUCCGUCACUACUGCUGUCACUGCUGCUACUGUUACUUUGUUGCUACUGAUUACAGUUGCUACUGCUGCUAUCAUACUACCUUGCUACUGAUACUUUGCUGCAGUUACUAAAUCUUUCAGGUGUGGUUGAAUUGACAACUCAACUGCUAAUACUUGAGAAUAUUCUUUCGCUUCCCCUUGAGCCGAAUCAAUAAAUUUGGGUUGAAUACUCUACCCUCGAAAACUGUUGCGAUCUCCUAUACUUGUGGGUUAUCAAGACCUUUUUCUGGCACUUUGCUGGGGAAGCACAUCUAUAUUCUCUGAGUCACUUGGGAUUUACGUCUGCUGGUCACUAUGAAGAAUCCGAUAGAUCCAAGAACUAAAGCCUUGCCCUCAACUACGAGGACAGGUAAAAAACUGCCAUCUAGCUCUGCACUUGAUUCACCUUCAGUUAUGAGUAAGUUUGCGACACCGCCCCCUGCUAGAAAUCUUGAUAUGUCGCAUGUGCUUGAUUUUGCUAGUUCUGCUGCCCAUGAUGCUUAUGAUGAUGCUAUGCUUGAUACUGCUUUGCCACUAGGUGCAUUCCUUGAUGUACAAAUUGCUAGAGUUGCUGCUAGAUGUGAUGAUACUUCUGAAACUGCUGAUACUAUUGAAGUAGAACCUGCUAUUUUGCCUGCUAGAACUAGCUCUUCUAGAAAUGAAUUGCCUGAUAUGUCUGAGCGUUAUGUUAUGGAGGGAGAGAUAGCUGAGGACUUUCUUGCGUGUAAGGAUAGCUAUGAUGUUGAUAAAUUACUGCUCAAGUGGAAAGAAAAAUGUAUGAACGCUAGGAUGAAAUAUGACCCGAAGUUUGCUACUUCGCCUAUCUUUGUUACCGAUAAGGAUUAUGAAUUCUCUGUCGACCCUGAGUUAAUCACUCUGGUCGAAUCUGAACCUUUUCACGGUUAUGAGUCUGAAACGGUUGUAGCCCAUCUUACCAAACUGCACAAUAUAGCCACCCUAUUCACGAGUGAGGAAAAGAUCCAUCACUACUAUAUCCUCAAGUUGUUUCCUUUCUCGCUAAAGGAUGAUGCUAAGACUUGGUUCACUUAUCUUUCUCCUGGUUGUGUGCGUAGCCCCCAGGAUAUGGUCUACUACUUCUUUGAAAAAUAUUUCCCUGCCCAUAAGAAGCAAGCUGCCUUGCAGGAAAUAUACAACUUUGCUCAAGCUGAAGAAGAGAGUCUCCCACAAGCUUGGGGGAGGCUCGUCCAACUACUGAAUGCUUUGCCUGAUCACCCUCUUGAUAAGAAUGAAAUAUUUGAUAUCUUCUAUAAUGGACUUACCGAUGCUUCCAGAGACCACCUAGAUACUUGUGUUGGUUGUGUUUUUAGGGAACGAACCGUAGAACAAGCUGAGAUCCUAUUGAAUAACAUCUUGUGCAAUGAGAAUGCUUGGACUAUUCCCGAACCACCUCCUAAGCCAACUCCGAAGAAAAGAGGUAUUCUAUUCCCCAGUCCUGAAGAUAUGCAAGAAGCUAAGAAAUCUAUGCGAGAGAAAGGCAUUAAAUCUGAAGAUGUCAAAAAUCUACCACCUAUCGAAGAGAUCCAUGGUCUUGAUAACCCGAUACAGGUAGUAGAAGUAAAUUCUCUGCGUAGGUUUGAUGAGAGUGAUAUUCCUUUUGAUAAACCUGCUAGCCUAUGCCUAGAUGAAUUUGAUAACUUUGUUGCCAAACAACAGAGUUUCAAUGAUUAUGUUAGCACACAAUUGGAACAAAAUGCUCGUAUGCUUAGUCAUUUAAGUGCUUGUGUGGACAAAAAUGUCAAUGAUCUUAAGCUCUUGAGUAAACAUGCCUCUAUGGUUACUACUCAGGUAGAACAAGUACUUAAGGCUCAUAAUGACUUGCUCAAUGAGUUGAAUGACAAUUAUGUUAGAGUCGUUACUAGAGGCGGUAGAAUGACUCAAGAACCUUUGUAUCCUGAGGGUCAUCCUAAGAGAACUGAAAAGAUUCUCAAGGAGUUAGCAUUGAUGCACCUAGUCAUCCUAGGAAGAAGAAGAAGGAUGAUAGGAACCUGCACGCUAGCAACCCUGUUGCUGCUACACCUGAGAGUCCAAACGAUGUCUCUGUCUCUGAUGCUGAAACAUAAUCUGGUGAUGAACAUGAGCCUAAUGAUAAUAUCGAUAGUGAUGUUCAUGAAGAUGCCCAACAUAGCAAUGAUAAGGAUGUGGAGAUUGAACCUGUUGAUCUUGAUAACCCAGAGCCUAAGAAUAGAAGAUACAAUAAGAAUGACUUUGCUGCUAGGAAGCAUGGUAAAGAAAGGGAACCAUGGGUUCAUAAACCUAUGCCCUUUCCUCCCAAACCAUCCAAGAAAAAGGAUGACGAGGAUUUUGAGCAAUUUUUUGAAAUGAUUAGACAUGUCUUUCUCCUAAUGCGUUUGACAGAUAUGCUCAAGAUGUCUCUGUAUGCUAAGUACAUGAAGGAUAUUGUGACUAAUAUGAGGAGGAUACCUGAGGUUGAGAUUUCCAUCAUGCUCGCUAAUUAUACCUUCAAGGGUGGAACUCCUAAGAAACUAGGUGAUCCCGGUGUGCCCACUAUACCUUGCUCCAUUAAAGGAAACUACGUUAGAACUGCUUUAUGCGACCUUGGGGCCAGUGUUAGUGUUAUGCCUCUCUCUCUUUAUCGUAGACUUGAACUAGAUAAGUUGACAGCCACUGAAAUCUCUCUGCAAAUGGCCGAUAAAUCAAAUGCUUUCCCUAUCGGCAUUUGCGAGGAUGUGCCUGUUGUGGUUGCCAACGUCACUAUCUUAACAGACUUUGUUAUCUUGGAUAUUCCCGCGGACAUGCCAUGGCGGUCAUCCUCGGAAGACCCUUUUUAAACACUGCAGGGGCUGUUAUAGAUUGCAACAAAGGCAAUGUCACUUUCCAUGUCAACGGUAAUGAGCAUACGGUGCACUUUUCGAAGAAACAAUAUCGAGUACAUUGCAUCAGUGCUAUCGAAAAAACUUCAUCGAUUCUUAUUGGGAGCUUUGAAUGCCCUAUUCCUCAUGUUAAGAUGAAGUAUGAUUUGCUUGUUGGGGAGAUACACAUCCCCAUUGAGGUGACCUAGUGACUAUUUGAAAAUUCUCCGGUCUCUUUUUCGAUUCGGAAAAGUUUAUCAAGGAGACUUGAUCAACCUCAUUGACAGAUUUCUUUCGAUGGACCAUGAGAUGGAUGAAUCGAGGAGUCACAAACCUCUAUUCCAAGCUUUCACCUUCGGUUGCUUAGAAUAAAAAUGACAGGUUUAGUUUAGUUUUCCCUGUUUUCUGUUUUAGCGUCCGGUAGAAAAGUACCCCGAAAAUAAAAGUUCUCCAAACGUCCUGAAAAUCAAGUAUGAUUUUUUCUGGAUUUUUUGAAAAAUACUGAGACGAAUAGCUAGUCUGGGGUUGCACCAGUGGGCCACAAGCCCUGGAGGCGCAGGAACCCCCUGGCCGCGCCUACCUGGCUUGUGGGUCCCACGUGCACCCCCUCCACUCAUUCUAGCUCCCAUCUGGUUCUCCUAACUCUAGAAAAAAAUCGUCUUGCAGCUCAAACCCGUGUUCUUGCUCCUCUUGCUGGGAUUUUCGAUCUCCUUGCUCAAAGCACCAUUCUCCGAACUAUUUUGGGAAAUUACUCCUUGGUAAGUGACUCCUCCAUUGUCCAAUUAGUUUUUGCUCUAGUGCCUUGCACUUCGCGUAUUUUUGCUGCCUUGGUGACCAUGUUAUUGAGCUUUGCAUGCUAAUUUUAGCUGGUCCCAAGUGGUUUUGAUGCGUAAUAUGGCCUCUAGGCACUUGUGGGAGUAGUUGCUACGAGUUUCGUUGAGCCUUGUUCACUUUUCCUUAGAAUCACUAAAAUUUCAGAAAUUUUCAGAGAUAGAAAAAGGAAAAGAUGAGGAGGUUCUUAAGAGGCUCUUCAAGCCGUGACCCCAAGGAUGAUGGAAGUGAGAAGAAGCCCAAGUAUCUGGUCCCUCGAGUCGCAGAAGUUCAAGCGUGCGAGUGGCCAAGCGGUGUGUUCUUACGCGCCGCCAGACUUUAUGAGGAAUUUUACUACUUGGUGGAGAACGCGGGCCUUACCGCCUUCGUUGAAGAUAAGUGUCCGCAAUACCUCCUCCUCACUAAUAUCUUCGUACAAAUCUUUAACUUCUAUCCGAGGAAGAAUCCUCCUAUGGUUGAGUUCAAACUUUAUGAUAUCCCCCAGCGCAUGUCACUCCAGGAUUUUUGCAAUGUCUGCAAAUUACCUUACAUUGGGGAUAUUCAUGAACCUCGUCCACGGGACUUGGAGGCUUUCAUCGGUACAAUUGUUGUAGGAGAGGAGAGAGGAGUGUCUUGCGCUAGAGCUAUUAGCAUUCAUUUUCCCGUGCUACGGUACUUCUCAUUAUUCGUGGGAAAAUGUUUGAUUGGUCGUGGGAAAGCUGGGUCACUUAGUUCCCCAGAUCUUGCGGUCUUGGGCGAAGCCCUUUAUAAUGAUAAAACUUAUAGCUUGGGCGCUAUAGUAGCUCAACGGUUGAACACGAACCAUUCUAAAGGCAUUGUCUAUGGAGGUAUCUAUGCUAGUCGUCUUGCUAGACACUUUAAGAUACCUAUUAGACUGGAGGAGGAAGAAGAGAUUCUUCUUCCCGAGAGAUAUCUAGAUUACGAUAGCAUGGUUCGCCAUGACUUUCUUGAUAGAGAUAUAAAUAGAAGGAUGAUCUAUAACCUGGUAUUUAGUCAGGGUACUCGUGAGACUAUUACUUUGCCUGCUCCUUAUUUGUUCAAUCUUCAUGCAUGUAGGUACAUUAUUAUGCCCUUGGACAUCUACGCAUAUUGGGGCUUGGCCCAACCACAGGUGCCCGUGCCCGAGCCACCAGUCGAGUACCAGACGCCGGUUUAUCAGUGGGAGCCAGAGGAGCUCACACAGCAUUGGCAUCCUCAGUCCACUCUGGAGUAUCCCGGAGCUAGUUAUUUCCCUCCUUGGGAGUAGCCCAACUUAGGCCAAAAGCCUAAGCUUGUGGGAGUACGUGUUUCUCACCGACUUUACAUUCUUGCUUAUGCUUUCACUUUGUUCGUCGGUGUUCACACUUUGCCAUUGUAUCAUCCAUGCUAGUUUAUUUCUUUUUCUCAUUUUCUUUUCGUGUGUCUGUCUAGUUUGAGAAAACCCAAAAAGAUUUUCUUUUUCUUCUCUUGCUUGUUGGGAGCUUUCCCGUGUAAAUAGUUUUCUUUUUCAUUGGGUCAAGGUAGAAGACCAUGGUUACAAUGUUUAAUGGCUCUCGCAUGCAUAUAUGUUUAUCUGUUAAAGAGCCAUAUUACUUUGUCUUCUCCUUUGUGUUUGCAUGCAGAUUCCAGCUUAGUCCAAUGCACAAGCACUCUUAUUAUUGUUCACAUCGUUCGGUCGUGAAAGUGAAAGGCAAUAAUGACGAUAUAUGAUGAAGUGACUGAGCCUGGAAAAGCUGGUAUGAACUCGAUCUAUUUUGUUUUUAUAAAUAUGACUAGCUCAUCGUGCCUGAUUCAGCUUUGUUGUGAGAGAAAGAUGUUUGCAACUUAGAGAUCAUAGUUGCUUAUGCCAUGCUUAUUUAGCUAGGAGCUUAUAAUGGUUUGUCUUGGAUGCCCACAUGAACUUUGAGAUGACUAUGAUGUAGUAUGAUAGGAUGGUAUCCUCCUUUGAAUGAUUCAAGUGGCUUGACUUGGCGCAUGUUCACGCAUGUAGUUGAAACAAAAUCACCAUAGCCUCUACGAUGUUCAUGUUCAUGGUGAUUUAUGUCCUACUCAUGCUUGCACUCAAUGUUAGUUAAUCUCGUUGCAUUUUGAUGACCGUUGUCGCUCUCUAGUUGGUCGCUUCCCAGUCUUUUGCUAGCCCUCACUUGUACUAAGCGGGAAUACUGCUUGUGCAUCCACUUCCAUAAACCCAAAGUUGUUCCAUAUGAGUCCACCAUACCUACCUAUAUGCGGUACCUACCUGCCGUUCCAAGUAAAUUUGCAUGUGCCAUUCUCUAAACCUUCAAGAAAUAAUAUGUUUUGCUUGCCCGAACCGCUCAUGUGGUGACAGGGGGCUAUCAAUAUCUUCCGUGCUAGGCGUGUUAUCCUCGAUAUGUGUUUAUUCACUAUCAUUCACGAGAAAGGGGCCGGUAAUUAGAAUGCCUAGUUCCAUGCUCAAAUCGAAAAGAUAAUUGCAAACAAAACUCUCCCUAGAUUGAUGUUGGUAUGGACGGCACCCAAGGAUUCGGCUAGUCGUGGAGUGUGAUUGAUCGGUGGUGGGGGAGUCAAAACUUUACUUUUCUGUUUGGGAACCGCCUAUAGCAUGUGUAGCGUGGAAGAUGAUGAGAACUCUUAGUCAUUGCGUUGACAAUGAAAGCAUGCCACCCAAAAUUAUUAUCUCUGUUUUCAAAGCUUGAGCUCUCGCACCUCUGCAAAUCAACGCUUCCCUCUGCGAAGGGCCUGUCUAUUUAUGUUCCUGUUGAGUCAUCCUCCUCUUAUAAAAGCACCAAUUAGAGAGCACCUCUCUCAUUUUUUAUGCUUUGCUUUUAACUGUGUUGAGUAUGACUCUGACUGGAUGUUCUUUGCCAUGAAUUACAAUGUUUAGUCAGCCCUUGGUCUUUGAAGGUGCUCUGCAUUUAUGUUUUGCGGUCUCAGAAAGAGCUAGCGAGAUACCAUCUGUUCGUACUGCUUCAUGAUUGUUUUGAUUGAAGUGUUGACGUUUGAGACUUAUUAUUAUUUGCUCGCUAGUUGAUUAUGUCGUUGAUAUGAGUUUAUCGUGAGACCUUGAUGUCAUUUGCUUAUGUGGUUUGUUUGUGAUCUUGCUGAAAUUCUGGUUAUGAGUUAGACAUAGUUGCAACCACAAGAUCAAACCGAGUUCGUCAAAUUUUUUCUUUUGUCCCUUUCAGUUUGUCAACUGAAUUGCUUGAGGACAAGUAAGGCUUUAAGCUUGGGGGAGUUGAUACGUCUCCGUUGUAUCUACUUUUCUGAACUCUUCUGCCCUUGUUUUGGACUCUAAUUUGCGUGAUUUGAAUGGAACUAACCCGGACUAACGUUGUUUUCAGCAGAAUUGCCAUGGUGUUGUUUUUGCGCAGAAAUAAAAGUUCUCGGAAUGACCUGAAAAUUUACGGAGAAUUUUUCUGGGAUUUAUGAAAAAUACUGGCGCAAGAAUUAGCGGAGGGAGUGGAGCCGUGAGCCCAUAAGCUCACCAGGCUCGGGCCCCCCUGGCCACGCAUGGCAGGCUUGUGGGGCCCACAAAGCUCCACCGCCUCUCAAUCCAGCUCUAUAUAGUCCGUUUCGUCCGGAAAAAAAUCAAGGAGAAGAGUUCAUCGCAUUUUACGAUACGGAGGCGCCGCCACCUCCUGUUCUUCAUCUGGAGGGCAGAUCUGGAGUCCGUUCUGGGCUCCGGAGAGGGGAGAUCGUCGCCAUCGUCAUCACCAACCUUCCUUCAUCGCCAAUUCCAUGAUGUUCUUCACCGUUCGUGAGUAAUCUUAUCGUAGGCUUGGUGUACGGUGAUGGGUUGGAUGAGAUCUAUCAUGUAAUCGAGUUAGUUUUGACGGGGAUCGAUCCUUAGUAUCCACUAUGUUCUGAGAUUGAUGUUGCUACUACUUUGCCAUGCUUAAUGCUUGUCACUAGGGCCCGGGUGCCAUGAUUUCAGAUCUGAACCUAUUAUGUUGUUGCCAAUAUAUAUGUGUUUUAGAUCCUAUCUUGCAAGUUGUAGUCACCUACUAUGUGUUAUGACCCGGCAACCCCGGAGUGACAAUAGCCGGAACCACUCCCGGAGAUGACCAUAGUAUGAGGAGUUCAUGUAUUCACAAAGUGUUAAUGCGUUGGUCCGGUUCUUUAUUAAAAGGAGAACCUUAAUAUCUCGUAGUUUCCAUUAGGACCCCGCUGCCACGGGAGGGAUGGACAAUAGAUGUCAUGCAAGUUUUUUCCCUAAGCAUGUAUGACUACAUACGGAAUACAUGCCUACAUUAGAUUGACGAACGGGAGCUAGUUACUUAUCUCUCCGUGUUAUAACUGUUACAUGAUGAAUCACAUCCGGCAUAAUCAUCCAUCACCGAUCCAAUGCCUACGAGUGUUUUACUACUGGUCCUUGCUACGUUACUCUGUUGCUACUGCUGUCACUACUGCUACUGUUACUCUGUCACCACUGAUGUCACUGCUGCUACUGUUACUUUGCUGCUACCGGUUACUGUUGGUACUGCUGCUAUCAUACUACCUUGCUACUGAUACUUUGUUGCAAAUACUAAAUCUUUUAGGUGUGGUUGAAUUGACAACUCAACUGCUAAUACUUGAGAAUAUUCUUUCGCUUCCCCUUGAGUCGAAUCAAUAAAUUUGGAUUGAAUACUCUACCCUCGAAAACUGUUGCGAUCCCCUAUACUUGUGGGUUAUCAAGCACCUCCGCCGGCUUGUUUUGCACGACCAUCGUUGACCUUGCAGGGAGGGGGAGUGGGUGGUGUGUAGCCGGUGUUGCAAAUCUCACCUAUGCAGCGGGAGGAACACCUGGUGCUGUAGACCUCGCCGCACCUGGCGACGAUGUCUGCUGCCACGCCGGCGAUGGAGUUCCGUUGCAGCAGGCGAGGCUAAGGGGAAGCUGCAUUGCAACAGGCCACAUCGAUGGCGAGCUGCAUGGCAGCACGAGAGGCUACGAGGACACUGUGAGGUCAUGCCAGUGGUAGAAGUUACGGGAAUGUUGCAUGCCAAAAAGCCACGCUGGCUGCGAAGCUAUGUUGCUAUGGACUAUGGGGACACUUCUGUCAUGCCCCCGGGGUGGAGCUGCGUUUUAGCAGACGGAUUAUGAUGUCGUUGCUGCCAUGCCCAAUGUGAGAGCUACGUUGCAAGAGUGGUCCAUUGCAACAGGGUGGCUGGAGACAACACUGCCAUGACCAACGACGAUGCAACUUCAAGCAGGGGCGGAGCCCAUGGGGGCGAGCAGGGGCCAGACCCCCCCCCNNNNNNNNNNNNNNNNNNNNNNNNNNNNNNNNNNNNNNNNNNNNNNNNNNNNNNNNNNCCCCCCCCCAUCGUUCGGCCACCCCCAUCGAUUUUCAGGGGGGCUGGAUGUAGAAGUUUUGUUAACUUGCGAUAAUUAGUACUAGAUCAUGGAAGUAAUUAUAUUGAUAUAAGUAGUCAAACACCAAGUUGGGAAAAGGCCCAAGCCUAGGAAGCAACUGACAUCGGCCCAUUAGAUGGAUGCGUAACUUUUGUAUUCUAGACCGAGUGCACCUGCACUACUCGAUGAUGUAUUAGUUGACUACCAGUAGUCGGCCCCGUGCGCUAGGGCAUCGUCAGCGUCUGGCGGCGACACAUGUGUUUGUUGAUUGUCCCCCCGUGCGCUAGGGCAUCGCCAGCAUCCGGCCACAAUGCGUGUAUUCGUCGUUUGUCACCCGUGUGUGCUAUGGGGAUCGCCUGCGGCGAGUCUAUGCGCCAAUUUCAUGAUAUCCAUGUGUUAGGCGCUUCAGCUUAUACCAUCAGAAUAACACUAUACCACUCGCGCCGGAUCUAAGGUAAUCAUAUUACGAUUUCAUGUCUUGGAUACCAUGUGUUAUUACUAUUGCUAAAUCUGUAUAUAAAACUGCUAGAUGCUAAAUACUGUUUGUUCAUCGGUUAUAAAUUAUACAUAUCGUCUAUACAUAACAGCCUCAAUAUCACAUAUUUUUAUAUAGAAACUGCCAAUCAAAUAUUUAGCGUAAAUAGAAAUUGCACAGCAAACUAGACAAUAUAAGAUUCUGAAUCUGUUACAUGCAUUUUUUUGUUGUGUUAGUGAUACAUCCAAACUAAUAAAAUUCUACAUGUUUUCUAAGUACAAAAUAUAUGUUAUCACGUGUUGGUCUUGUAUAGGCCCGGGCCCACAGUGGUGCAAACUGUGCGGCCCGUACAGGGCCCAAAAUUUUAGGGGGCCCAAAAAAUUUUAAGUAGGCCACGUACUAAAAAAAAACCUAUGGACUACUCACUACUCGACCAGUGGGCUGCUGGGAGCCAACGAGCCAGCGAGGCUCGAUGUCCCGCUGAGGCCAUCAAGGCAAGUAUCCAUCCAGCCAGAUUCUGCUUCCCCUAAUCACGCUGCUGCCGUUUUUUUGGAUCGUGGCAGCCUGCAGGUUGCCUCUUCGUCCGUUCGUCGCCUCGUCGUUCGUCUCCCCCUCGAGUCGCUCGUCCGCUCACAGGCUGGUCGUCGCCUCGUCGCUCGUCUCCUCCUCGAGUCCCUCGUCCAUUUGCAGGAUGCUCAUCGUGUCGUCGCUCGUCUCCUCGACGCCUCGUACUGUCAUACAAACUACAGACUACAGAGACUUUGCCUCCUCUCAAAAAUUUUAGAUUCGUGGACGUUUUCUUGUCCGAUUGAUCUUCAAGUUCUUUUUAUUCAUCGUCUAAUCGUCUUUAUAUUAUAUUUCAACAAUGCAGAUUUGAAUCAUCAUGGGAAAACAACAAUCUGAUGCCUAUAAACGCAAGAUAAAAACACAAGAACAAAAUUUAAUAAAUCUUAUAAAGAAGGUAUGGACAUAUUUGUUAAAAAAACACCAGAAGUAUCAUCUGGUAAUCGGUCUGUUGAUCCUUCUAGCCUUGCACUUGCAAUUUUUCCUUACAUUGAUUCAAGAUCUGCUCACACAGAGACAGAUAAUAUAGAGGUAGAGACAUAUAAUAUUGAGGCUGAUGAUUAUUUUCAAUAUGAUAUAUUUGACUCAAAAAACUGGAAUUCUCUUGAUUGUAAACAGAUUUAUAUCUUACCACAAAAUGAUCCAAAAAGAGACAAAUCAAUUAAGAAAGGUCCCAAAGAUAGACAUCGUAAAAGGUUUACUGCAGCCUUCUAUACUAGAUUCCUAUAUUUUCACACAGGGCCCCGGUUUUUGUCGGCCCGGCCCUGGUCUUGUAUGAUCAUUGUAUAAAAAAGUGUAUGAAAAUCUCUGGCAGGAGCUCGCCACCAUCAGGGUUAGUUUUCCUGCAUGUGUGUGGUGGGGUGGGCUGUAACUGGAUUUUCCUGCUCCUUUUUGUCGCAAGGCAAUGGGGGCGAAGCAGCCUCUCUAAUAUGUUGUGUAUCGAACGGUUAAGCCAACUUUAGAGUACGAUCCCAUUCGGUCCAGCUCUGUUUAUUUGGGUCAAAACAAACAAACCUCACUAUCCAGCGCGCAUCGUUCUGGACGCAUCUCGUCCGUUUUGUGUCCGGGACGACCCAUUUCCGACGCAAACAUGCGUCCAGUUUGGGUCCUGAUGGACAGCGAGCAGACGCGUUCGAGCCCACCUCUCGUCCGCGUCGGGGACGCAUGGCAGGCGGCCACCUACCUCCCACCCGCCCGUAUUUACUAUGCACGCCCGGUAGGCCCCACCUGUCAUCCACUCAGGCGGGCUAUCGUCGUCCUUCUUAAAUCGGGAAGCCGUGGACCGGCAUCGUACAACGCACGCGUCCACUCCACUGCCUCCUCGGGACCGACACCAAACCCGCGUGCCCGCUCCAAACCCUAGCUUCUCCCCCUCUCUCGAUCUCUCCGGCCGCCGACAGCAAUGGGAUGGUGGAGCACCGGCGGCAAGGGGAAGGGGGCGCACGACCACGAGGCUGGGUCCUCGUCUGGCCGCCGCAGCGCCGCAAGCGAGUCUUCUCCUCCGCGACGGCCUACUCAGGCACCCUUCUCCAUUGCCCCUCCGGACGCCCCGACGCGCUCCCGGCAGUACGUCCACGCGGAUGUGUGCCCUGACGACGAUGACGACAACGGCGGUCCCUGAAGACAUGACGGGCACAACAGCAGCGCGGGGCGGCCCCAUUUUUAUCUAUUUUUUUAAUUAUGUUAAUUAAGGAUUGUGGGUCGUGGGACCGUUAAAUUAUUGAUGUAUAAUUACUAAUGUUUGACUUUAUUUAUAUAUUUUUUUUGUUUUUUUUUGUUUUUCCAAUUUUUUAAUUCCGGAUAAUUUGAUGUGCGGCCACGCGUUGGACACAUCGACCCGGCCACGGACCGAUCCAGACAUGGGCAGGCCAAUUAUCGUCUCAAACGGAUAGAAUUGAGAUCAAACGGACAUUCGGAUGAGGUCACGCGCUGCAAUUGGCGUUAAGGAAGACGAAAUCGAGACAGAACAAGCGGCCAGCAAGCCGACUGAUUUUGGGACGCCUAGCAGCCGGCUACCAACAAAUACACAUGUGUGUCCUAUGAGCACAUCCGAAGGAAUGAACCAACGGAUCUUAAGAUUGAAAGUUCACCACAGACGCAAAUGUUGUAACAGUUCUCGUGCUCUAUUCCGUGAUGACCAUGGAACUAUGGAUGCAUUCGUCGUUUAAUUUAUUCCACUCCAUGGAGAAUAGCGGUUCANNNNNNUCCAUGGAGAAUAGCGGUUCAGCAGAUAACAUCGUUGUGGCACUCUCCAACGGCAGGUGCGUAGCUGCCAACAGGUAUGGAGCACACGUCUACCUCUAGGUAGCUAAGCUAGCUAGGCGAUGUACCCUAGCCUCUGGAGCAGCGCGGAGCGGAGGGCGCCGUCGCCGUCGUCGUCCUGUAGUCCAGCGGGCACGUCGAUGACGACGUCCUGCACCGUCACGCCCUCCAUGCGGUGCACGCACGCGUGCUGCACCUGCAGCUCUAGCGACCGGAGCGCACUCAUCAGCCGCGCCGGCGCGUGCCGGGCUCGUCCCGAGCUCAUCACGCGCACCGCCGCCGCGUCCUUCCCCACCAUCCGCACCUCCACCACAUCGUCGCCAGCCCCGGCGUGGCUGCCUCGGGACGAAGAAGCGGGCCCGUUCGACGCCUCCCACCUAGCGGCGGCCGCCUGCCGGCCCUCCUCCUCGAGCCGCGCGACGCGGGAGCGCAGCUCGGUGAUGUAGGCGACGGCGUCGGCGAGGAGUGAGGCCUUGUCCAUCCGGGACACGGUGGGCACGGCGGCGCGGAGGUCGCAGAAGCGUCGGUUCAGCUUGUCGCGGCGCUGGCGCUCGGCCUCCACGUGGCUGACGGUGAGACCAUCGGGCCGCGGCACGGGCUUCCGCCCACGCCGCUUUGUAGGCGUGGUCGUCGACGCCGGCGGUAGCUCGGAGUCCGGGGAGAGCGACGAGCUCCCGGCAGGCCACAAGAAAUCUACAUCCUCGCUCUUGGCCGGCACUGCGGUGUCGCCGAGCAGCCAUUGCUCGGGGACCUCGCAGGAGGCGAACUCGAGGAGCUGGUGGUGGGACCCUUCGGCGGUAGAGAACUGGGUAGGCGGCGAUGGCGGGAAGAACGGGGAGCACGGCGAUAGCAGCUCGUCCAUGGCCGGCACGCCGCUGUACCCUGUACGUCUCGCUAUGCUAACUGAAGAGCUCGAAGUGGCAAAUUAGCGGCCGGAGAUGUGUGGUGUGGUUUACUGUGGGCGAGUGUCUUAUACAGGUGGCAUAUUUGCAGUUGAGACCUUGCUUACAUGUAGGAGUAUGUGUCAUGUUAAAUGCAUGUAUCUGUCCUUCUCGAUUUUAAUUCCCUCUCGCGAAAAACAUGUCCCUUUGGGAUUAGAAGUACGAAAGAGAUUGGAAGUUUGGAACCAAUAGCUAAGGCUAUCUCCAAUGUAUCGAUGUGCUAAGCACAUUAAAAGACUUAGCAACUAAAACAUAUUGUUGCGAACGGACUAAAUCUGGGUCGUCAAUUAGCAAACCGUCGUUAGGACGUGAUUAGUCACUUAUUAGUCCAAAACGUCGUACGGACGCGUCCGUCCGUACAGGCGUCUUUUUGUACAGACACCUCUUCGCAUGCGUCCCAAACCUUGUAUAUAUAUUUCAGAUCAAUGAAAGAGAGACAGUGAUUCGCACAAUAUUUUGCUUUCGUUGUUUCACACGUUAUCAAGCACUGCUCUGCCAGAAAGAUAAAGAAGAAAUAGAUUUUACGGGAAAAUAAUCCAAUGAAAGAAGAAUUAUGUUUGGUGGACAGUUGUACCACUAACACAAUUUUAAGGGAAAUAAAAUAUUUCCAAACUCUAACUAAGAGAAAAGGGAAUAUUGUGACAAUCGCCGGUCGCGAUGCAUCAAUUAUUGGUUCAGGACGAGCCACACUUGUUCUACCUAUGGGUACUACGAUUGUAAUUGAGGAUGCACUCUUGUAUCCUGAAUCUACACGCACCCUUCUAAGUUUCAAAGACCUCAGAUCAAAUAAUUUUCAUGUGGAAACAAUUUCUGAAAAUAAUUCUGAAUAUUUGCUUUUAACAAAAAGCAAUGGGUUCUGAGAAACAAAUUCUUGAAAAAUUCCCCUCACUUUCAUCUGGAUUAUAUUACAGUUAUAUAAAACCCGUACCACAUGUUGCGUACAAAAUAAUUUUUCAAGACCUUGAUAAAUUCAAGACUUGGCAUGAUCGCCUAGGUCAUCCUGGCAUAGGGAUGAUGAGAAAAAUUAUUGACAAUUCUAUUGGUCACAGCCUUCCAACUAAAAAUUUUCCAAAAUCAUCAGAUUUUGUGUCCACCGCAUGUGCAACUCGAAAAUUAAUUAUAAGACCAUCUUAUCUUAAGGUAAAAAGUGAGUCACUUAACUUUCUUCAACGCAUUCAAGGAGAUAUAUGUGGUCCAAUUCAAUCACUAUCUGGACCUUUUAGAUAUUUCAUGAUGCUCAUAGAUGCAUCUACUAGAUGGUCAGAUGUAUGUCUAUUGUCCACACGAAAUCAUGCUUUUGCCAAGAUAAUUGCUCAAAUUAUCAAAUUAAGAGCAAAUCAUUCUGAAAAUAGGAUAAAAACAAUUCGAAUGGACAAUGCCGCUGAAUUCUCUUCACGAGCAUUCAAUGAAUACUGCAUGGCUAUGGGCAUUCAUUUAGAACAUUCUGUGCCUUAUGUCCAUACUCAAAAUGGUUUGGCUGAGUCUCUCAUCAAAAGAGUAAAAUUAGUUGCUCGACCACUAUUACAGAAUUGUAAUUUACCAGCAUCUUGUUGGGCACAUGCAGUAUUACACGCCGCAGAUCUGAUACAAAUCAGACCAACUGCAUAUCAUACAACCUCCCCACUGCAACAAGUACGUGGCACUCAGCCAAGUAUUUCCCAUCUGCGAAAAUUCGGUUGCGCAGUAUACGUACCGAUAUCACCACCGCAACGUACAUCCAUGGGCCCCCACAAAAAACUAGGGAUCUAUGUGGGUUAUAAUUCUCCGUCAAUUAUUAAAUAUCUUGAACCUCUUACAGGGGACCUGUUUACUGCCGGCUAAGCUGAUUCAAUUUUUGAUGAGGACCAUUUCCCGACAUUAGGGGGAGAAUCAAACCACAAAGAAUACCAGGAAAUAGAUUGGAAUGUAACAGGCAUUCAGUCCUUAGAUCCACGUACUAAAGAAUCUGAAACUGAAGUUCAGAGGAUCAUAGACUUGCAACACAUUGCAAAUAAUUUGCCAGAUGCAUUUACUGACCAUAAAGGUGUCACUAAAUCACAUAUUCCCGCUGUUAAUGCACCAGAACGAGUGGAGGUACCAACUAAAACCACUCAAACCCCAAAUGAGAGUAAGAGGGGGAUAAAUCUGGUUAGCCGGAAUAUAGCUUCUCAAAAGCCUCUGCGGAAACAGAAGAAACCAAAUCCUGUACCAGUAAAUGCAAUUCAACCUCAAGUUGAAGGACACCAACCAGAUGCUCAACAUCUUGAACCUAGCAUAAAUGCGCAUAAAAACAUAAUAGCUGGGACAUCGGAACACCAUGACUCUAUUGUUGUGGGAAAUCACAUAGAGUCUGAAGGUAUAAAAGAAAUUUCCAUAAACUAUAUAGAAUCAGGAGAAUCAUAUAAUCGAGAGACUACAAUUGUCGACAUAUAUUUUGCCUCUGAAAUUGCUGAAACCCUUCAACUGGAUCCAGAACCAAAGACCGUCAGGGAGUGCCUCAAGCGUCCUGAUUGGCCUAAAUGGAAGGAAGCAAUUGAGGCAGAACUGCACUCGCUCAACCAAAGAGAGGUGUUUUCCUCAGUAAUACCUACUCCUCAGAAUGUCUUCCCUGUGGGAGCAAAAUGGGUUUUGUCCGAAAAAGGAACGAAAACAAUGAGGUGGUGAGAUACAAAGCGAGGCUUGUAGCACAAGGGUUCACGCAGAGACCCGGCAUCGAUUAUGAUGAUACAUACUCUCCUGUUAUGAGUGGAAUAACGUUUCGAUACUUAAUAUCUAUGGCAGUACAAAUGAGUUUAUCUAUGCAGUUGAUAGAUGUAGUGACAGCAUACUUAUAUGGGUCACUCAAAUCGGACAUAUAUAUGAAAGUCUCUGAAAGACUUAAAAUGCCGAAUCCAAAAGCAAAUCGCAACGCAUGUUGUGUAAAAUUACAGAAGUCACUAUAUGGCUUAAAACAGUCGGGUAGAAUGUGGUAUAACCGACUAAGUGAGUUCCUUAUUCAGAAAGGCUACUCAAAUAAUGAUGAUUGCCCUUGUGUAUUUAUAAAGAAGUCCUCAAAUGGAUUUUGCAUCAUCUCAGUGUAUGUUGAUGACCUCAAUAUCAUUGGAAGUACAUCUGAUAUCGAAGAAGCACGCAAUCAUCUAAUGGCGGAAUUUGAGAUGAAAGAUUUGGGAAAAACCAAAUUCUGCUUAGGCUUACAGCUUGAGCACCUUCCCUCAGGAAUUUUAGUAUACCAACCUGCUUAUAUUCAAAAGGUUUUGGAAAAAUUUAAUAUGGAUAAAUCAUAUCCAACCAAAACACCCAUGGUUGUCAGAUCCCUUGAUAUGAAUAAAGAUCCUUUUAGACCUUGGGAUAAUGACGAAGAGAUAUUGGGACCUGAGUUCCCAUAUCUCAGUGCCAUUGGUGCGCUAAUGUACCUUGCAAAUUGCACGAGGCCUGAUAUUGCAUUUGCGGUAAAUUUACUAGCUAGACAUAGCGCUACUCCAACAAAACGUCAUUGGAUGGGAGUAAAGAAUAUCCUUACAUAUUUACAUGGCACAAAAAACCUUGGCUUAUUCUAUCACAAAAACCAAGGUAUGACUAUGGUAGGAUAUACUGACGCUGGCUAUCUAUAUGAUCCUCACAAUGCCAGGUCACAGACAGGUUUCGUAUUCUUAUAUGGUGGAACUGCUUUUUCGUGGAAGUCAACAAAACAGACUCUCGUAGCAACUUCCACUAAUCAUUCUGAAAUUAUUGCAUUAUUUGAAGCAUCAAAAGAAUGUGUAUGGCUUCGUAGGAUGAUUAACCACAUUCAAACUACAUGUGGUGUUGGUUCAUUAGGAUCACCAACUAUUAUUUAUGAAGAUAAUGCAGCUUGUAUUGCUCAAAUGCAAAUGGGUUAUAUAAAAAGCAAUAUCACAAAACACAUUUCUCCUAAAUUGUUCUAUCCUCAUGAAUUACAGAAAAAAUGGAGAAAUUGAUAUUUUGCAAACUAAAUCAUGUGACAGUCUAGCAGAUUUGUUCACAAAGUCUUUACCAAAUUCAACGUUCCAGAAAUACAUUCAUGGAAUUGGUAUGAGACGACUUCGUGAUUUGCAAAGUUCAGGGGGAGAAAUCUCCUGAAAAUAUAACCCUUUAAUUAUCAUCAGAUAAUGAAUAUUGUACUCUUUUCCUUUAUGAGUUUUUCCAAGAGGUUUCUCAUAAAAGGUUUUUAACGAGACAAUUAAAUACAAGCAUUGAUGCAUGCCAUAUCAUAUUUCUCCUUAUAUUUUUCCUACUAGGUUUUAAAGGAGUUUUUCAUGGCACAUCUCAUUGCACUCUUUUCAUUAUGAGUUUCUUUGAAAUUUUCUCUCAUAAUGUUUUUAAUGAGGCAAUAUCUUCAUUAAUAUCAUAUGCUAUACUUGCUAUUUUUCCUAUUAAGGUUUUUAAAGGAAAGUAUCUAAAGCAUAUUUAUUGUCCUCUAAAACUCACUAAUAAUUUUCUCCUUCUUUGAAGGUUUUUCUCAUAUGAGUUAUCAAGAGACAAUAAUCACUAUAUGUUGUAUUAUUUUCUCCUUAUAAUUUUUCCCAUUGGGUUUAAAAGGAGUUUUAACAACAUAUCUAUACAUUUCUCCUCAUAUUUUUUUCCCACAGGGUUUUUGGGGGAGAAUCUCAAGAAUUGACUGAUGGAUAUACAAGGAGUUUUCAAUAAUGGAUUACUCAAGAUGGCGUUGUACAAGGGGGAGUGUUGCGAACGGACUAAAUCUGGGCCGUCAAUUAGCAAACCGUCAUUAGGACGUGAUUAGUCAGUUAUUAGUCUAAAACGUCGUACGGAUGCGUCCGUCCGUACAAGCGCCUUUUUGUACAGACGCCUCUUCGCAUGCGUCCCAAACCUUGUAUAUAUAUUUCAGAUCAAUGAAAGAGAGACAGUGAUCCGCACAACAUUUUGCUUUCGUUGUUUCACACAUAUAAGGUUGUCCGUAAUGGGAGUAUCAUAGCUAGUAUCAUGCAUGCGAACUAAGCAAUUUUGAUGAAGUGGCAUAGAAUUAAAUGAAGAAAAAGAAGGUUGAGUAUCAUAUUAUGAUACUGUAUCAUAUUAAAUGAUGUGCUACUAUGUGGCUUGCAUGACAAUAAAUGAACUAUCUUAUGACACUAACAUAUGAUACUAUGCAUUACGGGUGUGGUAUCAUACACUAGUAUUAUAUGCAUAAUACUAGUAUAUGAUACUACCCAUUACAACCAGCCUAAUGCAUAGGUGUUUAACUUGUUGUUGCUAAGUAUCCUUCACUUAAUGAUUUAGGAACUAAAGUUAUUCAUACAUUGGCGUGUUUCUUUCAUUUAAGUGUUUUGUCUAAGUUCAUGCGCUUGGCAUUGUUUCUUCAUGAGGUUACUACACUCAUCUCUUUCCUUUUAAUUAUCUUGCACAUCACAUUUUCCAUCUACAUUGCAGCCUUAGCACCUAUACAAGGUGGAGCACCAGAUGUAGUCAUUUUGCUUUCCGAAGCAGAUGUAGUCAUUUAUAACUUGAUUUCGAUAUACAAAUGGAAAACAUGUAAGAGCAUCACCAACGACGAUCCGCAAACCGUCCGCAUAUGUCCUAAUUGUGUUGUUCGGAUCACGAAAGACAUCCAACGCGGGCCUGUAUCGGUCCGCAAGUCAGUUCGGACGCACUUUCUCCCGCAAACCGGAACCAAAUGGGAGACUUUGCUGGAGUACGAACACACGAAACUUCACUUUUUGCCCCCCUCCCCCGGCCCACCCAAAAGGAAGGCGUGCCCCCUCCCCCGGCCCACCCAAAAGGAAGGCGGAGCACGCGCUUUGUAGCAACCCGCACUGUUUCCGCACAAAAAUCGUCCACUCUCUUCUUCCAUCCCCUGCCGCUCUCCGACUAAUUCCCACUCUUUUGUCCCACCCUCUCCUUCCUUCCGUCGUCGAUGCAUGGAACCACCGGAGAUGGAGGCGUCGGAUGAUCCGAGCAUCACGCUCACCCAAAGAUGAACUCGGCUACGCGGUAGGAUCACCGCGUCAAAGCGAAGGCCGCAAAGGAGGAGAGGAUUAAGAAGCGAUUGGCCACCGGUGGGCUUGGUGGUGGCGUUGUGUGUGGCGGUCGUGAUGGUCAUGGAGGGCGUGGCAGACGUCGCCGGACGAGCACACCCAUGGUACAUACGGCACCGUGGAUGGAGCAUUAUAAGCCUCCAUACUACUACGCCGCCAAGCAUCUCGGAACCCUCUCCGAUAAGGUUCCUUUCAUCAUUGUCGUAAAUGGGAUGUCGUUCUUCUCCGAGUAUUGUUCAUUGCAGCUCGUGUGGGCGCGAACAAUGGUUGGGGAGCAGAUGGAUGACCGCACAUUGUUCGCUACAAUGCCUAGAGCGGAGGAGGGGGUGAAGUACUAUGAUAUGGACACGGAGAGGGUCAACAUGUUGGAAAUAUGCCCUAAAGGCAAUAAUAAAUUGGUUAUUAUUAUAUUUUCUUGUUCAUGAUAGUCGUUUAUUGUCCAUGCUAGAAUUGUAUUGAUUGGAAACUCAAAUACAUGUGUGGAUACAUAGACAACACACUUUCCCUAGUGAGCCUCUGAAGGACUAGCUCGUUGACCAAAGAUGGUCAAGGUUUCCUGAUCGUAGAAUGAGAUGUAGUUUGAUAACGGGAUCACAUCAUUAGGAGAAUGAUGUGAUGGACAAGACCCAAACUAUGAACGUAGCAUAUGAUCGUGUCGUUUAUUGCUACUGUUUUCUGCAUGUCAAAGUAUCUGUUCCUAUGACCAUGAGAUCAUGUAACUCACUGACACCGGAGGAAUGCCUUAUGUGUAUCAAACGUCGCAACGUAAUUGGGUGACUAUAAAGGUGCUCUACAGGUAUCUCCGAAGGUGUCUUUUGGGUUGGCAUGGAUCAAGACUGGGAUUUGUCACUCCCUAGACGUUGCCACCCUACCCUCCUCCCUUAAAAACUUCGGCCUCCACCAAAGGAAGCCGGUAGGCAAUCCCUGCCCAUUAGAUAGCAAACCCUGAUCUUCCCGCUCGUGAGACAAGAGAUCGACAUCCUGGAGCACGGCGUUGGCCCUAGAUGACGACCAUAUAAGAAGCGUAGUGUGGAUUACGGAGCGGCGACACGAGGACGAUGGUGGUCGGGUAGCCGGCGGUGGCCCGAGGAGGUGCCGAGGUUGCGAUGACCUCGUUCUUCGGGCAAGAGGCCAGUCAAGAAGGACAUGUUGUGUCUUGAAGUGAGAGAUUGGCGGUUGAUGAUGCGUAGUAGCAUGGUGGCUAGUAGGCGACCAAGGGGUAGAUGUCUGGUCGAGAUCAAGUCAUUGUGACGUUGUGUGAUGGUAGUGCUGGAGUUUGGUGAUUGGGGCGAGCGUUGAUUUCUUCUUCAUCGGAAGUGGCCUCUGUGAUCAUGAGGGAGAUGUAGAGGCUAGAUUUCGAGAUAGUGAUGUCCUUUCUGAGGCAUGCGGCGGUAUAGGACGCCCCCUCCACCUCUAGAGUCGGUUCGGUCUAUCUCCCUAGGUGCUGCACACGACGACUCUUGUGGAUGUGCUGAGUUAUGCAUGCCACCGCGAGGUGAUACGCACAUCGGCUCAUGCAGAGGCACCAAGUCAUGAUUCUGCGGGCAGGUGCUACACACUCUUGCUCCUAUAGACGCGACAAGUCAUGCAUGUGGCUGCUAUAACGAUGGUGCGAUAGUGAAGGGAGGCGAGACGAAGUGGUGCGUCUUGUCCUUCCGGUACCUUCUCUAGAGAUAACCGGGCAAGGGAUGAUGGUAGAGGCGGCUUCAACACCGAGUAUGCGCACUCCGAUGGAACAUAAGUCCCCUGAUUAGACUAUGUCAACAUGUGACUGCAUUGUGACCUUGCCAAAUAUGUUGGAUCGAAGCUCGGCUUAUGGGACGAAAUUCCGAGACCAAACUAUGUUUGGACUCAUCACUACCGGUGCAUGGAUGCCGCUUCCUUCGUGAAUGAUUAUCUUAGGAGUUGUGUAGUUUGCCUUUGUUCCUGUUUGUUUCCAUAGGGUUAGUGUUUGCUUAGUGUAUGUAAUGUCGUGAGGCAAGCGACCUUUCUUUUUUCUUUCCAAGUCAAAUUUGUUCGGUUGUUGGAGUUUGUUUUAUGAAUGAUAUAUGACAUGUGAUGCAAAACCUAGGGUUAUCCUCCUUUCCUAAAAAAUAUGCACACAUGUAUUAACAUGAUUUUCCGUUUGUCUCUUCUUGAGAGAAGUCUGUUUAUGUGGAGAAAUGUUCAUUGAGAGAUCCUUUAAACAUGUUCAUGUUAUUACACUUGAUAAAUCAUGUGCCGACUCUAAGUCCAUGAUUGGUUUGUUGACACAUGCCGAUAUUUGAAAAUAUUGAAAUGCCAAAUAUUGGCUAACGAUUGCUUAUUUACCCAUUUUUCCCGUCAGCCCCACAAAAAAGUUGCCAGUUUUUGAUAAACUUUGAUUUUUGCCACAUGUCAACAAACCAAUCAUGCUCUAAGUUGAUCGUACGCAUAAGGACUUAGACAUGACAUGGAACUAUACUUUGCACAUAGGUGUGCACUCCUUGUAGCCAAAAGGACAAAAAUGCAUAUACAUUUGGACACGUUACGUACGUGCUUCACGUGUGCGCCCUUUGGCCGGUGCAGUGAGCAUGCGCCCGUACACAGCCCUGAAAGCAUCCGCACGCAAGCGUCUAUGUAGGUGGAAAAGUCAGCGUUCUCUAUCUCCUUCAAAUAUCUGUUGUCACUUGUCAGUUUGUCACGUCCUAGCACCAUCCAUAUAUGGUAUGUGAAAACUUUAAACUAUUUUUUCUGUAUCUAAAUGAUUGUAAUUAAAGAAAACUAAUCUAAGUAUGCUAUUUAAUUACCCAUAAUUUUUCUUAAAGUUAAUCACCGAUAAAUCUUGAAGCUUAGGCCAUUUUCAAUGCAUUGGUGCUAAGAUGAGGUGCUAAGCAUAUUAAAUAGUUUAUCAAUUGAAGUCCACAAUGCAUAGUUGCUUAGUUUAUUGUACUACUAAAGUUUUGCAUAUUUAAUGCUUUUACAACUAAAGUUGUGCAUGCAUUGGUGCAUUUCCUUUAUUUAAUUGGUUUACCUAGUUUCACGCGCUUAACAUUGUUUUUUUCUGGGGUCACCACACUCAUCUCUCUCCUAUUAAUUAACAUGUCACAUCAGAUUUUUUGCCUAUGUGACAGCCUUAACACAUGUACAAGGUGGAGCAUUGGGAGUAGCCUUACCGAUGUGUUGUGCUGCUUUGCUUAGAGCAAGUACAAUAAGGUACAGUCAGCAGGCUGUAAGAAUUAAAAUACUAUAUUUUUGCUGAGUUGGAUGAGAGAGAAGAGGAGAGAGAAGGAAAGCGGGCUCUUCGUGAAGAGUCAGCUGUAGCACGUGCUCCUAGGUGAUUUGUGAGAAUGAAAGAUGGACCAUAUAUGAUAAAAAUAGUACUAUUUUAUAGCUAAUUAUUAUAAAAGCUAGCUAUAAGAUGAGCUAUAAGACUGCUUAUAGCCAGCAGUUGGCUAUACUAUUAAUCAUGCUCUUAGACGCGUAGGGAUAAGAAUGGACACGUUGGACGUUUUGCCAUGUCCGGGAGAGACUGGCCGACUGCAACGAGGAGAUUCGUUGACAUUUCAUUCCGCAAAAGAUAUUCCUUUGGCAUUUCUCCACAUAGAUGGGUGCCAGCAGGGCCAUAGCCCAGCCCGUGCACUCACGUACGUCAAGUGUGGGAAAUGGCCGAACGCAUGAUGCCGUUGCAGCCAACGGGGCGCAGAUAGAGGCCAGGGCAUGCAUGCCGCACUCCGGCGAGCUCGAAGGGACCGGACAAUUGGAGGAGGUCCAGGAGGGACACGUGUAGUAUGGUCCUACAACAGCGCGGCAGGCAAAGGGCCUGGCCUGGUCCUGGUCCUGGUCCAUCGUCCACGCGACGUAGGUCGUGGACCAACAACGUAGUACGACGCUCCGCCCCGGACGGACGUGUUAUCUUUACUAAAUGGCCCCUAAAGGAUUUUAUGUCGCACAUUGACCCUCCAAAAAACUUGUUUCGUCCUCUGAUCCUCACAUUCAUUUCCCGAUCUGCAUCAUAUGGUUCUCCAACGUGUUUAUAUUUUUUAAUUGUUCUAUGCUAUUAUGUUAUUAUUUUAGGAUACUUUUUAUAUUAUUAUUUACCAACUUAUAUUAUUUUUGAGCACUAACUUAUUGACCCGGUGUCUAGUGCCAGUUUCUGUUUUUUUUGUGUGUUUUUUGUUUCACAUAAAUUCCAUAUCGAGCGAAGUUAAAACGCGAUAAAAACUUACGGAGACUAUUUUGGAAUAUAUGUGAAUUUUGGGAGUUAGAAUCAACGCAAGACGAUCCUCAAGGGAGGCACAAGCCAAGAGGGCGCGGUCUGGGAGGGUCGCCCCUCAUGGCUCUGUGUCCACCCCUUAAGUCGGUCGGAGCUUUCUUUUGGCCGCAACAAAGAUAUUUUUUUAAUAAAAAUUCCCUCAAAAAUUAAUUGUGGUCGGAUUUUGGGAUAUCAGGUUAUUGAAGUAACGGUGAAGGGCCAGAAACAAGUCGUGCAAACAGGAGAGAAACACACACAGACACGCACACACACACACACACAUAGAGAGAGAGAGAGAUCCAAUCCCGGAGGGGCUGCUGCCCUCCGGGUCCCAUGGCGGCCUUGGACCAGAGGAGAAACCCUCCUCCCACCUAGGGAGGAGGCCAAGGAAGAAGAAGAAGAAGAAGGAGGAGGAGGGGGCUCUCUCCCCUCUCUCCCGAUGGCACCGGAGAGCUGCCGGGGUAACCCUCGUGACGGGGGUCCACACCAACAACUUCGCCGCCGUCACCACCAACUCUCUCCUCCUCUAUGCGAUGGUGUAAAAUCUCUCUUCCUUGUUGUAAUCUCUACUUGAACAUGGUGCUUAAUGCUAUAUAUUAUUAUCCAAUGAUGUGUGGCUAUCCUAUGAUGUUUGAGUAGAUUCCUUUUUGUCCUACGGGUUAAUUGUGAUAUGAUGUUAUUGAUAUGAAUCGUGUGUUGAUAUGAUGCUAUCCUAAGGUGUUUUCCGUUAGGCGCACACUUGAAAGAUUCACGCUGGAGGGUUUGCAAUAUAUUCUUGAUUCGCUUAUAGUGGGUAGCUAGAGUGACAAAAUCUUACACCUGAGUAAGGAAGUUGUGCGCAUGUGGAAGUAAAGAGGACUUGAUGUUUAAUGCUAUGGUUGGGUUUACCUUAAUGGUUUCUAGUAGUUGUGGAUGCUUGUUAGAGGCCCAAUUGUAAGUGCAAAUGAUCCAAGUACGGAAAGUGUGCUAGCGUAUGCCUCUCCCUCAUUGCAUAUGAUAUGUAUCUAUUAUGUUAUAUUCAAUUGCCUAUUGACAAUCUUCCUAUUGCGUUGUAGAGAAAAUCUGUCUACUAAAUAGCCCCUUACUUUUAUUCACUUGCUCUUUUUUUUCUUGCAAAACUAUCUAUUUCACCUAGUAAGUACUUCUAGUCUCCUUCCCGAAAAAUAGGUUCAUACUUGUUCUAGAUAAAGUAAGCGUUAGCGUGCGUAGAAUUGUAUCAGUGGUCGAUAGAACUUGAGAGAAUAUUAAUUCUACCUUUAGCUCCUUAUUGAGCUCGGCACUUACUUAUCGAAAAAGACUACAAACGAUCCCUUACACUUGUGGGUUAUCAAGACCCUUUUCUGGGGUCAUUGUCGGUGAGAAAUAGCGUAGUGGUCGAUAUUCUCGUGUGCUUGUUUUCUUUAUCACAAAGUAAUUUUUAUUUUCUGUUAUUGAUUGUUUUAUAUCUUUAGUUAUGGACAUGGAACACAAAACACCCAAAAAAAUAGUUAUACUUGCUACUCAUGGAGAUGGGGAACCUCCUAAAAUUCUCGAUGCUAGUUAUGUGAAACACAUUAAUUACUGCUUUGAUAAUACUGAGAAAUCCUCAUUCAACUUGAUAAUUGGAGACACGUUGGAUCAGCGUGAGUACUUUAGGGAUUAUCAUUUGUCUCAAAAAGGAAAACACUUAUGGGAUCAAAUUAAAAUGUUGCGUUGGUAUGUUUGGGAUUUAUGCGUGAUAAGUGAUUAUACUUGUUGCUCUAAAAGCAAGGGUCUAAACCUUCCCUUUCAAUGUAAAUUUAAUGAUAAUAGAACCAUAGACUCUUAUGCUAAUGGUAUAUAUGAUUACUAUGAUGUGAACAAAAUAAAAGAAUUUGUUGCCUUUAAGGGUGCAUAUUAAAUUGCUUCUUUGAUUGGAAAGUAUGAUGAUAUUCCUUAUAAAUCUGAAAAUUUUGACAUACUUAAAUAUUGCUAUGAGAAUUAUGAAUAAAAUGUUGGUAUUAAUGAAUUUCUUGAAAGAAUGACCGUUGCCUUGGAAUAGAUUAACAUUUUGCAGGAAUCUAUGGAAGAAGAAAUUGUUGAAUCUCUGAGCUCAUUAGAUGAAAAAGAUGACGAGGAGAGCGAAGAGAGGGAGGGUUGCAGCACCCAAUGCCACAGCACGGCCUCUCCCUCUCCCUAUAGAUCGUCUCUUCCUCUAGAUAUUCCGGUAGUGCUUGGCGAAGCCCUGUCGGGACAGCAACAUCACCAUCACCGUCAUAUCGUCGCGCUGCCAGGGGACUCAUCUACCACUCCGCCCUCGCUUUCUGGAUCGAGAAGGAGAAUACGUCAUCGGGUUGUACGUGUGCUGAAUGCGGAGGUGCCGUCAGUUCGAAACUUGAUCGGGAGUUUGCGGGACAGAUCGUGAUAGGAUCGCGAAGACGUUCGACUACAUCAACCGUGUUUCUUAACGCUUUCGCUCAGCGAUCUACAAGGGUAUGUAGAUUCAAUCUCUCCUCUUGUAGAUGUGCGUCUCCUAGAUUGAUCUUGGUAAGCGUAGGAAUUUUUUUGUUUCCUAUGCAACGUUCCCCAACACUUCUAUCUGUGUUAACAUGGGAAAUCUCACAAACACAUUAGUCCCUCAACCACGUUUGUCUUCAAUACUCCAAAACCAACAAGUGGUGGAACUAGAUGCACUUACGAUCUCCCCCUUUUUGGUCACUGGUGACAAACUGGCUGAAGUUUUCAACGGGGAUAAGAAUAUGUGAAGAUAAAUACUUGGAGAUUAUGAGAGCUCUCCCUCAAGAUGUUCUUAUGAAGGUUUUUCUUUGAAUGCAAAAGCACAUGGUAGGUUGUAGUUAGUGGAUAUCUCCUCCUAUAUCUUGGAAUCCAUUCACUAUGCAUUUUAAAGGUUUCAUGAAGAUUCUGUAAUGCAUAAUGAAAAAUAGGCAUCUGCUGAAUGACUUCAGACGCAUAUGAUAAGAUAUGGAAUAGCGCCAAAGAUACGAUAAACAUAGAAUAUGAAGACGUCCAUCAAGACUUAAGUUUUACAACCCAAAAGUGCAAUUGUUCAGAACAAGAGUUCUAAACUUAACAAAAUAGCAGCACCCAACCCUUAUAGACCCAUUCGAAUACUAUCAAUCCAAUGCUUCUCCCCCUUUGUCAUGGGAUGACCAAAAAGGGCGAAGACAUUGGGAACUACUCGUCCCCAGCUUGUGAAUACGUUGGUGCAGCAGGGUCAUCAAAGGUUGGUGCAGGUUCGCCUGGUUUAGUGUCGAUGCGAUCUGUUGGUGCAACAGGGGAAGUACAUCAUCAGUGUCAUUGUUUGCAAGAUUGGUAUGACCGGAUACUGCUGAAGAAGAGUAGUAACUUUAUUCGAUGGAUGGUGUCUUGCAUCAUUUCUCCGUACGAGGAGGAGGGGCACAAAAUUUGAAGUAUUUUUCAUAGCCAUCCUCACGAAGAUCUUCCUCCGGAGACAUGAGAGUCAAUUUCUUCCAAGAAUGCCUACAAGUUUCAUGUGCAACAAAGAUAUUCUUGGUGGAGAGGUUGCGAAUGCGAUUGAUAUCUGUUGCCAUAGAGUGCAUUUGUCUUCGCGUCACUCAUGGUGACAAUCCUACUUUUGUAUGAGCGAAACAAGAAGCUCUUGAUUAGUCAUAGCAUGUUCCCGUCUGGGUUGGGGAUGUUGAGGCAGAGUGCUAGCAGUGGCUUCAGUUGAGGUGGCACUUGGUUGUGGUUGACGGAAUGUGCCAAUCAGUCUUGCCUUGACAGGAUCACAAGGAAUGUGAAGCCCUUCAAUAUGUGUGGUGCCACUAGUGCCUUCAAUAAUGGGAUUCUUGCCCUUGGAUGGAUAAAUGUCUUUGUGUCUGACUUCCACAUCCAGAAGAUAUAUUCCAUGAUUAUGAGCGGAGGGUAGAAACCUUGUAUUUGUUAUGCGCUUAAUGAAGUGCAUGAUCCAUGGUGCAUAGAUCUUGAGUUCAGAGAUUGAUGCUAUUGGCAGCCAGGGUUCUCAAAAAUAAGUCUUGAAGAUUGAACCUGAUGCCAUAGACGACAUUGUAGAUCAACGUCUUCAAUGCCCCUUAAACCUUGCUUGAAGAAUAAUGUCAUUUGAUUGGCCAUAUGGUGUGACAAAGAAUAUGGUAGAUAGUCUUUGGUAGAUAUUGAAGAUCAUCAACAAAGAAUGUUGUGGGCAAGUCCGCAUCUGGGUCUAAAGGUGAAAGGACGUGGAUGUCGCCUAGAGGGGGGGUGAAUAGGCGCUUUAAAAUAAUUAAGGUUUAGGCUUGAACAAAUGCGGAAUAAAACUAACGUUUAAUAUGUCAAGCACAAAACCUCAAACAACUAGGCUCACCUAUGUGCACCAACAACUUAUGCUAAGCAAGAUAAACAACUAAGUGAUAGCAAGAUCUAUGACAAGAGACAAUAUGGCUAUCACAAAGUAAAGUGCAUAAGUAAAGGGUUCGGGUAAGAGAUAACCGAGGCACUCGGAGACGAUGAUGUAUCCCGAAGUUCACACCCUUGCGGAUGCUAAUCUCCGUUGGAGCGGUGUGGAGGCACAAUGCUCCCCAAGAUGCCACUAAGGCCACCGUAAUCUCCUCACGCCCUCGCACAAUGCAAGAUCCCGUGAUUCCACUAAGGGACCCUUGAGGGCGGUCACCGAACCCGUACAAAUUGCAAACCUUGGGGGCGGUCACCGAACCCGUACACGUGGCAACCCUUGGGGGCGGUUACCGGUACCCGUACAAAUUGCUCGGGGCAAUCUCCACAACCUAAUUGGAGACCCCGACGCUUGCCCGGAGCUUCACACCACAAUGAUUGAGCUUCGAGACACCACCAAGCUUCUAGGACACCAAAGCAUCCACGAAGAACAAUAUCUAUGGUACUAAGUACCAAAGGUAAUAAGCUUCUCAAACUUCACUUCCACGUAUCACCGUGGAGAACUCAAACCGAUGCAACCAAUGCAAUGGCAAGAACACACGAAGUGGUCAAGUCCCUCACACUCAAAUCCCUCCACAACAACGAAAGCUAUGGAGAAAUAUGAGAGGAAGAACAAGGAGCUCACAAAGAACUCCAAGAUCUAGAUCCAAGGGGUUCCCCUCACAUAGAGGAGAAAGUGAUUGGUGGAGAUGUGGAUCUAGAUCUCCUCUCUCUUUUCCCUCAAGAACAAGCAAGAAUCAUUGGAGGGAUUGAGAGUAAGCAAGCUCUAAGAAUGUCAACAAUGGAGGUAGAACAAGAGCUCAACGGAUGGAUAAGGCCAAGGGGCAAGAAGACCCCCUUUAUAUAGUGGGGGAAGGAAUCAGACCGUUACCCCCACUUACAACCCGAGUCCAGCGGUACUACCGCUGACCCUGCAGAGGUACUACCGCUGAGCCCAUGGUAGCGCAAAGAUACUACCGGGCCAAUCACCGCCAAGAAAGUCUUCGCAAAAAGGUCCGACGAAGUACAGCCGCUAGGAAGGCCGUACUAAGCUCCUGGAGCGGUACUACCGCUGACCAGGGGCGGUACUACCGCCAGCACAGCGGUACUACCGCCAGCUCUAGCGGUACUACCGCCAGCUCUAGCGGUACUACCGCUAGGGCCAGCGGUACUACCGCUCGCCACUGAAACAACCAUAACUUUCGCAUACGAGCUCCGAAUCGAGCAAACCCAAGCUUGUUGAAUUAAGACCAUGCUGAUAUGAAAAUGCCAAUGAUCUAGAGAUGUGAGACCUCUAUAAAUGAAGAACCGGCAAAAACUCCAACAUCGAAAACAUCAUAGUAGUUGCAUAUGGACUCCGUUUUUGAUGAACUCGAGCUUGUCAUGAAGAUGACCAUAAGCUCUAAAACUCACAAAGAGAAACACCAAAUAAGAACCAAGAAGUAUGAUGCAAGGAUGCAAAUGGUUUGAGCUCUCAACGAACGAUACGAUCAAGCUAAUCACUUGAGAGCCCCCUUGACAGUACAUCAUUCUAUCCUAAACAGAAAACCUAUCAAGGGAAAACCUAUACCUUGCACCUCAAUCUCUUGAGCUAGAUGAUGAUGAUCUUGGCUUCCUCAAGAUGGACCACCUUUCUUGAUUGCGUUGGCUUGAUGAAGACUAGGUUAUUGCUCCCCCAUACUCACUAUGGAUGAGCCACUCUUCAACAUACCUUCACAAGUCCAUUGCCACCACAAUGGACGGCAAGCUUCAAGCACGAUAUAUUCGUGUUGAUCCUCUUGAACUUGCACACCGCAAUCUUGAUGACGAUCACCACUUGACGUCAUCCUUCAUGGGUUGUAUGAGAUCUUCAUUUUGACACAAGCCCAUGGAAACACACCUAACCCACACAUAGAACUCUCACGAAGACCAUGGGUUAGUACACAAACACGUAAUGGAUAAUGCUUACCAUACCAUGGGAUCACUUGAUCCCUCUCGGUACAUCUUGUACGCUUUGUGUGUUGAUCAUCUUGAUUUACUCUUUGUCUGAGAUCUUGAUCAACCUUGUGUCUCUAUGACCAUUCUUUGGAUAAUACCUUGAAUACCACCUUGGUCAUCAUAUAAACUCCUUGAACCCAACAGAUGGACUUCAAUAAGUGCCUAUGGACAAAUCCUAUAAAUAUAACUUAAGGCAACCAUUAGUCCAUAGGAAUUGUCAUCAAUUACCAAAACCACAUAUGGAGAUAUAUGCUCUAACAAAAGGCUUCAUAAGUGUCAAAAUUUCAGACAUGUUAGGCUCACGCAUUUGAAAGAUGCUUCUUAUGGCUUCUUCAUAGGUGGGAGAUUUUGGAUCAAGAUCUUAGCCUGAUGCAGCAAGUGGAGUGGUGGCAAAGAAUUACAUAGCAAGAGCUUUCACAUGCCCAUCAUGGAUCAUGAAAUCCAUAACCCAUGUCUUCAGAUCUCAUCCAUAGCCAAAGAUGUGGAGAGUUGCAUAAAAUUGAAGAAUUGGUUCUUAAUUCCAAUCUUCAUGAUCAACAGCAAACGACAACAAUCCAACAUCUCAAAGACAAUUGAAGGCCUGGUCAAAACAAGGAAGACCACUCAUGGCUUCCAUGCUGAGAUGCUUGGGGGGAUCCUUUUUGGUCAUAUAGCACACAUGUAUAAUAGGUACGUUGAGGUACACUCCAGAAGUGAUCAGAUUGAAUCUUUAGACGCGUAUAAGGAUUCUUUUUAGAAUCAAGGAAAGUGUUGUCGAGCCGGAAUUCCCUCACGCUAAAGACAAGAGGACGUGUUGUUCCUAGUUGUCAAAGACUUGGAAGCCUAGGCAUUGGAUUCAUAACUUUUGGGCGACGAAAGAUGUUUAAUUCAUAUUGUGGACCCAUUCUGUUGGGUGGUGAAACAAGCUUGGGCCAUUUUGUUGGCACCAUCUCUCCCGCCCUAUUGCGAUCCAUGACAAUAUUGUCAGCAUUGUCGUCGGUCAAUGGCGUAGCACGCACAGGAGAACCAUCAGGGGAUGGAGCAUUGGCUUCUCCAUCAGUAAUCGGUGCUUCUAGAGGUGCAACGGUGUCAUCAGCAGCAAUGUCUUCACAUGCACUCGCUUCGAUCUAAGGUUGUUCACGAGCAACAUGUUCAAGUAUGAGAACUUCAUCGACUGAUGCAGUCAGAGUCACACGCACUUCAUCUUCUGGAAUGAUUUACAUUGAAGAUAUAGGUGGCCUUGGUCCUUUGUGAAUCCUUUUGAGAGGCGAUGCAUGUUCAGUUGUUUCAACUUCCAUGGGAGCAAAUGGGAAUUUAGGAGAUCUUGCCACUAGAGUUGGAAAUGGACUAGGCAGAGUGCUAGGAUUGGCUUCAGGCACGUUUCACCUUAGUGGAGUGCCAAUGUCCACAAAUUCACUGCCUUCAUGCAUUGGCGAUGAUACCAUUGGUGCAUCACGUUGAGGCACAUCAGUUUCUAUUUCAACAUUGUCUUCGGCAGAAGCAACGUUUUCAGCAGGNNNNNNNNNNNNNNNNNNNNNNNNNNNNAGCAGGAUCACCUGCAUUGUCUUCGGUUGCGGUGGUUUCAGCAGCUGGUGCAUCAUCUGUUGUUUGAGCCUUUAUGGUAACAGACUCAUGAAGAACAACUUGCCUCUCGACAUUUUCCUAGGGAUUUUAUCUCAACAAAUUUAAAUAAUCUCUAAAAUAAAUUCUCUUAUGCCACCGAGUAAACAAUUUGAUUAGGGACUAGUAGCGAAGGGAAUUAAAUCAAUAUAAAUUUGUGUUUAAAAGAUAUUAGCAAUCUAGGGUUUUGAGCAAAUUCAAAAUCUACUAUGCAAAUUUUAAAACUUCUGAAUCUAUGCAAAACUUCAUGUUAUUUGUGACAUGUUGCCAAAAGAAUCAACUAAAAACAAUCAAAAACUUAAAAGAUAUUAGCAAAACAAAGUCAUGAACUCCUCUCGAUUUGAAAUAAAGCAAAUAAAACAAAACAAGAAUUAAGUAUCGGCCAGGGGUGAUGUGGCACAUUCCUAUUGUGGCAGCGAAGUGUGCGCGAGAAAGAACACAGCGGCUAACUGAACACUAGCGUGUACCGGUUCGUGAGUUUAAGUGAUCUAAUCUAGAUCGUUCAUUGCAGAUCUGACGGUGGACACGAGAGAGAAGCUUACAACGGCGACGAUGGAGUUCUCCAGCGAGGCAGAUGGCUUGGGGUUGACGGCGAUGGUGCUCCAAUGGUCUUCCGGCAAUGGUGUCAGCUCCAAUCGAUGCACGCGAAGACGAUGGUGAGGUUGGUGGCAUCGGACGGUGUCGGGGCAGACUGCGGCGAGCGGCACGAGCUCAACGGGCUUCGGGCAUGGCAAAAACUAUGACGAGAUGUUGGGGUGGCAGUGGAGCAUGGAGGAAGGGUUUUAGGGAGGAAUCGGGUGCGGGAGGUCGGGGCUUUAUAGGAGAGGCAUUUGGUGGGGUCAAACGGAACGGGAGCGGCGAGAUGGAUCAGAUCCGGAGAUACGUCGGAAAGGGAAGGUGAGGUCGGGUAAAGGAAGGCGCUGACCGAGGGGGGUUCGGGUCGGGCAGGUGGGGUCGGUGCGCGAGAGGUAGGUGACCGAUUCGUUCGCGAUUCGGAUCCGAUCAGAGAGAAAAUGAAAAAUAAAGCAAAGAAAGUAUAUAUAAUAUAUACCUAUUAUAUAUCAACAAGUUCAGAAAAAAUAGCUCUACAACAUGAACAUAUUUUCAAGAAUUUUUGAAAUACUUAAUAUUUUUUUCCAAAAUUCAAAAAUGUCGUUGAUCCAAAGAUCAAAUAUUUUCCAAACAUUUUUCUGAGUUUGUAAAUUCAAAUGAAAUCAAAUUUGCCCCUGGUUUUGAGUGUGAUGUUUCUCCUCUCUUUAUUUUUAAUAUGAUCAUGUGCAUUUGAAUUUAUUCCAAUUCAAAAAUUGAAAUGGAUCGAAUUUGCAAAUGGAAAUACUCCAAAUGGAAACUUUUAAGAACUUUCAAAUCCCAUUUCAAAUUCUUCCAUUGAAGAAGUCGUGUCAUAUUCUCUCUAUGAUUUUAAAUUUGAAUUGGAUUUGAAUUCAAAAGCAAGGAAGAAAGUUUUGGGAAAGUCAUUUUAUCCCCUCUCUUCUAUUUUCCAAAAGUUUUCAAAUUCACUCAGUUUCACACAAUAAUUCAGACAAUCAAUCAAUAUAGUUCAUUUAAUAUGACAUUCCAAAAUUUAGAAUUUUGGGACGUUACACGCAAUCCUUCAAUGUUUUGCACCCAGAUGUCUCCUCAUUUCGCUUAGUGCUACAGAUAUAAAUGGUUGGUGGAACAAGAUCUCCGGGAAGUGGAAACGCAAAACUGGCCCAUGAUGAUAACUCGGUGGCGGCUUGCAUUGCUUAAAACCACUGGAAAGGGAGGAAUCACGGAAUUUUGAGAGGAAGGGGGUAAACCAUCCUUGGUUUGUGAAGCAUCAUAAUUUUUCUUGAAAGGAUUUAUCUGCUUGAUCUACUCCCUUUAACAGUGCGUUAUCCAAGAUGGGAUUUAUUUUCCAAGCGAAUGAGAUAAUUGUCCCCGGUUUGCGUAGCAUGAUGAAAUUUUUUUAGACACACGAAGCAUAAUGAUCUAAGCCUCCUGGACAAGCCCGUUGGAGACAUGGCCCUUAAUCUUCGUGCAGUCCAGACCCAGUUGCACCUUUGCAACAUCUGUUUUACACUGUUUCCCUCUUCUUAAUCGGGAAGCAGAACAUUUGCUGCGCUUGUGAAAAAAUUAUAUCCGGAUCACUACAUGGGUAGUGGUUCAGCAAGAUCCACCUUCAAUUUCACUGACUGAUAAAUAUGCUAGGACAAAAGAAACUGCUUACUGUUCCUCGUGAAGAAACGAUGUAGUUUAUGGAGUAUGUACGAGUCUUCCCAGAUUUUGCGUUUCCAUACAUAUAUUACGACCAAAAGGGUGCAACACGGCCACUUUUAUAACCGGAUGAGCACUUGUCCGUUGUCACCAAGUUCCCAUCGAUCUUUCGUACCUGGACCCGAGUGGCCUGGACGCUGCAGCUGAAGAACACUGUACCGAGUUUCAGACGGUGCCUCUGAGUCGAACAUUGUGUGGACCUGGCACGGCGCCUCAUCCCAUCAGACAAGGAGGCACCCGUAUCUUUCCGCAUUGUACAUACGAAUUGUAAGGCAGAAGCUGUGCUGGUGCUGGUGCUGGUGCUGCUCUAGCUCUACCCUGUGCACAAAGCCAUGCUACAGUGACAGAAUUCCUCUGCGCAUCAAGCAUUCCUGNNNNNNNNNNNNNNNNNNNNNNNNUCAAGCAUUCCUGCACGGCCAAGGUUUUAAAUUAUGUACUCUCACCAUCAUGGCCCAUGAAUUGGUUGUUCGGUUCGCCCGACAAACAAACCAACCAACAAGACGUAGUACUUGCUGGUCAGACAGAAACGGGCGUGUCCAUUAAAUCCUCUCGGAAAAGGAGUAUUUUUGAAGAAAAAAAAAGGUAAGCAACUCGCACGGGGUGAACUGAAGAUAACACUGGCAAGAGUUAGAGUAGCAACGAACUGACAAGGAAAAACAGACAAGGAUUCAGUACAACAGCAAGAGUUCCGCGUGGUAAAAAGGUCUCAGAAGUCUCAUGCUACAGUAGGCAAGUUGUGCUAGGUUUCCAUGGAACACUUGCCACAGAAGAGAUUUGAUUCUAGAUCUUACCCUCCCAGAGGCACUCAGGGGAGGGGCCGCCGUUGUUGCGGUUGUUUCCAGAGGCGGCGCGCGCUAGGAGAUCACCAAGGUGGGGCGGUGGCUGGAGGCCCAUGGCGGAAGCACGCUCCCAGCGCUGAAGCCUGUUCACACCGAUGCAUGGGCCAAACUUCAUGUCCAUGUCAAACUGCCGCAGCUGCUCCUCUUGCUCACUGAAAUCAUCUGCAGCAUCAUAAGCAAGAGUUAUUGUUUGCAAACAUAAAGCACUUGUGAGUUUAAACUGUAUGCAUAACAAUCUCUCCAGCGGGUACCUUUGAGGUCAAAGGAUCCGUGAGAAAUUAGUGCUGCUGUCUGAGCCUUAUUCGAGGCCCCAACAGAGGCCCCUCCAGUAUAAUUCUGUGGUUUCUUCUUAGAAGAUGCUGAAGUUUUGCCGGCACCUCCUUUCUUCUUCUGCCGGUAGAAAUCUUUCACGCCAGUAGAAGCCAUUCUUGUCUAUUAUUCAGUCCUACCUGUGUUUUCCUGUCAAAGACCCCCAACGGAAACUUAAAAUCACUUCUGCUGUAGCUUUUGUGUUUCAUUUGCAUUUUAUUCAUUUCACCACAAAGAAUGCUAUGAGCUAUAAUAAGUACGAUGUGAACAUGACAACAGCAGAAACCUUUCAUGGUUUGUUCAUAGGUCUUACAUAGCCAAGUCCUUAUUCCCGAACACUAACGACCCAAUUUAAUAGAAGGAAUCUGAUAGCUGACGUUGUUCUAUCUACGAGAAUAUCAGUUUUUCUGUGACGACUUGUAAACGGCAUACAGUAUGAUUUAAGACUACGAUAAACUAGGUGCGAAACAGUUACUGCAAGAAGCAGCAACUACCAAGUAAUAUUUGCACAUAGGUUGUAAGACAUUAACCCAGCCAGUUCAAGAGUAAAUAGUCCGUUUGCCUGCCAACGUCAGAACAAAUGGAGCAAUCAUCUGACAAAAACAUGGAGCAUAAAUAAAACAGCAAGCAGGCAUGAAGAGAAGACAUAAAGCAUCAUUGUUCCCCAUCAGCAUAUAGUAUACCGACGACAACCAAACUACAAAAGGCCUACCUAUCUCUGUCAUUUCAAGGUCUAUUAAGCAGUGAGUUUAAGACACUGAAAUGCAUUGAUACAAGAGACACAUCUUGGUUCUUGAAACUCUGUAAAACAAAAACUCAUACUACUAACUAGUUAUGCCCAUGGUCAGCCACCGAACCCGAUGCUCCAAAACCAGAAUUGGCACUCUAGUGGAGAUGUCAUUUGUUCUACUUCCAUCACCCCCUGGGCUUAAAUACACAUAAUGUGCUCUUCUCUUAAGAACACCCCACCCCCCCCCCNNNNNNNNNNNNNNNNNNNNNNNNNNNNNNNNAAGAACCCCCCCCCCCCCCCCCCCUCCCUCCCUCUGGAAAAUCGGCCAAAAAGAGAGGCAAAACGAUACUAAUAAAACACAAUGAUAGCGGCUACUCCCCUUGCAAAUCUGAGGCUGUACCUCCAACUCCAGGCGGUCGCUCAACCAUUACAGUGUACAAAACCUAUCCCAAUCCCUUCCUGGUAAAGAAAUGUAUCCCCUAGACCUAGAAUCUCCCUCCCUCGAACUUGCCGCUGCGGUACAAAAUUAGGCGGUGAACGGCUGGGUUCUACGCAGGGAGGAACUCGGAAGUUGAUUGGAUGGAGCGGAGGGCGUACCAGGGGAGGCGGCGGAGCGGACCGAGCGGAGAGCCGGAGAACGGCGGCGAGGUCAGGUCGGUAGCGAAUCAGGUCUUCGCCUCUUUCGCGUUUGACUACGACGAUACUACAGUACUACUUUGUAUCGUGGCGUAAGAUAUGUAACGUAAACAUGCUGGCCCAGCGACGGCCCAUCAAGUCAGUGGGCGCUUAUAAACCAGACGUAGGGCAACCCAUCAAGUCGGGAAUUCCUACCUGCCGCUCGCUGCGGCAGGGGGUCGCUCCCAAGCACACGCAGGCGUCCUACUGGGCCUGCCCAUCUUUUUUUCUAAAGAAAAACGAUAAUUUCCUUUUUCAUUUCUUUUUUACUGUUUCUUCUUUCCUUUACUGCUUUUCCGCACCUUUUUUGGCUCCUUUUUCUUCCCGUUUCCUUUUUUAUUUUUGUAUCAAAACGAACAAAUGUUCAAUUUCUCAAUCUUUUUUUGAAAUACUAAAUGAUUUUUAAAUCAGAGAACAAAAAAUAAGGAGCUUUAUUUUUUGAAAAGUCAUGAACAAAUUUGGAGACGCGGACAAUUUUCUAAAGCAUGAACAUUUUUUGAAUCUUGAUAAAGUUUUUUGAAACAGAGAACAAUUUUGAAAAAACACAAACAAAUUGAAAGCACGACAUUUUUUGAAUUUUUAGAAGAAACAAAUUAAAGCACAAACAUUUUUUGAAUCUUGAGAACAAAAUUUUCAAAAAUAUAACAAUUUUGACAAACCCCAAACAAAUUUGAAAGCGCAAAUAAAGUUUUCAAGCACAAACAUCUUUUGAAUUUCUAGAACAAAUUUUGAAAUCAAAAACAAAAAUGAAAAAUCGUGAACAUAUUUGAAAGCGUGAAUAAAUUUUUUAAAGCAUGCCCAUUAUUUGAAUUUUGAGAUCAAAAUUUUGAAAUGAAGAACAAUUUUGAAAAACUCCGAACAAAUUUGGAAGCGCGAACAAUAUUUUCAAGCACAAACAUUUCCUGAAUCUUGAGAACAAAAUUUUGAAAUGGAGAACAUAUUUGAAAAACCCCGAACAAAUUUGGAAGCGCGAACAAUAUUUUCAAGCACAAACAUUUCCUGAAUCUUGAGAACAAAAUUUUGAAAUGGAGAACAUAUUUGAAAAACCCCGAACAAAUUUGGAAGCGCGAACAAAUUUUUAAAGCACGAACAUUGUUUGAAUUUUGAGGAGUUUCGAAACCAAUAACAAUUCUCAAAAAUCCUGAACUAAUUUGAAAGCGCAGACAAUUUUUUAAAGCACGAACAUUUUUUGAAUAUUAAUAACAAAUUUGAAUCUCAAGAAGAAAAUUUGAAGAAGUUUUCAAGUUGUGUACAAAUUUUGAGAAAAGAGAAACAUUCUCCAUAAAACAGGAACAUUUUUAUAAAAAAGUGAAAACAAUAACAUUUUCUGAAAACACAGACCAAUUUAAGAAAAAAUGAACUUUUUAAAAAAAACGAGCAAUUUUUUUUAAUACGAGAACAACUUUUGAAACACGAACACUUUUAAAAAUAUGAACACAUUUUGAAAGCAAGACGAAUUUUUGAAGCGCAAACAAUUAAAUAUAAAUAUUGAAAACGGGAACGUUUUUUGAAAUUCAAAACAAAUAUUAGAAAAUGUCAAACACAAAUAUAGGAAAAGGAAAAAAGGAAUAAAAGUGAAUGAAAUAAUGAAUACCAAAACAAAUAACAUUUUCUAAAAUUCGAAUAAUUGUUCUGAAAAUGUCGAACAUUUUUUUCAAAUCGCGAAAAAAAAUAGAAUUUAGAAAUGUUUUUGAAAAAUGGAAUUUUUUUACAAUUCCGAUUUUUUCUAUAAAAUUAAGAACAUUUUCUGAAUUUCAACAACAAUUAUCAAACAUGAACUUACUUUAAAAAAUAACCAUAGAAAAAAUGAGAAACAGAAAAAAGGACAAAAAAAGGGGGAAACGAAACAGAAAAAAGGACAAAAAAAAAAGCAAAAGAGGAACUGCCUGCAGAGGGAGAUGGGCCUCAAUGUGGUGAUUAAAGUAAUUAUAUUUCCAUUCCUCAAUGUGGUGAUUGAAAUAAUUAUAUUUCCAUUCCUUUGCUCACUUUUUUCCAACUGUUACAAUUAUCCUUGAUACCUAUAGAAAAGAUACAUUGGUCUAAAGAGUUUUGUGCAUUGUAAUAUUUGCACACAAUGUGUCUUCGUACCCACAGUAUACUAGGAUAUGAUUCCUGACUUGUUCACAUGCCACAAAUCUAAUUUUGAUUGUUUACAAUUAUCGGUGUUAAUGAUGCUUGUUCUUGUAAUUGACAUAAAGAAAGAAAAAUAUUAGUGUAGAUUCAUUGAUCUUAGAGUUCAAGAUUUAUGUUAGAAAUUGAAUGUGUCCUCGUUAAGAGGAGUUAAUCGUGUCCUUGUUGGGUUCGACACUCUUACUCAUCGAAAGGACUACGAUAGAUCCCCUGUAAUUAUGGGUCAUCAGGGACCCACAUGAACGUGGGUAGGCCCCACACCCCUAGUCAAGGUGCACCAAGAUCCCCCCUUAGAAGGAAUAAGAUCAUAUCCCGAAGGGAUAAGAUCAAGAUCCCUAAAAAAGGGGGAUAACAAUCGGUGGGGAAGGGAAAGGAUGGGACUUCUUUCCUCCCACAUUUGCCAACGCCCCAAUGGACUUGGAGGGCAAGAAACCGACCCCCUCCACCCCUAUAUAUAGUGGGAAGGCGCAUGGGAGCUUAACCCUAGCCCCUGGCGCAGCCCUCCCCCUCCUACACCUCCUCCUGCUCCAUAGUGCUUAGCAAAGCUGUGCCGGAGAACCACGAGCUCUACCGCCACCACACCGUCGUGCUGCCGGAGUUCUCCCACAACUUCUCCUCUCCCCUUGUUGGAUGAAGAAGGAGGAGACGUCCCCGGGUUGUACAUGUGUUGAACGCGGAGGCGCCGUUCGUUUGACGCUUGGAUCGGAUCUUCUGCGAUUUGGAUCAUCAUGAGUACAACUCCAUCAACAGCGUUCUUUGCAACGCUUCCGCUUAGCGAUCUUCAAGGGUAUAAAGAUGCACUCCCUCUCUCUCGUUGCUAGCAUCUCCUAGAUUGAUCUUGGUGACACAUAGGAUUUUUUUUGAAUUAUUACUACGUUCCCCAACAACUACCGCCAAAGAGUAGUAGUAAAAAACUACUACCACUCUUCCUACGGUACUAACGCUGGCACUAGCGGUACUACCGCUGUAAGUGCAUCUAGUGCGCCUUAGUGAUUUUGGUGGUUUGAAGACUUAUAGGUUAAGUAUCUAAUGUGUUUACGAGUGUACACAGGAUCUAUAAGUCACUGAGGAGUUUGAAAUAUUUGAGGAAUAUCGACCCCUAAAAAUGUAUAUCUUCGGUUGAAGAAAUUGGUCUAAAGCUGAAAAAUUGAAUCGCGAAGAAUCCGCGAUGAAAUUGAUAUUCCUCAUGAAGAUAUUGAAAUUGAGGAAUUCGGUGUGUCCUAAAGAAAAUCAUUCUGAAGACUUUGAAGCAUGAGGAUUUACUCUUUCUGUUUUAUUUUCUUCACACUUGAGUAAUAGGAACACCGUACUGUUAAAGGGGGUCGAAGUUACACUCUGGAAUGAAUUUCUUCAUGAUGCUCAACCCAAGCCUAAUCCUACCAAAAGCCUCAAGUGAGGAAUACGAGUGACAUGAGGACUCUCACAGUUGAGGGUUCCGACCGUUUCGAUAGCCACGCCACAUCAUUGGUCUUAUCCACACCAACGGUCAUAUUAUUUAAGGGCAUUAGUGUCAAAUCAUGUCAGGAUGCUCCCAGGCUAUAAAUAGCCGCCCCCACAACCAUUAGCUGGUUGGCUGCUCUGUUAGAAACUGACACUUGUCAUAAGAGCAACCCAAUUCCUCAGAGUCUUCGAGAGAAAUUUAUCAGUGAGGAAAUACCCCAAACACCAAACCACAAACUUAGAACCAAGUGAUUGAGCAUCACUGAAGAAGUUGUUCGUGUGUGGUACUGAAGCCUUUUACCUUUGAGGACUGUGCAUCCUCCAAACGGUUAGGCGUCAUGGUCUAGAGCAAUCGAGCAGUCAAUUGUGGAUCGCCGGGUGACCAAGUUUGUGAGGGUUUGGAAGUCUGCCCUGAAGACUUACCACGAGUGUUGGGUGAGGGCUGUGUGUUCUUAGCCCAAGGAGAAUACGGUAGGGACUGUGUGUCCCGGGACUGUGUGUCUUUUGGUUUCAAUACCAAACCGCUCCAAACCAGAUGUACGACUGUCAUAGCAGUUGGAACUCGGUCAUCAACUACUGUCUUCGCUGUGAAACGGAUUCUAAUUCCUCAACCCUUUACAUUCCUCAGAUUAUGUGUUGAUGACUUUCACUGUGACUGUUUGAAUAAUUUGCUGAAGACUUUCUCUGAAAUUCCUCAACCCCAAAUUCUUCAAACUAGUUAAUCCUCAUCUAUUUUCUGCCUGCCUGCUCACUGUGCAAUCUGUUUUCACAUUCCUCACACUGAAAAACUAUUGUUGUGAAACUUUGCACUUCUGAUCCUUUACUGUUUCCAAUGUAAGUUAGUCAUUAGUGAGGAAUUUCGUCAAAAGGAAUUUCCUGAGUAAUGAAAUUCUAAAAAUCUCCUAUUCACCCCCCUCUAGUCGAUAUAACGCACUUUCAACCGCUGGACACAGAAACUGCCAUAACUUUCGCAUAUGAGCUUCGAAUCAAAUGAACUGCAAGCACUGGGAGCUCGAGACAUUACUGAUCACGAAGUUGUGAAGAAACUGCUAAGAUCUUUGGAUUCUUCAUUUGAUACUUUAGUACUGAUGAUUCAAGAAAGACCAGACUACAAGAUGCUUGAUCCAGCUGAUAUACUCGAAAGACUCAAUACUCAUGAAUUCCAUGUAGAAGAAAAGAAAGAUCUAUAUGGACCAAGCUAUUCUAGACCACGUGCACUGAAGACUAGAGCAAUUUCCUCAUCUGAGGAAGAAAAUUCGGAUGAUAGCAUUGGUGACCCUGAAGAAUUUGGACAGGAGCUUGCAAUGCUCGUGAGGAAAUUCCAGAGGUUUACACGACGUGGUCAGUUCGGUAAAUCUUCAAGAAGAGACAUGAGGAAAUCAGAAUCUUCAUCUGAGGACUACAAGAAAAGAACCUGCCACAAAUGCAAGAAAUCAGGUCAUUACAUUGCUGAAUGUCCCCGUUGGGGAAAGGAAUCAAAGAAGAAGAAAUACAAGGAUGACAGUUCUGAUGACUCGUAGAAGAAGAAGAAAUCUUCAAAAUCCUCAUCUUCAAAGCCCUCAUCGCACAAGAAGACUAGUUUCAGAAAGGCUCGGGCACUUAUUGGCAAGGAAAUGGAUUCCGAGGCAGAAUCAGAGGAAUGUGAUGAAGAAGAGGGUUCUGAUGAAGACUCAGAAUCCGGACAGGCUAGUCUUGCACUUGCAACCACUUUCGUGAGCAAGUCAAUCUUCAACCUUGAAGAAGAUGACAACACCAUCCACAGUGAUGACUAUGCUGAUGACUUUGCUCCAACCUAUUGCUUCAUGGCAAAAGGUUCAAAGGUACCGAAUGAUGCUUCCUCCUCUGAUUCAAGUGACUCUGAACCUAAUGAUUAUAAAAAACCCAGUUACAGUAAACUUGCUAUCAUUGCCACUAAACAACAAACUGCCCUGGAAAAGCUUCAGAAACUGCUAGAUAGAAGUGAUGAUCUGUUGAAUGAUGAAAUGAAUCUUACCCAAAUCCUCACUGAAGAUGUGAAAAGUCUUCAGUCUAGAUUUGAUAAUCUUCAAGAUCGUUAUGAUACCCUCCUCGCUGAUCAUGAAAAACUUUCCUAUGAAUUUAUUCAAAGGAAGCUUGAUCUAGAGAAGUUGAGGAUUUCUCAUGAUGAUCUUCGUAUAGAAAAUGAUUCAUUUCUAGCUCAACAGAUCAGCGCUGCUCAAGCUGAAUUCAUUCCUCCAUGUCUUAAAUGCAUUGAAUGCGAAACUGCUAAUUCUUCACCAGAAUCAUCAAAUGCUUCUAUUGCUACAAAUUCUUCAACUGCACCUGUAGUGUCACUUGAGGAAAACACAAAUGUUACUGAUGAAAAUGCAGGGUUGAAGGAAUUGUAUGUGACAGGCAUAUACAAAAGCCUCAAAGGACAUCAAACCCUUUGUGAUGUUCUCAAAAAGCAGAUCUUGAACAGGAACCCGAGGAAAGAAGGAAUUGCCUUUGAGAGGAAAUUAAAUGCACAUGGAUCUUAUUGGAAACCUGAGCAGUAUCCAAAAACCUCAUGGGUUGCUGCUACUGGGCCUCCUUUUGAUCCAUCCAAUCUAACUGGCUUUUCAUGUGAAUUAUCCUAUUCCUCACAUGAGUCAUUUGACUCCAACUAUAAACUGUUCAAAUAUCAAUCUGGUGAAGUAUUUGCUCGAUAUGUUGGAACUAACUGCAGGAAUGGCCCUCCUUUGAGGAAAAUCUGGGUUCCCAAAAGUUGUCUUGAAAAUCUUCAGGUGAAUGUCCUCAUGACACCACCAAUGAAGAAUCUGAACCCCAGAUCAAAAUCCUCAGGAGGACCAAAGUCUUCAAGAGGAUCAAAAUCCUCAACUGAUCAAAAUUAUGCUCAUUCCCGUGCUAAUACUUCUAACAUGCAGGGAAACUACAAGGAAUAUGAAUAUGAGCGUUACUCUUCAAAUCAUUAUGUUCGUAAGUCCUCAAACCAGUUCUCUGCAUAUUCAUAUGAGUACUUUAACCCCCCUACUGUUAAGAGAAGUGCAUUAGCUUCAAUGCCACCUUUUUCAUAUGGUACUCGCAGGAUGAUGAAUGCUUUACCACCCCUUCAGAUGUGGAUGGUGAAGAAAUCGAACUAAUCACUUCUGCAGGUCAGGUCUCCACUUGAAAAUCACCAUCUGAAGAAUUUGCUGGAGACCUGAGGAAAUGCUUGAUAGGACGCAAGCUAAUAUUGAUGAAAUAGAAAUAUUUCACACGUCUUUUUUAAUUCUGUUAUGAUGAAAUUCUUAUCUUAUGAAAUUGAUAUCAUAUUCUUCAAAUCUGAAGUGUAUGAGAUGGUAAGCUGUACUAAUUCAUCUACAGGAUGACAAACCCAAGAAUACUGUGUGGGUUCUUGAUAGUGGCUGCACCCAUCACAUGACUGGUGAUAAAAGCUUGCUGAUGAAUAUGCCACUAACUCCAUCACCUCUGAAGCAAAUCACAUAUGCUGACAAAGGUAAAAGCAAGGUAUUGGGACUUGGCAAAGUGGCUAUUUCCAAGGAUAGGCAUAUGGACAAAGUGAUGCUUGUUGAAUCCCUUGGUUUUAACCUCAUGUCAGUCUCGAUGCUUUGUGAUCUUGAUAUGAUUGUUAUCUUUGGUAGAUAUAGAUGUGUAGUCUUCAUGGAAUCUGACAGAUCCAAAGUCUUCGAAGGUGUAAGAAGAGGGGAUUUGUGCAUUGUUGAUUUCUCUACAAGUCCUCAACCAGCCACUUGCUUACUAGCAAAGACCUCAGAAGGAUGGGUGUGGCACCGAAGACUAGGUCAUGCAGGCAUGAGGAAUUUGCACACGCUUGCGAAGAAGAAGCAUGUCAUCGGCAUCGAAUCAGUCAAAUUCCUCAAGAAUCAUCUCUGCGGUGCAUGUGAAUCUGGGAAAAUGACCAGAUCCAAGAAUCCCUCGAAGACUAUCAUGACCACUACACGUCCCUUAGAAUUGCUUCAUAUGGAUCUAUUUGGACCUACUCACUAUGCCACACUAACCAAUGCAGCAUCUUUAUAUGGCUUCGUCAUAGUUGAUGAUUAUUCCAGAUAUACAUGGGUGCAUAUCAUCAUAUAUAAAACUGAAGUGCAGGAAAUCUUCGAACGAUUUUCUUCAAGGGCCUCGACGAACUUUGGCAUCAAGAUCAAACAUAUCAGGAGUGAUAAUGGAAUAGGGUUCAAAAACACUGGUCUCGAUGAUUAUCUUGAUGAACUUGGUAUUACUCACGAAUUAUCUGCUCCUUAUAUUCCUCAGCAGAACGGUGUCGUCGAGAGGAAGAACAGGACUCUGGUUGAGAUGGCAAGAACUAUGCUUGAAGAAUAUCAGACUCCUCGUCGCUUUUGGCCUGAAGCAAUCAACACUGCAUGCCAUAUCAUCAACAGGGUAUAUCUUCACAAAUUCCUCAAGAAAACCUCAUAUGAACUCAUCACUGAUAAGAAACCCAAUGUAAGUUAUUUCAAAGUCUUCGGUGCAAAAUGUUGGAUUAGAGAUCCUCACCAUAGCUCAAAAUUUGCACCUAAGGCACAUGAGGGUUUUAUGCUCGGUUAUGGAAAGGACUCGCACACCUACAGAGUCUUCAACAACUAUCACAACAAAGUUGUUGAGACUGUAGAUGUGCGGUUCGAUGAAACUAAUGGCUCGCAAAGAGAGCAAUUGCCUUGUGAUCCAGAUAAGUUGUCUCCUGAGGAAGCAAUAAAGCUCAAGCCUACUGAAGACAUUGUUCCCACUGAGGAAAUUGAUGAAGAAACCAUCCCCAUCACUGAUGAAAAUCAAGAAGAUGCUCUUGAGGAAAUUGCUCCAGAACCUCUUCCUCAGCCCAGACGAAAUCCUCAACCAGCUCAUCCGAGGAUUGCAAAUGAAGUAGAACUUGACAAAAUCCUCAACGACAUCAACGCGCCAGGUCCUCUCACUCGCUCAAAAGCUUCACACUUAGUUAACUUUUGUGGGCAUUUUUCCUUUGUAUCUAUCACAAAACCCUCAAAAGUUGUUGAGGCUUUCUUGGAACCGGAGUGGAUCCAAGCUAUGCAAGACGAACUUCUUCAAUUCAAGCUGAAUGACGUAUGGGAGCUAGUCAAACGACCAGAUCCUCGCAAGCACAACAUCAUCGGAACAAAGUGGAUUUUCCGAAACAAGCAAGAUGAGGAUGGUCAAGUGGUGAGGAAUAAGGCAUGACUCGUAGCCCAAGGCUACAUCCAGGUUGAAGGAAUAGAUUUCGAUGAAACUUCUGCACCUGUUGCUAGACUUGAAGCUAUUCGAAUACUACUUGCUUAUGCUAAUCAUCAUAACAUCAUCUUAUAUCAAAUGGAUGUGAAAAGUGCAUUCCUCAAUGGUAAGCUUGAGGAAGAAGUAUAUGUUGCUCAACCCCCAGGUUUUGAGGAUUCAAAGAAUCCAGACAAAGUAUUCAGACUCAAAAAGGCGCUCUAUGGUCUCAAGCAAGCCCCUCGGGCAUGGUAUGACACAUUGAAGGAAUUCCUCAUGAAGAAAGGCUUCAAACCUGGUUCACUCGAUCCAACUCUUUUCACUAAAUCCUAUGAUAAUGAGCUAUUUGUGUGCCAAAUAUAUGUCGAUGAUAUCAUAUUUGGCUGUACUGACAAACGAUACAGUGAUGAAUUUGCUUACAUGAUGAGUGAAAAAUAUCAGAUGUCUAUGAUGGGGGAGCUGAAAUUCUUCUUAGGUCUUCAAAUUCGUCAACAACGCAAUGGAAUCUUCAUAUCACAGGAGAAAUACCUCAAGGAUGUUCUGAGGAAAUUCGACAUGCAUGAAUGCAAAGGUGCCAAGACUCCAAUGCCUACAAACGGACACCUCGGCACUGAUGAAAAUGGUAAAGAAUUCGAUAAACAGGUAUAUCGCUCUAUGAUUGGCACUUUAUUGUAUCUGUGUGCAUCUAGGCCAGAUAUAAUGCUUAGUGUUUGCAUGUGUGCACGUUUUCAAGCAAAAUCGAAGGAAUCACACCAUAAGGUUGUGAAAGCAUAUUCUUCGAUACUUAGCUCACACACCAACACUAGGAUUAUGGUAUCCCAAGGGCUCAAAUCUUCAUCUGGUAGGGUAUUCUGAUUCUGACUAUGCUGGUGAUCAUGUGGAUCGCAAGUCAACUUCUGGUACAUGUCAUUUCCUCCGAAGAUCACUAGUUUGCUAGUCCUUAAAGAAGCAGAAUUGUGUAUCACUCUCCACUGCCGAAGCUGAGUACAUUGCUGCUGGUUCAUGCUGUGCUCAAUUACUAUGGAUGAAGCAAACCCUCAAGGACUACGGCAUCAACAUGAAGAAUGUGCUUCUCUACUGCGACAAUGAGAGUGCAAUCAAGAUUGCAUACAACCCAGUACAACACUCGAAGACCAAGCACAUCCAGAUUUGUCAUCAUUUUCUUCGGGACCAUGUCCUCAAGGGCAAUAUCCUCAUCGACCAUGUGAAGACUGAUGAUCAACCGGCAGAUAUCUUCACUAAGCCCUUGGAUGAUAAAAGGUUUUGCAAGUUGCGGUGUGAGCUAAAUAUCUUAGAAUCUUCAAAUGUUUUGUAAAAACAUGCACACAUCCUAACACUUAUGCAAAAUUGAUGACUUAGAUGUGCAACACAUGAUGAAUCGAUUUUCUUCAACUAAUGAAGAAUAUCACUCUGAAUGUGGAGAAAUCAACGAAGAAAUUGAUUCUCACGGCCCUACGACAAUUGUACGCGGCGUCUGUAAUCAACAUUCUUAUAUGGUGGGUCACGCCACCGCCCAACGUGAAAUUCCUCAAGUUGAUUUUCUUCAAAGUUCCAUUUCCUCAAAACUUGUUUUUCUUCAAAAACACUUGAUGACUUUCGUUUAACUACAUAGACUGUGAUUUCAAGUCCUCAACAGCAUUCACUUAUAGCUAUUUCUUCAAGUUGAUAUUUCAUCUAAGUGAAUGUGAUCGGACCCUACUUUCCCUCUAUGCUAUUCUCAUCCAGUCUAUUCGAUUCUUCAUAUGCGUUCUGCUUGAAACUUUGUUCAAAAUCCUCACUGCGUCCUUGUCAGCUGAUGAUUUUGUAACUAAAAUCCUCAACUCUUCAAAAAUGUUUCUUUAAUGCACAGUAACCGAACCCCACUUCCCACGUUCGGAUAACCACGAUCUCCACUAUCUCCACCGCCUUGCUCGGGAGCUACACGUGUCCUGCGGAGACGUAGAGGCAGGGGUUGUUUGGUCCGAAUUCUUCGCGCCGACAGUAACUGCCUGGCUAUAAAUAUGUCCUUAUACCCCUCGGCAAACACUUCUUCGCUCCAUUGCUCUCCUGCUAUAGCAAAAGCCCCGAACCCUAGCGCCACCGGUGGAAGUCUCAUCGCCGGCAAAGAAGAGCUUCACUGCCUCGACUUCUCCGUCGCCGGAACCACGCCGGAGUCGGACCAUCUUCGUCCGCCGCCGCCGUAGACGUCCUCUGCUGCCGGGUUAGGGCGCAUUGGACACGCACCGAAGAGCUUCUCUCUGCAACUCUUCUCUGUUCUUCGUGCGCGCCAUCUAGGGUAAAUAAAAACCCUAUUUUUACAGCAAGUUAGAUCUACUAUUUUACAUCUCAGAUGUGAAAUCUAUUUUUCCUCAAGAAUCCAUAUGCAUCUGAUUCCUCAAACACUGCCUAUCACCACACUGUUGAUGAACUUCACUAAGCAUCUAAGAUUUUCACGAGAUUCCUCAAUUGUGUGAAUUUUUGGAUCUGUACAACUCUGGAACCCAAGAACGGUAUGCUUAGGCAAAUUCCUCAACCACUGGUUAAAUGUUAGAAUUAUGCCCUAGAGGCAAUAAUAAAUAUAGUUAUUAUUAUAAUUCNNNNNNNNNNNNNNNNNNNNNNNNNNNNNNNNNNNNNNNNNNNNNNNNNNNNNNNNNNNNNNNNNNNNNNNNNNNNNNNNNNNNNNNNNNNNNNNNNNNNUAAAGUGAAUGCAGCUGUUUCUAAUGCAUAACCCCAAAACGAUAACGACAAAUCAGUAAGAGACAUCAUAGAUCGCACCAUUUCUAAUAAAGUACGAUUACGACGUUCGGACACACCAUUACGCUGUGGUGUUCCAGGCGGUGUUAACUGCGAAACAAUUCCACAUUGUCUUAAGUGAGUACCAAACUCGAAACUCAGAUACUCACCCCCACGAUCAGACCGUAGGAACUUGAUCUUCUUGUUACGAUGAUUUUCCACUUCACUCUGAAAUUGCUUGAACUUUUCAAAUGUUUCAGACUUGUGCUUCAUCAAGUAGACAUAACCAUAUCUACUCAAAUCGUCAGUGAAGGUGAGAAAAUAACGAUAUCCGCCGCGUGCCUCCACGCUCAUCGGACCACACACAUCGGUAUGUAUGAUUUCCAAUAAGUCACUUGCACGCUCCAUUGUUCCGGAGAACGGAGCUUUAGUCAUCUUGCCCAUGAGGCAUGGUUCGCAAGUGUCAAGUGAAUCAAAGUCAAGUGACUCCAAAAGUCCAUUAGCAUGGAGUUUCUUCAUGCGCUUUACACCAAUAUGACCCAAGCGGCAGUGCCACAAAAAUAUGGCGCUAUCAUUGUUUACUCUAACUCUUUUGGUCUCAAUGUUAUGUAUAUGUGUAUCGCUAUCGAGAUUCAAUAUGAACAAUCCUCUCACAUUCGGUGCAUGACCAUAAAAGAUGUUACUCAUAGAAAUAGAACAACCAUUAUUCUCAGACUUAAAAGAGUAACCGUCUCGCAAUAAACAAGAUCCAGAUAUAAUGUUCAUGCUCAACGCAGGCACUAAAUAACAAUGAUUUAGGUUCAUCACUAAUCCCGAUGGUAGGUGAAGUGACAUGGUGCCGACGGCGAUUGCAUCAACCUUGGAACCGUUUCCUACGCGCAUCGUCACUUCGUCUUUCGCCAGCCUCCGUCUAUUCAUCAGUUCCUGCUUCGAGUUGCAAAUGUGAGCAACAGAACCGGUAUCGAAUACCCAGGCACUACUACGAGAGCUGGUUAAGUACACAUCAAUAACAUGUAUAUCAAAUAUACCUGAUUUUUCUUUGCCCGCCUUCUUAUCUGCCAGAUACUUGGGGCAAUUGCGCUUCCAGUGACCCAUACCCUUGCAAUAGAAGCACUCUGUUUCAGGCUUAGGUCCAGCCUUGGGUUUCUUCGGCGGAUUGGCAACAGGCUUGCCGCUCUUCUUCGAAUUGCCCUUCUUGCCUUUGCCGUUUCUCUUGAAACUAGUGGUCUUGCUCACCAUCAACACUUGAUGUUCUUUACGGAGUUCAGACUCUGCGACUUUCAGCAUCGCAAACAACUCGCCGGGAGACUUUUUCAUCCCUUGCAUGUUGUAGUUCAACACGAAGCUUUUAUAGCUUGGCGGUAGUGAUUGGAGGAUUCUGUCAGUGAUAGCUUCUUGCGGGAGUUCAAUCCCCAGUUCAGCUAGACGGUUUGAGUACCCAGACAUUUUGAGCACAUGUUCACUNNNNNNNNNNNNNNNNNNNNNNNNNNNNNNNNNNNNNNNNNNNNNNNNNNNNNNNNNNNNNNNNNNNNNNNNNNNNNNNNNNNNNNNNNNNNNNNNNNNNGCCGCCAGGAUAGCCGAUUCUCUCUAGCGGACUGAUUCAGAGGCUCGUAGAGGAAUCGAGCAGAUCCGCGCCUUGUUGCUUAUGGUGCAAUAGCAAAAUUCGGCGAUCUCCCAGUCGCACAACAGGAUCCACAACAGUUCUGUUCAAGCGAACACGCAUCGGUCGGUUUUCAGUCCCGACUCUCACCAGCGAUGCAGAGGGGGCAGCCGUUCCAAGGACCCGAGUCGGAAUACGCUUCCCAUUUGGUCUCAUCCCGAAGAUCGUCGCCGUUCGCGUACUCCUCCAUGGUGUGGGCCUUACGGGCCCCGGCAUUACGAUGAUCGUCGUUCGGGCGGUGGCGCGCAUGAUCCAAGGCCUGAUGCAAGAGGGUACAUCACCCAGACGAAGGUCGACAAAAGUCGAGCCCACCGUGAUGGUCAGGAUAGAGACCAUCCGAGUGGAAGCAGGACCGUUGUUUCUGGCCCCGAGUGCUUCAGUCGGGCCAUCCGCUCAGCUGACAUCCCUCCCAACUUCUGAUUGGUGACGGGAAUCAGCAAAUUCACAGGAGAGUCCAAACCAGAAACUUGGUUGGACGACUACAGAGUGGCGGUCCAGAUCGGUGGCCGAGAUGACCAUGUCGCCAUGAAAUAUCUCCCACUGAUGCUCGACGGUUCGGUGCGAGCUUGGCUAAACUAGUUAGCUCCGUCAAGGAUCUACAGUUGGGCAGAUCUGGCCCGAGUCUUCAUAAGGACCUUUCAGGGAAUGUGCAAACGCCCUGCUGGUCUCGUGGAGCUUCAUCACUGUGUCCAGAAGCAAAACGAGCCCUUGCGCGAUUUCAUCCAGCACUGGACGACCCUCUACCACAAGGUGGAGAAUGUCACAGAGCACCAAGCAGUCUGUGCCUUCAAGGUAGGCGUUCAAUACAGAGAUCUGUACCUGAAGUUUGGUCGGACAGGCGACAUCUCCAUGAGCAAGAUGAUGGAGAUAGCCACGCGCUAUGAAAUGGCGAAGAGGAGGACCACAUAUGUAGCGGCAAGCAUAAGUCAGUCGCCGAUGGAGAUGGGAACAACUGUUGGAAGCAGAAGCAGAAUUCUCAAUCCACUCCGCAGGCAUAGGCAGCAGCCGUCACAAAUGCCAAGUUCAAAGGCAAGGGGAAAGCACAAUACGCCCCCAAGAAGAGGCAAUCAGGAAAUUCCAUCCUAGAUCAACCGUGUCCAAUCCACACGAAGACAGAUGAAGAAGGCAAUGUCAUAUUGUCGAAGCAUACCACUCGGCAGUGUCGCCUCCUGAUCCAAGGAUUCGGCGAAGGACAACCGAGUGAGAAGGACACCGAGCAGGAUGAUGAGGACAAGGAGGAUCCGUUCCCCCUAGUCCAUGCAACAUUGAUGAUUUUUGUUGAUGUGGAAAGCAAAAGUCGACUGAAGCUGGUCAACAGGGAGGUAAACAUGGCAACCCCAUCCACUCCCACGUUCCUCAAGUGGUCACAGACUGUGAUCACCUUUGAUCAGUCAGACCACCCAGCACACGUACCCACCCCAGGGAGGCAGGCUCUGGUCAUCGACUCGGUGGUGGAAGGAGUUAGGCUGCGCAAAUUCCUCAUGGACGGCGGCAGCGGCUUNNNNNNNNNNNNNNNNNNNNNNNNNNNNNNNNNNNNNNNNNNNNNNNNNNNNNNNNNNNNNNNNNNNNNNNNNNNNNNNNNNNNNNNNNNNNNNNNNNNNACGCACACACUACAUGUACUAUGUUCGUUUCGUUUCAUUUUCUUUGUUSCGMRAARGGGUUAGGUUUUGGGAAGUUUGGGGUACCGUUGGGGUCGUUAGUUCGAGGAUGUAGGUGGGCAACGGGUASGCACACGGCAUGCACACAGGAGAUGCGGUCACUGAUCACGUAAGCUACUUGGUGAGUUUCUUGCACGAGGCCGAUGAUUUUCUUGAAGAAAAACUCAACGACCGAUGACGAGAGCUAGGGAGCGAGUGCGACACCAUACAACCGCGCAACUUCUGUAUGAUGCAAACCUUGACCUUUCGAAUCAUCUAGUUGCCUUCCCCGCCAAAAUUCUAGUUAAAUUUGGUGCGAUCACCCUCGGAGUGUGAAAAAACGGGUUCGGUUUGGUCCUAUGUUCAAACUGAAAAUGGUUGGAUGCAGAGAAGCAGCCAGGGAUUGGAUGGUUGGAUCAUCUCUAACAGAUUCCUUAAAAAUGGUUAAAUUUCAUAAGAAAUAACGUACAGUUGUCAACAAACAUCUCAAGUAACUAUUUUCAAACCGAAUAGUAGCCCGUAAAAGUGGUUAAAUCCGUAAACCCCUGAGCAUCCACCCCAUGACUCCUUUAUUUCCAUAUUUGGAGGCAGAACUGAGGAUACCUUAAAAACCGGUCAACGUUACUCCCUCCCUCCGUCCACAAAUAAGUGUACAUAUAGAUUUUUACUUAGUUAAAUUUUUUAAAAUUUGAUCAAUUUUAUAGAAAAUAGUAGCAACAUAUAUGGCAUAAAAAUGAUAUAUUUAAAAACUUCAUGUAAAGACGAAUCUAUUGAUACUUAUUUGAUGUCAUAAAUGCUAACACUUUUCUCAAUAAAGUUAGUCAAAGUUUAACUAGUUUGACUGACAGAAAAGGAAAAAGUACACUUAUUACCGGACGGAGGGAGUAUAUGAUAAAGGAUUUUGUCGUGCGCACACGGGCUCCGAUGACCUUUCACCAUGAAACUCGCCAACUCGAGCAGCUACGGACUAGCUAGCUACGCUAGAUCGAUUUGUAUUUGGCUGCUUCGUGUGCUGUUCGUCGGCUUUUUAGAGCGAGCUAGUUGAUCGUGGAUAUGAACGAGAUGAAGAAGAAGACUGAGACAAAUAUAAGCAAAUAUUCAGUUUUAUAGUUUAAGUUUGAGAGGUUUGUUCGACCGCAACUCAAAUCGAUUCUUAAAAUGCGUUUUUUUCUGAAUUGAAAACCGCGCUUCAGUUUCACGAUUUAAGGGUUCUGCUGGAGGUGCUCUUAGGAGGGUGUCCGUGCCCCGGGCUAUCACUCAUCAAACCUCGGGUAAUGGGCAUCAUUUAAAAAAAUAAGAGACGACAUUCUGGUGUGAGUGCACGCAUGCAUGAGUCUACAUUGUAACAUGUGUUUAAAAAAGGAUUUUGUUUUAGAGGAUUUGAUGCUUAUGAUCACCUAGUCAAGGAAAUGAGUUAAGAAACUCGGUAACUGGUUUCUUGUAAUCGGUGUUUUCCAUGUUGAUAAUUUUCUUCGUCGAAAAUUAAGAUAAUUUGGAAACAAAAAUAGGAAAAGAGUUUCUUUUGUUGAAAACUAAGAUAAUUUGAAAUGAAAACUAGGAAAAGGUGAUUUAAAAUAUAAAAAAUAUAUGUGACCAAAAACAAGAAACCGGUUGUGUAUAAAACUGCAAGCUUACACAAGGAAUUUUGACUUGAAAUUUAUCGGGAAACAUCCAUAAUCACAUAAGAACUCUAAAAUGUUUAGACAAAUGUGAAAUAUUCCACAUAAGGAUUCGAAAACUUUUGAGAACUUUUAGAAGUAAAAAAAUGUUUAUAUCUAGUCCCAUGUUCAAACUAAAAAUGGUAUGAUACUAUACAUUGGACAAAUGAAGUAGAAAAGUAAGGAAAAAAGGAAGUGUUGUAAAUAAAUAGUCGAAAACUUAAGUGAUUCGAAGGAAAACAAUGAAAAGUAAUGUUAAAAACUUACGGAUAUACAAAAGAAAAAAAGAAACCAAUUGUGAAAAAGGUAUACAUUCAUAGAAACAUGAUAUUUCAAAAUUGAAAUUGUCUUGGAACAUCUAUAACAUCAAAAAUUCUGAAAUACCGUUAUAGUGUAAAAAAACUGUCUGCAUGGAUUGUUUUUGUCUAGUUCACCUCUGUUUUUAGAAUAAAUGUGUCUGUUAGGCAUAAAAUUCAUAGGAGAUAUUAGCAUUUCUUUAAUAUUUUUAGCUCCUUGUUUGUUUUCAAGUUUCUUGUUUUCCCUACUUAUUUUUGCUAAGUGUAUGUCUUUUGCGUGAAUAAGUGGAUGCAACCUCGUCAUAAAAAACAUUACUUGGGUAAUUAACCAACUUCUAGACAAUUUGACAAUUUUUUAUGCUUUCAAAAACAAGAAURGCCAAUACAGAGUUAAGAUAUGACGAGGUUAUUUGGGUAAUUGACCAACUUUUAGACAAUUAUUUAUGUUCUCGGAAACAAGAAGUUGAGAUAUCAAACGGUUAUUUGGGUAAUUGACCAACUUUUAGACAAUUAGUUUGACCCACAAAAUAAUCGCCAAAAUAAGGGUUUGCACGGAAAAUGUUGCCACACAAGACCCUGCAAACGCGUCCGACCCGCAAACUUUUUUGACGGGCGCGGCAAAAUCCCCUCCCGACCCACGAAAACACAGGUUUCCGCCUCGCCUAUAGGAUGCCCUGCAUUCGAGGGAAGCGGUUAGCGGGACGGACAUUUCAGCCCACGCCCUUUCCCCACCCCCUUCCGCUGCCGCGCCGCCAUUAGUUCCCCCUAUCCCCCGUCGGUGAUUCUGCCGAAUCUACCGGGUGAAUCGCGCCGCUGGGCACCACUGUCCUCUUCCGCCAAGCCGCUACAUCGACUCCCCCGGAUCCGCCAAUCCACGGCGGCGGGAGAGCCACCGCCGGAGAUGGACUUGAGCCUGUGCGAGAAGUUUCCGCUCGAGGAUUCAUCCGAUUCGGACGACCCAGAUGUUGAGACGAUGUUCUCAUAUUUUGCCAGCAUAGUUUGGUGAUGGCCCUCGCCGUGAAGGAGCACGAAGACGAGCACCGAAAGAGGCGGCGUGGAUCAACUAUUAGUCGUCUUUGCAUUCCUCGAAAUAGCCAUCUCGGCAACGAGAUGCUGAUGCGAGACUACUUCGCCGCCAAUCCAACAUACCCGCCGCACCUCUUCGGGAGAAGGUACCGUAUGUGCAGAUCCAUGUUUGUUAAAAAAAGUUAAGCUUGCGAGGCUAAUUGUCGAUAUUUUACUCAAAGAAGGAAUGUCGCGGGCUUGAAGGGAUUUAGUGCAUAUCAGAAAAUCUCGGCAGCUAUGCGGGUAAUUUCAUACGGCGUUCCGGCUGACUAUACCGAUGAGUACCUUCGCAUUGGGGAAGACAGUACAAUUGAGUCGGUGCGUAGGUUUGCCAAAAUGAUUGUCCGUGUCUUUGAUCCUGAAUAUCUUUGGGCACCGAACGAGGAAGACACAAAAAAUUGAUGACAUUUAACGAAAGAAGAGGAUGGCUCGCAUGCUAGGAAGCAUAGAUUGUAUGCAUUGGACUUGAAAAAAUUGUCCAAAAGCAUGGCAAGGAAUGUACCGUGGCAAGUCUCGUGAUGCAACAAUUGUGCUAGAGGUCGUACCUUCACAUGAUUUAUGGAAUUGGCCUUGAUUUUUUGGUAUGCCGGGUACUCUAAAUGAUAUAUAUCAAUGUGUUGCAACGGUCUCAUUUGCUUGCUAGGCUUGCUAGUGGUGAUGCUCCAGCUUGCAAAUACACUAUCAAUGGGCAUGAAUACACAAAAGGAUACUAUCUUGCAUAUGGUAUAUACCCUUCUUGGUGCACAUUUGUGAAGAGCAUCAAAGACCCCCAAAGUAGAAAGGAGUCUGAAUUCGCAAGGGCACAAGAGGCAGCCUGAAAAGACAUUGAAAGAGCAUGUGGGGUUUUGCAAUCUAGGUUUGCCAUUGUUCGUGGUCCUGCUCGAUUUUGGGACAAACGAUCCUUAAAAAACAUCAUGACAUGUUGUGUUAUUCUUCAUAAUAUGAUUCUCGAAUAUGAGAGAGGCAUGAACUUGGAGUUCUUCUAUGCAAUGUGGACAGUCGUGUCAAACCAGCUAGAGACCCUAACCGAAUUAGAGCUUUUCUUUAGACCUACAGUGUAAUGACCCAGAUGUAACCCUUGCCUUUUGUGGAACCCUUUCCUAUUUUGGGUCAUGAUGGCAAUGCUAUAAGAGUAUCAUUUCAUGCGGUCAUUUCAUGUCAUCACUUUUGGAUCAUGCCAUUCAUUGCAUUCAUGUUUUCUCCUUUGUGUUGAUGUUGUUGCUUGAUCCUUCAUUAGUGGAGUGUGUUGUGUUUGAUGUGGUGAUGUCUUCAAAACAUUGUUGCUUUCAACUAGGUUUCAAAAACCCCUUCUUCUUUAUUUAUUCGAGCUCAUGUUUAACUUGCUCAAAAUCUAUUUUAGAAAUGUUGUUCAUUUUGUAGUUUUACCUUGUGGAUGAGGGAUACUGUUUUGGGGUUUUUAAAACUUAAAUGAAUGGGAGUUUAAAUACAAAAACAGCAUAGAUUUUCUGUUUUUGCAUUUAAAUUACUUGCUCUAAAAAUCUGGUUUUUAUUUUUUUUAAAUAGGGCAUAAUUCCCUUAUGCCCUGUGUGCUUUAGUUUUUAUUUUUCCAAACACUCUGGAGCACUGGGCUUUUUGCUUUCUGCUUGGUUUAAAUAAAAUAGGAAAAACCCUUGUUUUAUUUUUUUCCUAUCAUGCGCUAGAUAGGAGUGGGCUUCCUUUUCUCUCCCUGGGCCGCCUCCUUUUCUCCCGAGCCAGGCCCACCCGGCGACCCUCUUCUUCCUCCUCGCUGUCGUCACUGUGUACGACGCCACCUCCACCACUGAUCUUCCUCCCCCUUCGAUCUGGUGGCUCCAAGCAUGCCUCCCGAGGUCAUAUAAGGAGCCGGUGCCUCCCUGCGUCUAGGGUUCUAUUUUCCCCUCCUCUUCUCCCUCUAGCGCCGCCAGGAACAUAGCAGAGCAUCCCCAUCGCCAUGGAGACCUCCGGCCCGAGCUCGACGCCGGCGUAGCCUCGACCUCGCCUCCUCCCCGAAGCUGCCGGGAGCAAGAGGACUGAUGUCCCAUAAGCGUAUGGGAUCGCAACAGUUUUCGAGGGUAGAGUAUUCAACCCAAAUUUAUUGAUUCGMCAAGACGGGAAGCGAAAGAAUAUUCUCAAGUAUUAGCAGUUGAAUGUGUCAGAUUCAACCACACCUGAAAGAUUAGUGUCUGCAAGCAAAGUAUCAGUAGCAAGGUAGUAUGAUAGCAACGGUGCCAGAAACGAUCUGUUGACGGCAGACUAUUCCUAACUGUUGUAUCAAUGGCGCUAGCACGUUGACGGGGGAUUAUUCUUUAGAAGAAUGCUUCCCCGGCUACGGCUCCAACAAAGUCUUGCAACAAGUAACAGCGGAGUAGCAAGGAACAGCAGUAGCAGCAUCAACAAAGUAACAAGUAACAGCAGUAGCAAAGUGGCCCAAUCCCUUUGUAGCAAGGGACAAGCCUAGGCAAAGUAACGUAGCGAGGACCAGUAGUAAAAGACUCGUACGCAGUGGAUCGGUGAUGGAUGAGUAUGACGGAUGUGAUUCAUCAUGUAAUAGCUAUAACACGGAGAGAUAUGUAACUAGCUCCCUUUCAUCAAUCUAAUGUAGGCAUGUAUUCCAUAUGUAGUCAUACGUGCUUAGGGAAAAGAACUUGCAUGACAUCUAUUUUCCAUCCCUCCCGUGGCAGCGGGGUCCUAAUGGAAACUACGGGAUAUUAAGGUUCUCCUUUUAAUAAAGAACCGGACCAACGCAUUAACACGCAGUGAAUACAUGAACUCCUCAUACUAUGGUCAUCUCCGGGAGUGGUUCCGGCUAUUGUCACUCCGGGGUUGCCGGGUCAUAACACAUAGUAGGUGACUACAACUUGCAAGAUAGGAUCUAAAACACACAUAUAUUGGCGACAACAUAAUAGGUUAAGAUCUGAAAUCAUGACACUCGGGUCCUAGUGACAAGCAUUAAGCAUUGCCAAGUAGUAGCAACAUCAAUCUAGAACAUAGUGGAUACUAGGGAUCAAUCCCCGUCAAGAACUAACUCGAUUACAUGAUAGAUCUCAUCCAACUCAUCACCUUCCAGCAAGCCUACGAUGAGAUUACUCACGAACGAUGAAGAGCAUCAUGGAAUUGUCGAUGGAGAAAGGUUGAUGAUGACGAUGGCGACGAUUUCCCCUCUCCGGAGCCCGAAACGGACUCCAGAUCUCCUCCAGAUGAAGAACAAGAUGUGGCGGCGCCUCUGUAUCGCAAAACGCGAUGAAACCUUCUCUUUGAUUUUUUCCAGGCGAAACGGAAGAUAUAGAGCUGAGUUUGGGGGCGGUGGUGCCACGUGGGCCCCACAAGCCUGCACGGUGAGGCCUAGGGGGGUGGCCACGACCUGUGGACUUGUGGCCCACUCGCACGCCCCCUCAGGUGGAUUUUUGCGCAUGUAGUUUUCUUUUAUUCCAGAAAAAAUCUCCGUAAAUUUUCAGGACAUUCCGAGAACUUCUAUUUCUGCACAAAAACAACACCAUGGCAAUUCUGCUGAAAACAGCGUCAGUCCGGGUUAGUUCCAUUCAAAACAAGCAAAUUAGAGUCCAAAACAAGGGCAAAAGAGUUCGGAAAAGUAGAUACGACGGAGACGUAUCAAGGACCCAGGAGGGGUUCCAUUUUUGCUCAGAGCGGGAGCAGGGUCUUCUUCCACGACGUCCACGACGGCCGGCGUCCUCGUCAACUCCGGCGGCCUCUCCGUGCAGCAACACGUCGUCGGGCCUUCUUCCUCCACGGCGUCUCCCUCUCCUCGGCACCCUAGGUGACGCGCGGUUCCCUUCUCCUUCGUUUUCCCCUUGUAGCCGAGGCCCCGCCGUCGGUAGCCAUGUCCGCCGGCGAGCUGCUCGUGCAUGCGGUGCGUCUGUAGUGGUAACACCAGGAGUAGUUACAGGUUCAGCAGCNNNNNNNNNNNNNNNNNNNNNNNNNNNNNNNNNNNNNNNNNNNNNNNNNNNNNNNNNNNNNNNNNNNNNNNNNNNNNNNNNNNNNNNNNNNNNNNNNNNNCCUUUUGGGGCAUCGCCCUCAAAAUAGGAAAGGGCCGUAUCUUAGUCGUUACAUACAGGGAGAUUGAAAAUGCAAACACCGAGUGCCAACUUCAGAAGGAUCUCAUUGAGCACCAUUGACAAAGGGCUGGGCAUUAACUCAUUCUAUUUUUCCAUUCAUUUUCAUUUCAUUCAUGUGUGAUUUGUAUACGGGACAAGUUUUGUAUUCAUGUGUGACAUUCAUUUAGUUUGCUACGGUGAUUUGAAUAAUUAUUGUACUUUAGAUGAUUACUGUAUUUGUAAUAUUGGCAUUUUACUUAUAUUGCACAUGAUGAGUAAUUCUAAUUUACGGGGUAUCCGGGUUGUGGGUCGACGCGGUGGCGCCCAAGCAGACCCCGCAUUGACGAUCCGUAUAAUAGCAUCUUCUGUGAAUAUCCUUUUAUACGUAUCCAUUUUGGAGGGUCUACCUCUAUCCACGCCCGCGUCGAUCCGCAAAAACCGUUUUUCAUGAACUGUAAAAUAUUUUUUGCGGAUCGGCAUUAUACGAGGUCUUCUGGAGAUGCUCUUAGCGCAUCCUCAAAGCGAACCCUCAAAGCUUUGGUACACCGUGUCCGAACCAGUUUUGCUAACCUUUAUAAUUUAAUGGGACUUUAAACGUCUGCAGAUUAGUGUGGACCCCGAUUUUUGACAAAUUUAAAACAGAAUUGAGGAAGCUAUGGUGAAGUCGCGACAUGCAAUUGACCAAUAAAAAGCCCCUUCACGGUCCUCCUCUAUUUUCUCUCUAGUCACAUGCAUGACCACCCUCCUCCUCUCAACCGAACACAACAACACAAUAUCCCACUACAUGCAUAGUCCUCUUCUACUCUCUCUCUCUCUCUCUCUUCUUUCAUAUUAGUAAUUAUAAAUAAAAWUAAAACAACUAWUGCUAAAAACUAACUUAKUUGCGGUCGGUUACCGGUUUAGGGGUCUAGUGUUAGGAAAUCGUACCCUUAAGUAAAACGAAAUUAGNNNNNNNNNNNNNNNNNNNNNNNNNNNNNNNNNNNNNNNNNNNNNNNNNNNNNNNNNNNNNNNNNNNNNNNNNNNNNNNNNNNNNNNNNNNNNNNNNNNNCGGGUUUGGGGGGGUUCCGGGGGGGUAGGGGGUCGGGUAGGGGCCGGGAAGGGAAGGGAGGACCGGGACGGGUACGGUACGUUAGUGUAGUGGUGUGGUGUGGUGGUGURGGGGGGGGGGGSGCGGACGGCGCGACCGCACGUUGUGGUGUGGUGACGCACACACUAUGGGGGGUUCGUGCUCUGAUCUGCGGCUUGGAUACGUAAGGGGCUUGCGUUGGCGUGGCCUGGAGCGCAAGCAAGAGCCUGGAAGCGGCGGGGAAAAGGGGGCGAUGCGUAGCGGGGCCGUUGACCUUGGGGCUUGGCGCGCGCCUUCGGUGGUGCCCUCUCUGGUCUGGUGCAGUGGGUGGGCUGGCGCGCGCCGUCUUCCUCCGUGCGGUUUUCUAGAGCGCGUGCGAUGACGGUGACGGUGACGGUGACGGUCAUCCAACACGUGCAUCAAACAUCCGCGAACUGAUGAGAAUGCACCAAUUAACCCGUGGUUAGAUGGAUAGAAAGGCAGUGGUAUUACAGUCCAUCAGGCUUGAAGUCUUGAUACUCGUAUUUCUGAAUUUAUUCGGUAUUUUUUAUGACGCGUAUUUAAUGGAAGAAGACGUGACACUUGCUCUAUACUUUGUUAAAAAAAGAAGAAUUGAUAAGGCGUAUGAAAUCUCACAAACCAAAAACAAAACGAUAGACAAUCCAGAUGUAUCACGUGGACGUCCGACAUCUUUGCCCACAAUAAACCCUCUUUCUCGUUCCGCUUUCGCUAGAAGUAAGAACCAGUAAUAUAUUAUGAUUUCUACGUUUCAAGCCUUUCUUAGCUAUUUUAUUAUUCAACUAACAAUGUUCUUAUUUUCUUGGAUCAUAUGUGUAAGUGCAUCUAGUGCCAUCCUUUGUUGGUUUUGGAGUAUUGAAGACAAGCGUGAUUGAGGGAUUUAAUGUGUUUGUGAGAGUUCACAGGAUAACACGGAUAAAAAUCCAUGAAGAUUUGGUUUAACCAUCGAAGACGACCCCUAAAAAUAUCUGAAGACACUGAAGAUGGUUGAAGGCAACAAUAGGUGCGCGAAGAUAUAUGCAUGAAGCUAAUGAAACGUGAAGACGAAGUCUUUUGGUAGUUCCUUUUUUUCUUUCCUUAGUCAUAUGAACCAAUAUAUUGUUAAGUGGGGUCUAAGUGAUUGAAGUCAGAAUCUGACGUGAUGCUCAACCCAAACACCUAUGUCUUCGAGUGAAUACAAUAAGAAGAAAUCUCUUUCAGAGUUGGUUGAGUCAACAUUGCUUGUACCCCAAGUAAUGUUGCCAUGUGAGUCGUUGAAAUCCGACCACUGUGACAUGUGUCGGUUGGCCAUUGACCCAGGAUAAUUUCGGUCAUAUCAUGUCGGGUUGCCUGUUGGCUAUAAAUAACCCAUCGCCUCCAUCAUAAGUUGGUGGCUACUCAGAGUUAUUAUACAAUUAUUGUCGUUUUGGAGCGUCCCACUUCUAAGACAUUAAGAGCGAGAGCUAUCGUGCAAGGAUAAACCCAAACACCUAGAGCCAGAGUGUUUGGAGCAUCAUCGAAGUCAUUCUGUUCUAAGAGAACUAAAGAUUUAUUACCCUUAAAGACUGUGAUCUUCUAGCCUGUUAGUCGUCGUGGUCUAGAGCAUCCAAGAGUUACUCUGGAUUAUCGGGUGAUCGAGUUUUUGAAGGUUUCAAAAGUCUACCUUGAAGAUUUACCAGAGUGAUUGGGCGAGGUCUAAGAGACCUUGGCUCAAGGGGAAUAAGGUGAAGAUGAGGUCUUUAUAGUUAAAUCUCAGCCUCCCCAACCAGACGUACAGUUGUCACAACAACUGGAACUGGUCCACAAAUCUUGUGUCUUCGUCAAGCAGUUGGUUCUAUCUUUUCACUCCUUUACAUACUAUUUAGUAUUGUGAAGCCAUUGCUUGCUUAUUCUUGUAUGAAGACAUUCACCAAAGACAUUCAUCUGAUUUGCAUUUGUCUUCAUACUGCUCAAGUUUAUCUUUGAUUCACUUUUGUUUGCAUGAUGAAUGUGCCAUACUUGCCUGAAUGUCUCCGUAUCAUUACAUGCAUUGCCUAGCUCCUUGACUGUAAUCCCUAACUGAUCCUAAGUCAUUUUUGCUCACUUCGAAGACAUUUACUGGCUCAACUAGGCUUAGGGUUUUGGUUUGGAACUGGGGAUUUUAAAGCGGCGGGACGAUUUGAGCAAUUUCUUUCUCUUGUAGCUACCUAGGACAACCACUUCUAAGGAAUGGAGCGGGGUAGGUGAAGACAUGCAUGUUCAUGAUCGACAUAAAUUUCCAUCCGUAAAGUUAUGAGCUUUUGAAUAUGGUACAGUGGGAGGAAGUUUCAGCCACAUACAAAGAAGGUUAGCCUAACUCCCGCCGUUAGAAAUCAUUUGUUAUAUUAGGUGUGAUUCAAACACUUGAUUUUUUAUUUUGGAUGUGAUUAAGACACUGCCAUAGUUCUACGACUGUGAGUGCCAUUUUAAUUGAUAUCAAUAGCAAUACAUUAUAAAAGUUGUUUGGAUCACAUGGUAGGAAUUCACAAGAUGACUAUAAAACAUAACAUUUAGAGACUUGGUGCAAAAAACAUUUUUCACAAACUCUUUUAACUUGAAGGCAUAUUGACAGUAAGAAAACUAUAUGCUACAUGAUUUGAGAUGACAUAAAAAUUUACAGCAUGGUAGUAGACACGAUGCACUUCAUUUUAUUCAACAUGAGCAAAGGUGUUAGAGCAUAUUUAUCCAUAUGUGGUUUUGGUAAUUGAUGACAAUCUCUAUUGUCCAUAACGCUUUUGUGUACUAACCCAUGGUCUUCAUGAGAGUUCUAUGUGGGAUUAGGUGUGUUCCCAUGGGUUUGCGUUAAGAGGAAGAUCUCAUUCAACCUAUGAAGGAUGACAUCAAGUGGUGAUCGUCAUCAAUAUUGCGGUGUGCAAGUUCAAGUGGAGCAUCACGAAGAUAUCAUGCUUGAAGCUUGUCGUCCAUUCUGGUGGCAAUGGACUUGUAAGAUGUGCUGAAGAGUGGCUCACCCAUAGUGAGUAUGGGGAGCAAUCAACUAGUCUUCAUCAAACCAACACAAUCGACGAAGGUGGUCCAUCUUGAGGAAGCCAAGAUCAUCGUCAUCUAGCUCAAGAGGACUAGGUGCAAGGUACGGGUUUGCCCUUGAUAGGUUUAUCUAUUUUAGGAUAGAUUACCAUAUGUCAAGGGGGGCUCUUAAGUGAGUAGCUUGAUCGUAUCGUUCGUUGAGAGCUCAAACCAUUUGCAUCCUUGCAUUAUAUUUGUUUGUUCUUGUUUCGUGUUUCUCUUUGUGAGUUUUAGAGCUUAUGGUCAUCUUCAGGACAAGCUCGAGUUCAUCGAAAACGGACUCCAUAUGCAUCUUCUAUGAUGUUUUCGAUGUUGGAAGUUUUUGUCGGUUCUUCAUUCAUAGAGGUCUCACAUCUCUAUAACAUUGGCAUUUUCACAACUGCAUGUUCUUAAGAUUUCCAACAAGCUUGAUAGCUCUUGUCGUCCAGAAUCCACUGUUUUGAUAGCUCUUGUCGUUCUGAAUCCAACAAGCUUGAGUUUGCUCGAUUCGAAGCUCAUAUGCGAAAGUUAUGGCAGUUUUUGUGUCCAGCGGUUGAAAGUGCAUUAUAUCGACUAGAGGGGGGUGAAUAGGAGAUUUUUAGAAUUUCAUCACUGAGGAAAUUCCUUUUGAGGAAAUCCCUCACUGAUGACUAACUUACAGCGGAAACAGUAAAGGAUCAGAAGUGCAAAGUUUCACAACAGCAGUUUUUCAGUGUGAGGAAUGUGAAAACAGAUUGCACAGUGAGCAGGCAUGCAGAAAACAGAUGAGGAUUAACUAGCGUGAAGAAUUUGGGGUUGAGGAAUUUCAGAGAAAGUCUUCAGCAAAUUCUUCAAACAGUCACAGUGAAAGUCAUCAACACAUAAUCUGAGAAAUGUAAAGGGUUGAGGAAUUAGAACCCGUUUCACAGCGAAGACAGUAGUUGAUGACCGAGUUCCAACUGCUGUGACAGUCGUACAUCUGGUUUGGAGUGGCUUGGUAUUGAAACCAAAAGACACACAGUCCCUACCGUAUUCUCCUUGGGCUAAGAACACACAGUCCUCACCCAACACUCGUGGUAAGUCUUCAGGGCAGACUUCCAAACCCUCACAAACUUGGUCACCCGGCGAUCCACAAUUGACUGCUGGAUUGCUCUAGACCAUGAUGCCUAACCGUCUCGAGGAUGCACAGUCCUCAAAGGUAAAAGGCUUCAGUCCCACACAGGAACAACUUCUUCAGUGAUGCUCAAUCACUUGGUUCUAAGUUUGUGGUUUGGUGUUUGGGGUAUUUCCUCACUGAUAAAUUUCUCUCGAAGACUCUGAGGAAUUGGGUUGCUCUUAUGACAAGUGUCAGUUUCUAACGGAGCAGCCAACCAGCUAAUGGUUGUGGGGGCGGCUAUUUAUAGCCUGGGAGCAUCCCGACAUGAUUUGACACUAAUGCCCUUAAAUAAUAUGACCGUUGGUGUGGAUAAGACCAAUGAUGUGGCGUGGCUAUCGAAACGGUCGGAACCCUCAACUGUGAGAGUCCUCAUGUCACUCGUAUUCCUCACUUGAGGCUUUUGGUAGGAUUAGGCUUGGGUUGAGCAUCAUGAGGAAAUUCAUUCCAGAGUGUAACUUCCACCCCCUUUAACAGUAUGGUGUUCCUAUUACUCAAGUGUGAAGAAAAUAAAACAGAAAGAGUAAAUCUUCAUGCUUCAAAGUCUUCAGAAUGAUUUUCUUCAGGACACACCGAAUUCCUCAAUUUCAAUAUCUUCAUGAGGAAUAUCAAUUUCAUCGCGGAUUCUUUGCGAUUCAAUUCUUCAGCUUUAGACCAAUUUCUUCAACCGAAGAUAUACAUUUUUAGGGGUCGAUAUUCCUCAAAUAUUUCAAACUCCUCAGUGACUUAUAGAUCCUGUGUACACUCAUAAACACAUUAGAUACUUAACCUAUAAGUCUUCAAACCACCAAAAUCACUAAGGGGCACUAGAUGCACUUACAGCGGUAGUACCGCUAGUGCCAGCGUUAGUACCGUAGGCACAGUGGUAGUAGUUUUUUAUACUACUCUUUGGCGGUAGUUGAUAGGAAUACCAUGAAUGAUGUUGAAGAGGAUAUUCUUCAUGAGGCCUACACCAUCUUCUUCAUCAUCGUGUCCCUUGAUUGGUGCAAGGACGCUGCAGAGGAUUCUGUAAACAGAUCUUGGUUCAUACUUGAGUUCGUGGACAGGAAGGUUUUUCUCGGUGGUUGCCCUUUAGCCAAAGGCUUCAUGAGGACUUCCAUCAUCCUGUUGGGCAGCUCACGCUCACCAUAAAGCUUCACAACCUCCUCUCAGGGAAUUGAUACUGGCAAUUCACGCAGUAGCUCAGUAGCAGGAGCCUUGUAGUGAGUGUUUUGUGUCAUCCAGUCAAACACCCAGGUGUUAAUGUCUUCAGGAUCGCCAGAUAUGUGAAGAGUGGCAUAAAACUGAAGAAUGAGCUCACUGUUCCAAUCAGAGAUGUCUGAGCACAUUGGUAGCAGUCCAGCUUCAUGAAGAACAUUGAGGACUGGAACCAGGCAUGGAAUUGCUUCAAGUUCAACAUGAGGAAUAUGCUUGUGCUGGAAUAUCUUAUUUCUUCCACACAGCACAGAGGCAUAGUAAUUCAGCUGUGUCCUCGUCCAAAACUUCAGAUGUCUGAUUUGAGGCUUGUCAUAGGGAUUUUCUCCAAUGAAGUACAUGUGUUCUUCAAAGAAGUUCUCCUUUUGAAACUUUGGACGCUUGGAGAAUGGCUGAUGCUGCAUUGGCUGAAGAUUUUGCUGAGGAACUGGAGGGGAGACAACAAUUGCAGUCUCGGGGUUGAGCACGACGAAAGCAUUGUCUUGGUCAAGUGCAUUUUCCUCAACAUUGUCCUCAGGGUGAGGAAUUUCAUCAGCUUGGGCUUCAGGCUGAGGAGCUUGCUCAUGUUGUGCUUCAUGUUGAGGAAUGGGAUCUGGCUGGGCAUCAGGCUGAGGAAUUUCAUCAACUGGAGCAUCCUGUUGAGGGUUCUGCUCCGGAGAAGGAAUAGGUUCAUUCUGAGCCUCAGUGUGUAGAUCUUGUUCAGGUGGAGGAGUUGGUCAGCCUGUUCCUCAUCUUGAGGAUUUUUCUCAGGACUUUGAAUUUCAUCAGCUUGAGGAAUUUCACUUUGCUCUUCCUCAGCUUGCGUGGUGACAGAGACAGUUUCAUCAGCUGGUGCAGCUGAUCCUUGUACAGUGUCUUCCUGAGGAAUGGAGUGCUGAGGACUGUCGUCAAUACGAAUUUCUUCGUCAGUAUGUUCCUCAGAUGCAGCAUCCUUCAUUUCCUCAUCUGGCCCUUUCUCUUGGUCUUCAAAGGUGACCAUUUCAUAAGAUGGAGCGACGUUGAGGGGCACAGGGUCCAGUGGAGCAUUAUCUUCAAGCGCUUUGAGGCGCUUGGCCUCAGUGUUUUCUUCUGCUGAGGAGGCCUUUCUCUUUUUGGCUUCCUUCUCCGCGGCCCUCGUCUUCUUCACGUCUGAUGCAGACGGAGUCAUCUUCUACACCUUUGAAGCUUUUGGUGAAGGGGUUCUCUUGACAAAUUCAUCAGCUGGCUUUGAGGAACCAGCUGGAGUAGAGUCAUCAGCUUGCUUUGAUGCAGCAGCUGGAUCAGGGGCAGUCUCACCAGCUGUAGUAGAUUCAUCAGCUGGAUUUUCCAUGGUGAUUUCUUCAAUAGCCGGUACAUCCACACGGCUUUCUUGGGGUAUUUCCUUAGCUUGAGGAGUUUCAUCAGCUUGAGGAGAUUCAUAGGCUGGCUCUUCAAUCAGAGGCUGAGGAGUUGGUACUAGAGGGGCAGCCUUCUUGUUGUAGUCGUCAACAACUUUAGUGGCAAAUUUGAUGAAACUGCUUUUGAGACUCUGACGACCAGAUAGCUUGGAGUACUUAUCUGUCAAAGUCUUCAACUCGGCCUGUGUUGACACCAGUGCAUCAGGCGUCAAGUUGAGGAGAUUCUGCUUGAGGAAUUUCUCCUUUUUGAGCUUAGCAACCUUGGCCUGCUUGGCUUGCUGCUCCUUCCACUUGGCCUCAUUGAUGAAUGUGGCCACCAUGUGGCUGAUGCCAGGGGAAGUUUCAAAUCAUCAAGCGGAGUGUUAGGGUCCUCAUACCAGAUGUUUAUGUAGUCUAGGAGGACCUUGGGGUCCAUGGCCAGAGGAAUGGCGCUACCAGAAGCUUGAGCUACCCUCUCCUGCUUGUUUCUGAUUAUAGCUUGCAGGGUUUCAUCAUCAUAUUCAUCACUACCCUCUGAUGCAGACGGGACUGUGAUGAUUUUACUGGGGCUUGGUUGUGUUCCUCUUUCAGCAGACACCUGAGUCUUCAUAGGAGGUGGUGCAGACUUUGUCUCCGAGCUGGUUGCAGUUGGGAGUGAGGACCUGGAGGUAGCGGGCAGUGGCUUCAUGACCGGCUUCAGUUCUGGUUUUGAAACCUGUGGUGGUGCUGAGGAUUUUGGCGCUGAGGGUUUUGUAACUGUUGCCUGAGAUGGUUUCUCUUGAGGCUUUGGAGCCUUUGGUUUUGACGGCACAGACUUUGGUUGAGGAAUUGCUGAACCAGAGGUCUCAGCGGCAGAGGAAGUAGUUGCAGUUGAAGCAGUAGCUGAGGAUUCAUUGAAUUUCCUCACCGCAGCAUCUGCCUGCUUCUUAAUCUUAGCCAAGUGCUUGUCCUUUUCAUCAGGAUAGUCAUCAAGGGUCUUGAGGCUUGAGGGAUGUGCUACUUGAUGAGCCUCAAGUGGAGCCCGUUUGCCAGGAGGCUUCAGAGCGAAUUUCUUCGCAUACUUGGCAGUGACGAAUAUGUAUUCCUUCCACUCCUUUGCCCAUAGGCGUUCUAUCUUCUGAAGCCGAAUCUUUCUCUUUGCCAUUGUUUCAGAUUCAUCAGGUGUGCAAUAGUCUAAGUAAAUAUCCUCAGGGAUAUCCAAGGCUGUAUUCUGCUCAAGUUUCUUGCCUCCCUUUUGUUUCCUGUCAUCCUCCAUUUUCUUCAGCUGAGGAUUUUGCUGAUGAUAUUGAACUCUUGAGGAUUCUAAUGAGACUUGAAGAUUUUCUUCAAGAAACGCUGCAAAUGAGUUAAUGUGAUGAGAACCGAGAGAUUCAUCAGCUGACAUGUGUGUACCUGUGAACAAAGUAUAGUUGCGAGGAAUUUGGAGAGGUCAUAUGCUUUCUCAGAUUUGAAGAAAAUGAAAAAGUUUGACACUUGAGGAAUUUAAUGUUGGGGAACGUCGCAUGGGAAACAAAAAUUUUCCUACGCGCACGAAGACCUAUCAUGGUGAUGUCCAUCUACGAGAGGGGAUGAGUGAUCUACGUACCCUUGUAGACCGUACAGCAGAAGCGUUAGUGAACGCGGUUGAUUUAGUGGAACGUCCUCACGUCCUUCGAUCCGCCCCGCGAACAAUCCCGCGAUCAGUCCCACGAUCUAGUACCGAACGGACAGCACCUCCGCGUUCAGCACACGUACAGCUCGACGAUGAUCUCGGCCUUCUUGAUCCAACAAGAGAGACGGAGAGGUAGAAGAAUUCUCCGGCAGCAUGACGGCGCUCCGGAGGUUGGUGAUGACCUUGUCUCGGCAGGGCUCUGCCCGAGCUCCGCAGAAACGCGAUCUAGAGGAAAAACCGUGGAGGUAUGUGGUCGAGCUGCCGUGGAAAAGUCGUCUCAAAUCAGCCCUAAAACCUCCGUAUAUAUAGAAGGGAGAGGGGGGGCCUUGCCUUGGGGCUCAAGGAGCCCCAAGGGGGUCGGCCGAGCCAAGGGGGGAAGGUCUCCCCCCCUAAACCGAGUUGGACUUGGUUUGGUGGGUGGGAGUCCUUCCUUCCCUUCCCACCUCCUUCUUUUUUUUCUUUCUCUUUGAUUUUUCUUCCAAUGCGCAUAGGGCCCUUUUGGGCUGUCCCACCAGCCCACUAAGGGCUGGUGCGCCACCCUCAAGGCCUAUGGGCUUCCCCGGGGUGGGUUGCCCCCCCCGGUGAACUCCCGGAACCCAUUCGUCAUUCCCGGUACAUUCCCGGUAACUCCGAAAACCUUCCGGUAAUCAAAUGAGGUCAUCCUAUAUAUCAAUCUUCGUUUCCGGACCAUUCCGGAAACCCUCGUGACGUCCGUGAUCUCAUCCGGGACUCCGAACAACAUUCGGUAACCAACCAUAUAACUCAAAUACGCAUAAAACAACGUCGAACCUUAAUUGUGCAGACCCUGCGGGUUCGAGAACUAUGUAUACAUGACCCGAGAGACUUCUCGGUCAAUAUCCAAUAGCGGGACCUGGAUGCCCAUAUUGGAUCCUACAUAUUCUACGAAGAUCUCAUCGUUUGAACCUCAGUGCCAAGGAUUCAUAUAAUCCCGUAUGUCAUUCCCUUUGUCCUUCGGUAUGUUACUUGCCCGAGAUUCGAUCGUCAGUAUCCGUAUACCUAUUUCAAUUUCGUUUACCGACAAGUCUCUUUACUCGUUCCGUAAUACAAGAUCGCGCAACUUACACUAAGUCACAUUGCUUGCAAGGCUUGUGUGUGAUGUUGUAUUACCGAGUAGGCCCCGAGAUACCUCUCCGUCACAUGGAGUGACAAAUCCCAGUCUUGAUCCAUACUAACUCAACGAACACCUUCGGAGAUACCUGUAGAGCAUCUUUAUAGUCACCCAGUUACGUUGCGACGUUUGAUACACACAAAGCAUUCCUCCGGUGUAAGUGAGUUAUAUGAUCUCAUGGUCAUAGGAACAAAUACUUGACACGCAGAAAACAGUAGCAACAAAAUGACACGAUCAACAUGCUACGUCUAUUAGUUUGGGUCUAGUCCAUCACGUGAUUCUCCUAAUGACGUGAUCCAGUUAUCAAGCAACAACACCUUGUUCAUAAUCAGAAGACACUGACUAUCUUUGAUCAACUGGCUAGCCAACUAGAGGCUUGCUAGGGACAGUGUUUUGUCUAUGUAUCCACACAUGUAAAUGAGUCUUCAUUCAAUACAAUUAUAGCAUGGAUAAUAAACGAUUAUCUUGAUACAGGAAUUAUAAUAAUAACUAUAUUUAUUAUUGCCUCUAGGGCAUAAUUCCAACAGUCUCCCACUUGCACUAGAGUCAAUAAUCUAGCCCUCACAUCAUCAUGCGAAUUACAUUGUAAUAAAUCUAACACCCAUACAGUUCUGGUGUUGAUCAUGCUUAGCCCGUGGAAGAGGUUUAGUCAGCGGGUCUGCUACAUUCAGAUCUGUGUGCACUUUGCAUAUAUUUACGUCCUCCCCUUUGACGUAGUCGCGGAUGAGGUCGAAGCGUCGUUUGAUGUGUCUGGACUUCUUGUGAAACCGUGGUUCCUUUGCUAAGGCAAUGGCACCCGUGUUGUCACAGAACAAGGUUAUUGGAUUCAAUGCGCUCGGCACCACUCCAAGAUCCGUCAUGAAUUGCUUCAUCCAGACACCCUCCUUAGCCGCCUCCGAGGCAGCCAUGUACUCCGCUUCACAUGUAGAAUCUGCUACGACGCUUUGCUUGGAACUGCACCAGCUUACCGCACCCCCAUUAAGAAUAAAUACGUAUCCGGUUUGCGACUUAGAGUCGUCCGGAUCUGUGUCAAAGCUUGCAUCGACGUAACCUUUUACGGCGAGCUCUUCGUCACCUCCAUACACGAGAAACAUCUCCUUAGUCCUUUUCAGGUACUUCAGGAUAUUCUUGACCGCUGUCCAGUGAUCCACUCCUGGAUUACUCUGGAACCUACCUGCCAUACUUAUGGCCAGGCUAACGUCCGGUCUAGUGCACAGCAUUGCAUACAUGAUAGAACCUAUGGAUGAAGCAUAGGGGACGGAGCGCAUAUGCUCUCUAUCUUCAUCAGUUGCUGGGCACUAAGUCUUACUCAAUCUCGUACCUUGUAAAACUGGCAAGAACCCUUUCUUGGACUGUUCCAUUUUGAACCUCUUCAAAACUUUAUCAAGGUAUGUGCUUUGUGAAAGUCCUAUCAGGCGUUUUGAUCUAUCCCUAUAGAUCUUAAUGCCUAGAAUGUAAGCAGCUUCUCCUAGGUCCUUCAUAGAGAAACUUUUAUUCAAGUAAUCCUUUAUGCUCUCCAAAAACUCCACGUUAUUUCCAAUCAGCAAUAUGUCAUCCACAUAUAAUAUUAGAAACGCCACAGAGCUCCCACUCACUUUCUUGUAAAUACAAGAUUCUCCAACCACUUGUAUAAACCCAAAUGCUUUGAUCACCUCAUCAAAGCGUUUGUUCCAACUCCGAGAUGCUUGCACCAGUCCAUAAAUGGAUUGCUGGAGCUUGCACACCUUGUUAGCAUUCUUAGGAUUGACAAAACCUUCGGGUUGCAUCAUAUACAAUUCUUCCUUAAGGAAACCGUUAAGGAACGCCGUUUUGACAUCCAUCUGCCAGAUUUCAUAAUCGAAAAAUGCAGCUAUUGCUAACAUGAUUCUGACGGACUUAAGCAUCGCUACGGGUGAGAAUGUCUCAUCGUAGUCAACUCCUUGAACUUGUGAAAAACCCUUUGCCACAAGUCGAGCUUUAUAAACGGUCACAUUGCCGUCAGCGUCUGUUUUCCUCUUAAAGAUCCAUUUGUUCUGAAUAGCCUUGCGGCCCUCAGGCAGUACCUCCAAAGUCCACACUUUGUUCUCAUACAUGGAUCCUAUCUCGAACUUCAUGGCUUCUAGCCAUUUGUUGGAAUCUGGGCCCACCAUUGCUUCUUCAUAAUUUGCAGGUUCAUUGUUGUCCAACAACAUGAUUGACAAGACGGGAUUACCGUACCACUCUAGAGCAGCACGUGGUCUCGUCGACCUGCGUGGUUCGACAGAAACUUGAACCGGAGUUUCAUGAUCAUCAUCAUUAACUUCCUCCUCAACCGGCGUCGCAACGACAGAGGUUUCCCCUUGCCCUGCGCCACCAUCCAGAGGGAUGAGAGGUUCGAUAACCUCAUCAAGCUCUAUCUUCCUCCCACUCAAUUCUCUCGAGAGAAACUCCUUCUCGAGAAAAGCUCUGUUUUUAGCAACAAACACUUUGCCCUCGGAUUUGAGAUAGAAGGUGUACCCAACUGUCUCUUUUGGGUAACCUAUGAAGACGCACUUUUCCGCUUUGGGUUCCAGCUUUUCAGGCUGAAGCUUUUUGACAUAAGCAUCACAUCCCCAAACUUUAAGAAACGACAACUUUGGCCUUUUGCCAUACCACAGUUCGUAUGGUGUCGUCUCAACGGAUUUUGAUGGUGCCCUAUUUAAAGUGAAUGCAGCUGUUUCUAAUGCAUAACCCCAAAACGAUAACGGCAAAUCGGUAAGAGACAUUAUAGAUCGAACCAUCUCUAAUAAAGUACGAUUAUGACGUUCGAACACACCAUUACGCUGUGGUGUUCCAGGCGGUGUCAACUGUGAAACAAUUCCACAUUUUCUUAAGUGAGCACCAAACUCGAAACUCAGAUAUUCACCUGUUGGAGAACGUCGCACGGGAAACAAAAAUUUUCCUACGCGCACGAAGACCUAUCAUGGUGAUGUCCAUCUAUGAGAGGGGAUGAAUGAUCUAUGUACCCUUGUAGACCGUACAGCAGAAGCGUUAGAGAACGCGGUUGAUGUAGUGGAACGUCCUCACGUCCCUCGAUCCGCCCCGCGAACAAUCCUGCGAUCAGUCCCACGAUCUAGUACCGAACGGACGGCACCUCCGCGUUCAGCACACGUACAGCUCGACGAUGAUCUCGGCCUUCUUGAUCCAGCAAGAGAGACGGAGAGGUAGAAGAGUUCUCCGGCAGCGUGACGGCGCUCCGAAGGUUGGUGAUGACCUUGUCUCAGCAGGGCUCCGCCCGAGCUCCGCAGAAACGCGAUCUAGAGGAAAAAUCGUGGAGGUAUGUGGUCGGGCUGCCGUGGAAAAGUCGUCUCAAAUCAGCCCUAAAACCUCCAUAUAUAUAGGUGGGAGGGAGGGGACCUUGCCUUGGGGCUCAAGGAGCCCCAAGGGGGUCGGCCGAGUCCAAGGGGGGAGGACUCCCCCCCAAACCGAGUUGGACUUGGUUUGGUGGGAGGGAGUCCCCCUUCCUUCCCACCUCCUCCUUUUUUUUUCUUUCUCUUCGAUUUUUAUCUCUAUGGCGCAUAGGGCACUUGUGGACUGUCCCACCAGCCCACUAAGGGCUGGUGUGCCUCCCUCAAGGCCUAUGGGCUUCCCCGGGGUGGGUUGCCCCCCCCGGUGAACUCCCGGAACCCAUUCGUCAUUCCCGGCACAUUCCCGGUAACUCCAAAAACCUUCCGGUAAUCAAAUGAGGUCAUCCUAUAUAUCAAUCUUCGUUUUCGGACCAUUUCGGAAACCCUCGUGACGUCCGUGAUCUCAUCUGGGACUCCGAACAACAUUCGGUAACCAACCAUAUAACUCAAAUACGCAUAAAACAACGUCGAACCUUAAGUGUGCAGACCCUGCGGGUUCGAGAACUAUGUAGACAUGACCCGAGAGACUCCUCGGUCAAUAUCCAAUAGCGGGACCUGGAUGCCCAUAUUGGAUCCUACAUAUUCUACGAAGAUCUUAUCGUUUGAACCUCAGUGCCAAGGAUUCAUAUAAUCCCGUAUGUCAUUCCCUUUGUCCUUCGGUAUGUUACUUGCCCGAGAUUCGAUCGUCAGUAUCCGUAUACCUAUUUCAAUCUCGUUUACCGGCAAGUCUCUUUACUCGUUCCGUAAUACAAGAUCCCGCAACUUACACUAAGUUACAUUGCUUGCAAGGCUUGUGUGUGAUGUUGUAUUACCGAGUGGGCCCUGAGAUACCUCUCCGUCACACGGAGUGACAAAUCCCAGUCUUGAUCCAUACUAACUCAACUAACACCUUCGGAGAUACCUGUAGAGCAUAUUUAUAGUCACCCAGUUACGUUGCGACGUUUGAUACACACAAAGUAUUCCUCCGGUGUCAGUGAGUUAUAUGAUCUCAUGGUCAUAGGAAUAAAUACUUGACACGCAGAAAACAGUAGCAACAAAAUGACACGAUCAACAUGCUACGUCUAUUAGUUUGGGUCUAGUCCAUCACGUGAUUCUCCUAAUGACGUGAUCCAGUUAUCAAGCAACAACACCUUGUUCAUAAUCAGAAGACACUGACUAUCAUAGAUCAACUGGCUAGCCAACUAGAGGCAUGCUAGGGACGGUGUUUUGUCUAUGUAUCCACACAUGUAAAUGAGUCUUCAUUCAAUACAAUUAUAGCAUGGAUAAUAAACGAUUAUCUUGAUACAGGAAUUAUAAUAAUAACUAUAUUUAUCAUUGCCUCUAGGGCAUAAUUCCAACAGUCUCCCACUUGCACUAGAGUCAAUAAUCUAGCCCUCACAUCACUAUGUGAAUUACAUUGUAAUAAAUCUAACACCCAUACAGUUCUGGUGUCGAUCAUGUUUUGGCCGUGGAAGAGGUUUAGUCAGCGGGUCUGCUACAUUCAGAUCCGUGUGCACUUUGCAUAUAUUUACGUCCUCUUCCUCGACGUAGUCGCGGAUGAGGUUGAAGCGUCGUUUGAUGUGUCUGGUCUUCUUGUGAAACCGUGGUUCCUUUGCUAAGGCAAUGGCACCCGUGUUGUCAGAGAACAAGGUUAUUGGAUCCAGUGCGCUUGGCACCACUCCAAGAUCCGUCAUGAACUGCUUCAUCCAGACACCCUCCUUAGCCGCCUCCGAGGCAGCCAUGUACUCCGCUUCACAUGUAGAAUCUGCUACGACGCUUUGCUUGGAACUGCACCAGCUUACCGCACCCCCAUUAAGAAUAAAUACGUAUCCGGUUUGCGACUUAGAGUCGUCCGGAUCUGUGUCAAAGCUUGCAUCGACGUAACCUUUUACGGCGAGCUCUUCGUCACCUCCAUACACGAGAAACAUCUCCUUAGUCCUUUUCAGGUACUUCAGGAUAUUCUUGACCGCUGUCCGGUGAUCCACUGCUGGAUUACUCUGGAACCUACCUGUCAUACUUAUGGCCAGGCUAACAUCCGGUCUAGUGCACAGCAUUGCAUACAUGAUAGAACCUAUGGCUGAAGCAUAGGGGACGGAGCGCAUAUGCUCUCUAUCUUCAUCAGUUGCUGGGCACUGAGUCUUACUCAAUCUCGUACCUUGCAGAACUGGCAAGAACCCUUUCUUGGACUGUUCCAUUUUGAACCUCUUCAAAACUUUAUCAAGGUAUGUGCUUUGUGAAAGUCCUAUCAGGCGUUUUGAUCUAUCCCUAUAGAUCUUAAUGCCUAGAAUGUAAGCAGCUUCUCCUAGGUCCUUCAUAGAGAAACUUUUAUUCAAGUAACCUUUUAUGCUCUCCAAUAACUCUACGUUAUUUCCAAUCAGCAAUAUGUCAUCCACAUAUAAUAUUAGAAACGCCACAGAGCUCCCACUCACUUUCUUGUAAAUACAAGAUUCUCCAACCACUUGUAUAAACCCAAAUGCUUUGAUCACCUCAUCAAAGCGUUUGUUCCAAAUCCGAGAUGCUUGCACCAGUCCGUAAAUAGGAUCGCUGGAGCUUGCACACUUUGUUAGCAUUCUUAGGAUCGACAAAACCUUCGGGUUGCAUCAUAUACAACUCUUCCUUAAGGAAACCGUUAAGGAACGCCGUUUUGACAUCCAUUUGCCAGAUUUCAUAAUCGAAAAAUGCAGCUAUUGCUAACAUGAUUCUGACGGACUUAAGCAUCGCUAGGGUGAGAAUGUCUCAUCGUAGUCAACUCCUUGAACAUGUGAAAAACCCUUUGCCACAAGUCGAGCUUUAUAAACGGUCACAUUGCCGUCAGCGUCUGUUUUCCUCUUAAAGAUCUAUUUGUUCUGAAUAGCCUUGCGGCCCUCAGGAAGUACCUCCAAAGUCCACACUUUGUUCUCAUACAUGGAUCCUAUCUCAGACUUCAUGGCUUCUAGCCAUUUGUUGGAAUCUGGGCCCACCAUUGCUUCUUCAUAAUUUGCAGGUUCAUUGUUGUCUAACAACAUGAUUGAUAAGACGGGAUUACCGUACCACUCUGGAGCAGCACGUGAUCUCGUCGACCUGCGUGGUUCAACAAAAACUUGAACUGGAGUUUCAUGAUCAUCGUCAUUAACUUCCUCCUCAACCGGCGUCGCAACGACAGAGGUUUCCCCUUGCCCUGCGCCACCAUCCAGAGGGAUGAGAGGUUCGACAACCUCGUCAAGUUCUAUCUUCCUCCCACUCAAUUCUCUCGAGAGAAACUCCUUCUCGAGAAAAGCUCUGUUUUUAGCAACAAACACUUUGCCCUCGGAUUUGAGAUAGAAGGUGUACCCAACUGUCUCUUUUGGGUAACCUAUGAAGACGCACUUUUCCGCUUUGGGUUCCAGCUUUUCAGGCUGAAGCUUUUUGACAUAAGCAUCACAUCCUCAAACUUUAAGAAACGACAACUUUGGCCUUUUGCCAUACCACAGUUCGUAUGGUGUCGUCUCAACGGAUUUUGAUGGUGCCCUAUUUAAAGUGAAUGCAGCUGUUUCUAAUGCAUAACCCCAAAAUGAUAACGACAAAUCAGUAAGAGACAUCAUAGAUCGCACCAUCUCUAAUAAAGUAUGAUUACGACGUUCGGACACACCAUUACGCUGUGGUGUUCCAGGCGGUGUUAACUAUGAAACAAUUCCACAUUUUCUUAAGUGAUCACCAAACUCGAAACUCAGAUAUUCACCCCCACGAUCAGACCGUAGGAACUUGAUCUUCUUGUUACGAUGAUUUUCAACUUCACUCUGAAAUUGCUUGAACUUUUCAAAUGUUUCAGACUUGUGCUUCAUCAAGUAGACAUAACCAUAUCUACUCAAAUCGUCAGUGAAGGUGAGAAAAUAACGAUAUCCGCCGCGUGCCUCCACGCUCAUCGGACCACACACAUCGGUAUGUAUGAUUUCCAACAAGUCACUUGCAUGCUCCAUUGUUCCGGAGAACGGAGUCUUAGUCAUCUUGCCCAUGAGGCAUGGUUUGCACGUGUCAAGUGAAUCAAAGUCAAGUGACUCCAAAAGUCCAUCGGCAUGGAGUUUCUUCAUGCGCUUUACACCAAUAUGACCUAAGCGGCAGUGCCACAAAAAUGUGGCGCUAUCAUUGUUAACUCUAACUCUUUUGGUCUCAAUGUUAUGUAUGUGUGUAUCGCUAUCAAGAUUCAAUAUGAACAAUCAUCUCACAUUGGGUGCAUGACCAUAAAAGAUGUUACUCAUAGAAAUAGAACAACCAUUAUUCUGUGACUUAAAAGAGUAACCGUCUCGCAAUAAACAAGAUCCAGAUAUAAUGUUCAUGCUCAACACAGGCACUAAAUAACAAUGAUUCAAGUUCAUAACUAAUCCUGAUGGUAACUGAAGUGAAACUGUGCCGACGGCGAUUGCAUCAACCUUGGAACCAUUUCCUACGCGCAUCGUCACUUCAUCUUUCGCCAGCCUUCGUCUAUUCCGCAGUUCCUGUUUCGAGUUGCAAAUAUGAGCAACAGAACCGGUAUCGAAUACCAAUGCACUACUACGAGAGCCGGUUAAGUACACAUCAAUAACAUGUAUAUCAAAUAUACCUGAUUUUUCUUUGCCCGCCUUCUUAUCUGCCAGAUACUUGGGGCAAUUGCGCUUCCAGUGACCCAUACCCUUGCAAUAGUAACACUCCGUUUCAGGCUUAGGUCCAGCUUUGGGUUUCUUCGUCGGAUUGGCAACAGGCUUGCCGCUCUUCUUUGAAUUACCCUUCUUGCCUUUGCCGUUUCUCUUGAAACUAGUGGUCUUAUUCAUCAUCAACACUUGAUGCUCUUUACGGAGUUCAGACUCUGCGACUUUCAGCAUCGCAAACAACUCGCCAGGAGACUUGUUCAUCCCUUGCAUGUUGUAGUUCAACACAAAGCCUUUAUAGCUUGGCGGCAGUGAUUGAAGGAUUCUAUCAGUGAUAGCCUCUUGCGGGAGUUCAAUCCCCAGCUCAGCUAGACGGUUUGAGUACCCAGACAUUUUGAGCACAUGUUCACUGACAGACGAGUUCUCCUCCAUCUUGCAAGCAUAGAAUUUAUCGGAGGUCUCAUACCUCUCGAUCCGGGCGUUCUUCUGAAAGAUAAACUUCAACUCCUGGAACAUCUCAAAUGCUCUAUGACGCUCAAAGCGACGUUGAAGUCCCGGUUCUAAGCCAUACAAGACUGCACAUUGAACUACUGAGUAGUCCUGCUUACGUGAUAACCAAGUGUUCUUAACAUCCUGAUCAGCCGUAGCGGGUGGUUCAUCUCCUAGCGCAGCAUUAAGAACAUAAUCCUUCUUCCCAGCUUGUAAGAUUAGCUUAAGAUUACGAGCCCAGUCUACAAAGUUGCUUCCAUCAUCUUUCAACUUAGCUUUCUCUAGGAACGUAUUAAAAUUCAGGGUGACUAUCACGUGAGCCAUGAUCUACAACACAAAUAUAUUCAAAGUGGACUUAGACUAUGUUCAAGAUAAUUAGAGUUUAACUUAAUCAAAUUAUUCGCUAAACUCCCACUCAAAAAGUACAUCUCUCUAGUCAUUUGAGUGGUUCAUGAUCCACUUACACUAGCUCAAGUCCGAUCAUCACGUGAGUUGAGCAUAGUUUUAGUGGUAAGCAUCCCUAUGCUAAUCAUAUCAUCUAUAUGAUUCAUGAUCGACCUUUCGGUCUCAUGUGUUCCGAGGCCAUGUCUGCACAUGCUAGGCUCGUCAAGCUUAACCCGAGUGUUCCGCGUGCGCAACUGUUUUGCACCCGUUGUAUGUGAACGUUGAGUCUAUCACACCCGAUCAUCACGUGGUGUCUCGAAACGACGAACUGUAGCAACGGUGCACAGUCGGGGAGAACACAAUUUCGUCUUGAAAUUUUAGUGAGAGAUCACCUCAUAAUGCUACCGUCGUUCUAAGCAAAAUAAGGUGCAUAAAAGGAUUAACAUCGCAUGCAAUUCAUAAGUGACAUGAUAUGGCCAUCAUCACGUGCUCCUUGAUCUCCAUCACCAAAGCACCGGCACGAUCUUCUUGUCACCGGCGCCACACCAUGAUCUCCAUCAAUGUGUCGCCAUCGGGGUUGUCGUGCUACUCAUGCUAUUACUACUAAAGCUACAUCCUAGCAAAAUAGUAAACGCAUCUGCAAGCACAAACGUUAGUAUAAAGACAACCCUAUGGCUCCUGCCGGUUGCCGUACCAGACGUGCAAGUCGAUAUUAUCUAUUACAACAUGAUCAUCUCAUACAUCCAAUAUAUCACAUCACAUCGUUGGCCAUAUCACAUCACAAGCAUACCCUGCAAAAACAAGUUAGACGUCCUCUAAUUUUGUUGUUGCAUGUUUUACGUGGUGACCAUGGGUAUCUAGUAGGAUCGCAUCUUACUUACGCAAACACCACAACGGAGAUAUAUGAGUUGCUAUUUAACCUCAUCCAAGGACCUCCUCUGUCAAAUCCGAUUCAACUAAAGUUGGAGAAACCGACACUUGCCAGUCAUCUUUGAGCAACGGGGUUACUCGUAGCGAUGAAACCAGUCUCUCGUAAGCGUACGAGUAAUGCCGGUCCAAGCCGCUUCAAUCCAACAAUACCGCGGAAUCAAGAAAAGACUAAGGAGGGCAGCAAAAUGCACAUCACCGCCCACAAAAACUUUUGUGUUCUACUCGAGAAGACAUCUACGCAUGAACCUAGCUCUGAUACCACUGUUGGGGAACGUCGCAUGGGAAACAAAAAUUUUCCUACGCGCACGAAGACCUAUCAUGGUGAUGUCCAUCUACGAGAGGGGAUGAGUGAUCUACGUACCCUUGUAGACCGUACAGCAGAAGCGUUAGUGAACACGGUUGAUGUAGUGGAACGUCCUCACGUCCCUCGAUCCGCCCCGCGAACAAUCCCGCGAUCAGUCCCACAAUCUAGUACCGAACGGACGGCACCUCCGCGUUCAACACACGUACAGCUCGACGAUGAUCUCGGCCUUCUUGAUCCAGCAAGAGAGACGGAGAGGUGGAAGAGUUAUCCGGCAGCGUGACGGCGCUCCGGAGGUUGGUGAUGACCUUGUCUCAGCAGGGCUCCGCCCGAGCUCCGCAGAAACACGAUCUAGAGGAAAACCCGUGGAGGUAUGUGGUCGGGCUGCCGUGGAAAAGUCGUCUCAAAUCAGCCCUAAAACCUCCGUAUAUAUAGGUGGGAGAGGGGAGGGGGGGCUUGCCUUGGGGCUCAAGGAGCCCCAAGGGGGUCGGCCGAGCCAAGGGGGGAAGGUCUCCCCACCCCAAACCGAGUUGGACUUGGUUUGGUGGGUGGGAGUCCUUCCUUCCCUUCCCACCUCCUUCUUUUUUUUCUUUCUCUUUGAUUUUUCUUCCAAUGCGCAUAGGGCCCUUUUGGGCUGUCCCACCAGCCCACUAAGGGCUGGUGCACCACCCUCAAGGCCUAUGGGCUUCCCCGGGGUGGGUUCGCCCCCCCCGGUGAACUCCCGGAACCCAUUCGUCAUUCCCGGUACAUUCCCGGUAACUCCGAAAACUUUUCAGUAAUCAAAUGAGGUCAUCCUAUAUAUCAAUCUUCGUUUCCGGACCAUUCCGGAAACCCUCAUGAUGUCCGUGAUCUCAUCUGGGACUCCGAACAACAUUCGGUAACCAACCAUAUAACUCAAAUACGCAUAAAACAACGUCGAACCUUAAGUGUGCAGACCCUGCGGGUUCGAGAACUAUGUAGACAUGACCCGAGAGACUCCUCGGUCAAUAUCCAAUAGCGGGACCUGGAUGCCCAUAUUGGAUCCUACAUAUUCUACGAAGAUCUUAUCGUUUGAACCUCAGUGUCAAGGAUUCAUAUAAUCUCGUAUGUCAUUCCCUUUGUCCUUCGGUAUGUUACUUGCCCGAGAUUCGAUCGUCAGUAUCCGCAUACCUAUUUCAAUCUCGUUUACCGGCAAGUCUCUUUACUCGUUCCGUAAUACAAGAUCCCGCAACUUACACUAAGUCACAUUGCUUGCAAGGCUUAUGUGUGAUGUUGUAUUACCGAGUGGGCCCCGAGAUACCUGUUCGUCACACGGAGUGACAAAUCCCAGUCUUGAUCCAUACUAACUCAACGAACACCUUCGGAGAUACCUGUAGAGCAUCUUUAUAGUCACCCAGUUACGUUGCGACGUUUGAUACACACAAAGUAUUCCUCCGGUGUUAGUGAGUUAUAUGAUCUCAUGGUCAUAGGAACAAAUACUUGACACGCAGAAAACAGUAGCAACAAAAUGACACGAUCAACAUGCCACGUCUAUUAGUUUGGGUCUAGUCCAUCACGUGAUUCUCCUAAUGACGUGAUCCAGUUAUCAAGCAACAACACCUUGUUCAUAAUCAGAAGACACUGACUAUCUUUGAUCAACUGGCUAGCCAACUAGAGGCUUGCUAGGGACAGUGUUUUGUCUAUGUAUCCACACAUGUAAAUGAGUCUUCAUUCAAUACAAUUAUAGCAUGGAUAAUAAACGAUUAUCUUGAUACAGNNNNNNNNNNNNNNNNNNNNNNNNNNNNNNNNNNNNNNNNNNNNNNNNNNNNNNNNNNNNNNNNNNNNNNNNNNNNNNNNNNNNNNNNNNNNNNNNNNNNGAACCCCAACCCUACNCCSACCACCACCACACCACACCACACGCACGCGUCGGCGCCGCGCCCCCCCCCACCCCCCCCACCACACACACACAUCAUAAAGCUCCUCCCGGUCUCUCUCCGCCCAUCCACCCCGCCCCCAAAACAAUCGCGCCCGUGAGUCGUGGCUGCUGCUACCAAUCUGCCCAGCAGAGCCGGCUCUCGACACGCUCGCUCGCGCCGCGUUCGUUGCAUGCGCCGGGCCGCCGCCGCCACCAGCAGGGUCAGGAUCCACAUGGCGGCGGAGGAGGUCAGGCAGGCGUCCGCGGCCGCCACGGCGGCCGAGGCGGUGCCGGCCCCCGCGGGCUCCCGCUGGGCGCGGGCCUGGCCGGCCGCGCUGCGCUGGAUCCCCACCUCCACCGACCGCAUCAUCGCCGCCGAGAAGCGCCUCCUCUCCGUCCUCAAGUCAGUGCCCCCAUAUCCCCUACCCCUGUUCCUCUCCUCGGACCACGAUUACUUGUUUUCGUCCACGAUUACCACUUGUACCAUCUGCACGAUUAGUUGUUCCGCCUCUUCACUCCGCCAUCCCACGAUCCGUAACAGCUGAUUGACCUCCUCAUAGGGCCCAAUUUUGGGGUUGCUGGACGACUUGUAGGGCUGUAAUCCGCUCAUCCCCCCACCACGGUUCACUGGUUUCCGAGCGUCGGGCGAGGGCGAGUGCCAAAGCUGUCUGCUUGUGCUCAAAACCAUCCAGCCGGAUACUGAUUCUGCAGCCAAUUCUGAUGUUGAAGUUGCUACCUUCAUUGAUAGGACUAUAUCAGAGCAGUGUGUCACUUUGGGAUCACUAAAGCCUGGAUUUAUUUAUACGCACUACUUAAUUUGAACUGUUCGAUUGUUGUGCAUAUAUAACACUCAGUUUCGUUUAAGCAUGGAACCGGCGGCUGUUCUGUCUGCUUGUCAGUAUUGUCUAUUUGGUCUCAUGAAGCCCAUACAACAAUAUAUAGCAUAUGUUGUAGUCUUUGAUGAUAAUGUUGUUAAUACUUGAAAGCAUUGACGGGACUCCUUGACCAUUAGUUGGAUAUUGUCCAUUUGGUCUUUCUAUUAUACUGUUGAAAAGAUAUACUCAUGAACUGCAUGGUGAAACUUUGUUUGUUGUUGAUCUGGUACUUCAUUCCAAUGCAUGAUAGCUUGGUCAACACAUUGCUCUGUUUCGAUUUGUGCAAUAAGGAUUUAAAAAAAAAAUACAUUCUGUACCUGAACUCGCUAACGCCCUGAAGGGAUAAUGUUACGAGUUCGUUCCAAGACAUAAUAUUGUAUUACAGUACUACUGACAUGGGACUUCACAUCCCCGUUUUUUCGCCUACUUGGCCUUUAGUAGAUAUUCCAUGUCUUCCUUUGUUUUAUUGUAGAUAGAAGAGUUACUAUUUCAUUAUGCUGAUACAUGAUGUAACUUUUUUUAUCUUCACAGAACUGGGUAUGUCCAAGAACAAGUUAACAUUGGCUCGGCUCCACCUGGGUCAAAAGUAAAAUGGUUUAGAUCAUCAAGUGAUGAGCCAAGAUUCAUCAAUACAGUGACAUUUGAUAGCAAGGAGAAUGCCCCCACCCUUGUCAUGGUCCAUGGUUAUGGUGCUUCACAGGGGUUCUUCUUUCGAAACUUUGAUGCCCUUGCAAGCCGCUUCAGGGUGAUUGCCAUUGAUCAACUUGGGUAAGCUCUAAGAAAAUCAAUACACUAUUGUGACUAAUAUUCCUCAAUGUGGUGAUUGAAGUAAUUAUAUUUCCAUUCCUUUGCUCACUUUUUCCCAACUGUUACAAUUAUCCUUGAUACCUGUAGAAAAGAGACAUUGGUCUAAAGAGUUUUGUGCAUUGUAAUAUUUGCACACAAUGUGUCUUCAUACCCACAGCAUACUAGGAUAUGAUUCCUGACUUGUUCACAUGCCACAAAUCUAAUUUUGAUUGUUUACAAUUAUCGGUGUUAAUGAUGCUUGUUCUUGUAAUUGACAUAAAGAAAGAAAAAUAUUAGUGUAGAUUCAUUGAUCUUAGAGUUCAAGAUUUAUGUUAGAAAUUGAAUCUUAUCAGUGUGAGUUAAGAGGAGUCAAUCGUGUCCUUUUACCUCUAGGUAAGGAAAAUUAAUAUGAUGAUACAUAAAUGUUUGCCUACUAUUAGGAUAUGUGUCAUGGAUGAUAAAAAAUGUUUUAUACUGUUCUUGUAAUUACUCCACAUUGUUUGAUGUUGCAUAUUGUUGAAUUUUUCCUACCCUUUUGCAGUUGGGGUGGAUCAAGCAGACCUGACUUCGACUGUAGAAGUACUGAAGGUUAGAUACAGAUACUUUAUUUUAGUAUGCUACUGGUUCCCCUCGACUGCCACUAUCAUUUCUGUUGUUGACCAUGCCUUGGCAUCAAAUUUUAUGGUGAACAUCCUGUUUUAUUUUGAUUUUUGACGAUCCUGCAAGCAAUUGCUACUAUGGGAAACCCAUGUAGAUUUGUUCCAUCAUAUUGCUUUGUGAUGUAGUUUCUGCUAUAUGCUUUUUUUUUAAACAACGAGUAACAUGCUUCCUUUCGUUUUUUAUUUUGGUCAACUUUGUGAACAGAAACCGAGGCUUGGUUCAUAGAUUCUUUUGAGGAAUGGCGCAAAGCAAAGAACCUCAGUAAUUUUAUAUUGCUCGGUCAUUCUUUCGGAGGAUAUGUUGCGGCAAAGUAUGCGUUACAGGUAUAUUUAUAAUUAAUUUAGCAAGUGAAGCUACUCAACUGCUGCCUAUGAUAAUUAUACUAAAAUGUAUGCUUUAUUUCAGCAUCCUGAACAUGUUCAGCACUUGAUUUUGGUUGGUUCUGCUGGCUUUUCAUCAGAAACAGAUCAUAGUUCUGAGAGGUUAACCAAGUUCCGUGCAACGUGGAAAGGCAUGCUAGUAAACCAUCUUUGGGAGUCCAAUUUUACUCCUCAAAGAAUUGUGAGGUAAGGCUAGGGCUUCUUCUAUUUGUAUUUUCAUUUUUUUACCUAAUAAUGCAAAUGAAGACAAGAUGAAAAUGUAAGCCUCUCCACUUCAUAAUUAGCAAUCAUCCAUGUCUAGUUAAAUUUGGUUAGUGCACGUACCUUAACAAAACAGAGCAAUCCAUCACCCAUUUUAACUGGAAGUAUUAUGUAGCCAGCUGUGACCACCAUAUCAGACCAAACCUGCCAGCAUGAUUUUGUUAGGAAAACAGCAACGCAUAUUGAACGGAAGCUCCAAAAAUAAGCUGCAAUAUUAUUUGCUGUCAAAUAGAGAAGUGCCAAUUAUUAUCUGAAGUAACACGAAUUAACAAAAAUCGCAAUCAAAUUCAUUCUGCUGUCUUAGAAGUCCAUGAAGGCAUCAUAUAUACUCUGAACUGGCAGUCACAGCUGGGGCAUAUAACAACCUUGUCAUGCUUCAGUCAGUUAAAAUGGAUGGAAGGGCUGGAUUGCUCCUUCUAUCGAAGUAAAUGAGUACUACUCCCUCCGUUCCUAAAUAUAGGUCUUUUUAGAGAUUUCACUAGGGACUACAUACGGAGCAAAAGGAAUGAAUCUACGCUCUAAAGUAUGUCUAUAUACAUCCGUAUGUAGUCCGCUAGUAAAACCUCUAAAAAGACCUAUAUUUAGGAACAGAGGGAGUAUGUUCAAAUUGAAGUAGAGAUAGCUCAACAACGCAAAAAUAAUUUGAAGUGGAGAUAGCUGCAACAAUUCGAAAACUAUCGGAUUUCUUUAUAAGCUACCUCUUUGGUACCUUUUGUACUGAUGUCCGUUUGUUUUACUUAAACAGAGGAUUGGGUCCUUGGGGUCCUGAUUUAGUUCGGAAAUAUACCACUGCUAGGUUUGGCUCACAUUCAACAGGUGAAUUACUAACAGAACAUGAGUCCUCCUUACUGACAGGUAAACAUUUGUUGUUACAUUAAUUCUGUAAGUGCAUUUUCUUAGAUGAUGCUUGUAAUUGAACCUUAUUGUUGCUUUCUUGUAUAUGAAGAUUACAUUUACCACACUUUAGCUGCUAAAGCUAGUGGAGAGUUGUGCUUAAAACAUAUUUUCUCAUUGGGGGCAUUUGCAAGGAAACCACUUCUGCACAGGUUAGCUCCUCUUCCUAUGCACUUAGUUUCUUGGAACUGCCCCCCUGGUGAUAACAGCAUGUUCAAUUAUUAUGUUUCUCAGUAAUCAUUAAGAAUUUAAGAUAAGAGCCCCUCCUAUAAUACUACCUCUGUAACUUAAUAUAAGACGUUUUUUGACACUACGACGGUGUACAAAAACGUCUUAUAUUUUGAUACGUUGGGAAUAUUAUUUAGAACUGUAUUUAAUAAAAGUGAAAAAGGGUUGUGUGUGCGCCCAAGUAGCUGUGGAAAAUCUGCUUUCGUUGAUUGUGGCUUUUGAAUCUUUAGCGGACAGGAUGGAAUUUGUUUCACAUGUUCUUCCCUAGCAUACUUGUUAAUUUCUUCUCUCUUUAUAGCAUUAGUCAAGUAGAUAAGAUAACUAUGGCUGCCAAUAACCACUUAUUCGUUACCAUGAAUAGAUUUGAAUUCCAGAAUGGCUUAUCUAGCGAAAAGUUUGAAAAUCCGACUCUGUAACAAACUAGCUAUACUACCAAUUUUCGUCAGUAUAUUUGAUAUAUAAAACAUGAUAAGUUAAUGAUCUUGUAGAUGCAGUAAUGUAUUGACCAAAAGUACCAGAGUGAACUAUAUGCAGCGUAAAUAUAUUUGUGAUGUUUUCUCACUGGCCUAUGACUUGCGACAGUGCAUCCGACUGGAAAGUGCCAACUACUUUCAUAUAUGGCCACGAUGAUUGGAUGAAUUACCAAGGGGCGCAGCAAGCACGCAAGGACAUGAAAGUUCCUUGCGAAAUCAUCAGAGUCCCACAGGUCAGUUUUCCAUUCUGGCAGUAUGUGCCCAGCCAGCCAAAAGAUUAGUAUUGACGACAUAUACCUUAACUGCUAUGCAGGGAGGACAUUUUGUGUUUAUAGAUAACCCUGAGGGGUUCCACUCGGCGAUCUUCUACGCGUGCCGGAAAUUUUUAUCUGGAGAUGCAGAGGAAGGUCUCUCUCUUCCUGAUGGCUUGAUAUCUGCAUGAGGCGUCAUCUUGUGUGAUCUCGUACCGAAUAGCGGUGUCAGCAUAAAGCAAAGCUAUACAACAAUAGAAAUGUUUUUGUAUGUAUGAAUUGUGUGAAUAUGUCAUUCAUAUGUGCUUGCGUACCAACAACACUAGUGAGACUAUUAUUGUUUUUUUUUUUGUCAGGUCUAGACAUAAUUAUGUCAUAUAUGUAAGAUCUUCCUAGUCAGUUUUUAGGUCAAGUUGCUGUAAGUGAUGCUCUAUAUUCUUUCAGGGCAACUUUAUGUUUGCCUGCUACGAAACAUCUUCACAGUAUUAACUGCCGCUGUACAUUUGCUGCAGUCAUUGCUGCGUCGUAGCCAUUUUUAGAAAGUAUUUUGGAACAGUGGAAGUGCAUUUUGGUGUCUUACGAUGCUAUUAUCCUACCAGACUAUUUUGGUACUAGUACGUCUACGAGUAUUCUACAAUUAGUCAUGAGGCUGACAAUGGCAACGUCCGCGGGGGCUGUUCCUGUCCCUGAAGGAGUUUUUUUUGGCCCCGAUCGGACUUCCUUCCUCGAGCUCGGGGGAAUCCCUUGGUCCGGUCUCCGGACCAGGAGGCGGUGGCGGCAUGGUGUCACUAUCUUUUUGAAGGGGUCGUCUUGUUGUUCGAAGAGUCUCGAUGGUGCGGCUCGAGUCAAUGUUACCGGACUUCUUGGGCGUAAUGUAUGCCAUCUCCGGCGCCAUCUCAAAGACACCUUUCCUAGGUUUGGCCGUACCGUUCACUUGUUGAUUUUCUCUUGGCACAAUUGGUGAUAGUACGUUGGAAUGUGUUGAUGUUGAGGUGAUAGUACGUUGGAAUGUGUUGACGUUGAGUCUUGGUUUUGUUGUAGAGGUCUCGGUAUUGGUUGUGAUGUGACUUGGUUGCUUUUUGGCUUGAGUCAUUGUCAUUGACAUAAGGUUGGACUAGGGAAACAUAUAUCCUAGUAGACAAGGUGGAUAUGAGUGAUGAGUGUGGCGGCUAAUUCUCGUGAUUAACGUUGUAAUGGUCGAAAGGCUUUGUAUUCGGUUUCUUUUUUUAAUGUGAAAGGUGCUUCUUUAUACUUCUUUUAAUGCGAUGAUACGCAUAUUUACGUGUAUUCUAUAAAAAAAUCAUGGCAAAAAUAUUUGUGUUUACUAAGCUCAACAGCUUGCUGAUUCCUACUCUCUCAAAUAUAAAUCGCUUUAGAUAUUUUAAUAUGAACUAUAGUACGGAUAUGUAUAUAGAUGUAUUUUGAAACAUAAAUUCAUCUAUUUUACUUCCUACAUAUUUCCUCCGUUUUUAAAUAUUUGUCUUUUCAGAGAUUUAACUACAGACUACAUCGGAGCAAAAUGAUGAAUUUACAUUUUAAACUAUGUCUAUAUACAUUCAUAUGUAAUCGAUAGUGAAAUUUCUAGAAAGACAAAUAUUUAAAAACGGAGGGAGUAGUUUACGCACACACUAUCUUUAAAAUGAUUUAUAUUUAAAAACGAGGGGAGUAGUUCUCUUGGACAUUAUGCCUAACUUCCAACUCCAAACAAAGAAAAAGCUCGCCCUUUCAUUUCAGCAAAGAGGGAGCGAGCGUGCCGCUCUUUCGCGGUUUCGCCUACCCCAUUUGAUGAGCCUAAACCCACAGGCGGGGCGCGCCGCAGCUCGCGUGGCAGAGCAUGGAGCGCCCUCCGCCAUCGCCGGCCUGGCCGCCGCCACCUCCAGGAUCGCCUCCCACGGCCGCGCCGGCGACGCCGCCGCGGCGCGCGCCGUGUUCGACGCGAUGCCCCGCCGCGACGCCGUCGCCUGGAACGCCAUGCUCACCGCCUACGCCCGCGCCGGGCAGCCGCGCGCGGCCNNNNNNNNNNNNNNNNNNNNNNNNNNNNNNNNNNNNNNNNNNNNNNNNNNNNNNNNNNNNNNNNNNNNNNNNNNNNNNNNNNNNNNNNNNNNNNNNNNNNCGAACCCUCCAAAGACUUUUGGUUACAACCCGUGUCCGAACCAAGUUUUUGUCUAACCUUUAUUAAUUUAAUUAGGGACUUUAAACGUUACUGCAGAUUAGUGUGGACCCCGACUUUUUGUACAAAUUAAACUAAGAAUUGAGGAAGRCUAUGGUGAAGUCGCGACAUGCAAUUGACCAAUAAAAAGACCCCUUCCACGGUCCUCCUCUAUUUUCUUCUCUAGUCACAUGCAUGACCACCCUCCUCCUCUCAACCGAACACAACAACACAAUAUCCCACUACAUGCAUAGUCCUCUUCUACUCUCUCUCUCUCUCUCUCUCCUUUCAAUUGGAAUAAUUUGUAAAUAAAAUUGGACAUAAAAACAAACAUUUGCGGUGUCCGUUUAGGGGGUCAGUGUUGGAAAUGCCCUUAGUAAACGAAAAUGUAAUUCUAAGAUAUUUACUGUGAGAAAGGGGUGUUGGGAAUUAUUUGAAAUGCGAUACUCAUAUGACCAUAUGGGAUGCGGCGGGAAAAAAGAAAGAAAGGAGGAUAUUAUUUGGUUGGCUCCGUCGAGAGGAGAGAAGCGUGGGGAAAACAAACUGCAUAUAUACGGCCGGCGGGGUGGGUGGUGAAAACUAGGAGCGAGGAGAGAUCAGUUGGAUGGCGACUGGGAUAUGCGCCAUGUAGUAUACGGCCCGUGUCGUGUCAAUCAACACAUGUGUCGUUUGUUUGGCUUGUCCGUUUGUCAUUUCCUCCUUCGUAGGCACCACGACGAGCCCUGCGCCUAAACGGCAACCGCAAGUCUCAUAUGUGUUCGUCAGCUAGCCAGCUAGCUAUCCUCAAAGAAAAGGGAAAAAAGAAAAGUAGCUAGCUAGCUAUCCUCUUAGAAAAGGGAAAAAAGAAAAGUAGCUAGCUAGCUAGCGCCAUUGGUCGAUGGACGGGGAGGUUUGCGUUCCGUGUCCAUCACGGCCAUCUCCUGCCGAGCCACCGAGACCUUUCCAACCUUGGGAAGAACAUGGAGCGGAUCACUUCUAGAAUCUCUCGACAGUGGACGUUUGGUUUCUGGACUGAUGAAGCACCUGGACUCGGACGAUUGAGAUGUCAUCGCGGACACCAUGCUAUGUGGAGCAGCGUGCUGGUCACAGUCGAAAGUAUCGUAUAUUGAUACUACGUCCAUAAUGCAUAGAAUUAUGGUUUGAUAUCAUACUUAAUUUUAUUUAUUUAAUUAUAUGUUACCUUAAUAAAAUAUCUAAUUCACAUGUAUGAUACUAGCUAUUAUAUUACGGACGUGGAUUUUUUUUUGCUCUGGGGAGCAUAUGAUGCUCCCUAAUGAACAGUAAAAACCAAAAAAAAAAAGUAAAUAAGUUUUAAAAAUUCUGAAUUUUUUUUAUAGAUGUUCACAUUAGUGUGGCAAGUGUGCUUGCUAAUUUUCAUGACAUAUGGGAUAGCGGUGCUUCGUUGGUGAAAAAAUUAAAAUUAAACUAAACAUUUGAAGAUAACAUUUGACGUUGGACUUGUUCAUUUUGUGCAGACCAAAAUACUUAAGUUUUUGACCUGUAAAUUGCAUAUACCAUUUGAGUGUGACAAUGAACACAUCUGUUUUUUUCAAAAAAUUUGAUAUUUGUAAAAUACAUUUUUAACACGCAGAAGCAUAUGCUUCCUAGAAUCAAAUUGAAUAUCCAUUAUACUACCAGCCUAAGAGGCGACACAUCCGACAAACAAGUGUCAUUAAUAGGCACAUGCUCAGGUGGACAUGUUAUCAUAAAAUAAAUGAUCAAGUUAGAAACAAAGGAAUAUAAUACUCCUUCUUUCAAAAUAAAUGACUCGAUUUUAUAUUAAUUUUAUAAGGUUAGUAUAAAAUUAAAUCAUUUGUUUUGAAACAAAGGAAGGACAGGUCAAGGAGGAGGUGGCACAGACUAAAGAAAAGCUUAUCCUAUACCGACUAGAUGUGACUUGGACAUAUCCACCACAGGCAUGCAAAAGCGUCAAUGAAAAUACUCUAGGAAGGGUAGGGGCAACUAAAAUUAGAGCAUCUCUAGCACACCCUGUGUAAUGCCUCGUCCCGUAAAAUAACCGCCAAAAUAAGGAUCGAAAAUAUUACCACAUCAGAUCCCGCAAUGUGUCCGAGCCGUAAAAAACUUUGCGGGGCGCGAUAAAAGUUUGCCCUCAACCUUCAGAUUCACGGGGUGGGAGGCCGACCCGAGCUCGCCCCCUAUCCGCAACGAGAUUUAACGCGAGGGAAAUUUCCGCGCGGUUGUUCCCUGCUCCCCCCUCCUCGACUGCCAUUGCCACGCUACCGCGCGCUCCGGACCAUCUUCCCCACCAUUCCAUGCCGCCAUGGAAGCCUCUCAGCCGGCGGAUCUCGUCAACAUGGAGGUUACGCAUGCACAAUCCCAUCGGCGGAUCUCGUCAACAUGGAUUAAUACUUCCAACUCAUGGUCAAGUAUCCCAAUAAGACAGUACGAACCUUUCAGUCACUCCAAGGUCGUUGGGACGUGAUCAAGCCGACUUGUAGCCAUUGGGCAGCUUGCUUGGAACAAGUUCGCAAUGCUCCUCCAAGUGGAACCGUGGAAUCCGACUAUGUUAGUUUGUUUUCACGUCCCAAGUUCUACACACCAUUUGCAUCAUGUGAAAUGGUUCCAUCAUUUGACUUUGUUUUAAUUGUGUAGGAAAAAAUUGCCCAACACCGGUACAAAGACAUGGAAGCUUCAUAAGGCAAAAAAAUUAAACUAGAGCAUUGUUGGGAAAUGAUCAAAGACUGCGACAAGUGAAAGUUGAUUGACAAAGAAUCCCCACCGAAGAGAGGUUCACUUACGAACAUGGAUGAAGAUGAAGAUGAUGAUGACCCAAGAAACUUGAACAAGCCUGAUGGUGACAAGAAGACAAAGAAGAAGAUCAAAAGGGAACACGAAGCAUCGAGCUUGCGGGAUAGGAUAUAUGCCAUGGUAAAAUCAAAUGAGGUGAUGCUAGCGAAGUCUCUGGAGGCAAAGAUAGAGUUGGCCGAGAAGAAGGCAUGAGAGAAACAAGAGAGGUGGAAAUUGCUAAAGGACAUUGAGGAGAGAAGAGCACGUGUUGCUGAGAACAAAACCAUGGCCAACCUUCUUGCCGAAGAGAACAGGAUCAUGACUUUGAACUGUAAUGACAUGGACGACAUCAGCAAAGAAUGGCAUGAUAUGACAAGGAGAGAAAUCUUGAAGAGGAGGAUGCUUGCGUGUUACAAUGGCGGCGAUGUUUUCUCAUUGGGAAUCGGAACCAAUAUUGUCGAUGAUUUCAAUGCCGGAGUUGGAACAAGUGUCAGCGAUGGAUACGGGGGAGUCGAUGGAUUCAGGGGCGACGAUGACCUCGAUGGUGCGGAGUGAAGAGCGACCAGGAUGCAUGAAGUCCUUUUGGGUUUGUAUUUUAAACUAUGCUUUCAUUUUGCACGCGAACUAUGUUAUAUUGUUUAAAAUCGAAUUCAUUUCUCGGAACCGCUCUCAAAUUCGCUUAUUGGGAGGCUUUUCGGUUUACGGGUCAACGUGGCGGCAUCCGAGCAGACCCCGUAUUGCCAACCCGUAAAAAACAUCUUCUGCAAAUAUAUUUUUUACGGAUCCGUUUUGCGGGAUCUGAUUCCAUUCGUGCCCGCACUGGCCCACAAAACCCUUUUUUCUCGAACUGUAAACGACUUUGCGGGUUAACUUUAUACGGGGUCUGCUAGAGAUGCUCUUAACAUGAGAAUAGACAAUGCUCUUAACAUGAGAAUAGACAGUAAAAGGAGACAUCAAGGAGAGUGCAAAGUUUUAAUGGACGGGGGCAUUAGAGGACUUUAUUUCAAAAGAUUCAAAAAUGAUAUUUCUAUAUUUUUUUUAAAUCCCAAAAUAAAUAUUUGAAAACUUAUACGUAUUUGCAGUGGAUCUAUGAAAUUUCGUUUACUAAAAAUUUUAUUUUUUAACUAAGUCUGCAACAAAAAUUAAAAAAUUAAKUAGGACCCAAAAACAAAACCAAAAAAAGAAUACCUAACUUUUACUUAAUUUAAUUAGUUUUACUUUAGKUUUUUAUURUUAUACGUCYAMKUAUAGUAAAGUAUAUUAGUUAUUGUUAAUUUUUUCUACAACUAGUGUUGUGNNNNNNNNNNNNNNNNNNNNNNNNNNNNNNNNNNNNNNNNNNNNNNNNNNNNNNNNNNNNNNNNNNNNNNNNNNNNNNNNNNNNNNNNNNNNNNNNNNNNACGUAACGGUUUACGGUAACCCUACGUCCCGACAACCCCCUACCGUCCGUUACCCUUUCCCUAACCCUAAGACCACCCGGACUACGAGACGACUUAGUCACUUGUCAGCACGAUAGUCGUCGAUGAGCGCUGCAUCGAAGACACCAACCAUACGUCCACUGCAUCAUCAUGAGCGCCCAUCGGAGCUCCGACAACGUUGCGCCGCAGCACAAACAACCACCGACAAAGCUGCAUCGAAGCACCCGUUUCUCCCUGUAGAGUCGCAACUGUUGCAACGCAACAGCCUCGCCGCAGCACCGACUACUCACGCGAGCGCUCUAUUGCAGCAUUGUGACCGUUGCACUGCAGCUUCGGCAACACCGACCAGCAUUGCAUGCCGCCGGUGAGUACUCCAUUGUAGCACGACGAGAGCUGCAACGCCUCAUCCUCAAGCGGACCGUUGCCACUUUGCAACUUCACGGGUGCUGCGACAUCUCCUUUUGCGGCAGCGCCACACCCUCGAGCGGCGAUACGACGAGCCCUUAUCAGCAGCGAUGGCUGCCCUGCAACUCACGACAACAGGGUGGUCAGCGUUGUGCGGCUCUCCUCUCCUACAACAAUGGCAGAUGAUCCCCGAUUUUCAAUUGUUAGGGCAGCAACACGUGUGGGAUAUCGGGACUGCGACUGCACGACGAUCCUGCACUCGAUUCCUCAACUCCGUCGACAGUCCUCCUGAUUUCCCUCCAGUGUCUCAUCUAACAGCUGACGAAUAAGAGAACAAUGAAAAGGGAAAGGGAGAAACGAGUGGAGGGGAAGAGAUAAGGUGGGACGAGAGUGAGCGGUGGAUGAAUCCAUGAGGGCACAUGGCGUACGGAGGCGACGGUUUAAGGGAGAGAGAAUCAGUUGGUUGUUUUUAAUUGUUUUCUUUUUUCUUUCAAAGAAGGCAUUUUUUCUAAAACUGUCAUCGUUUAAUCUCGCGCCGUAACCAAAACGGUCAUGAAAAUGCAUUCGCUUGCCAUCUACCUUCCACAGAGGAAACGUUCGUCAGUUAGUAUUUCCGUAAAACAUUCACUCGAUGAGAUUUCGGUUCUAAGAGCAACUCUAGCAGACCCCGCAUCCGCCCUCGACCCGCAAAAUAACCGCCAAAAUGCGGGUCGGGGUGGAAAAGCCUGCCCGAUCAGACCCCGCAUCCCGCCCCGGCUCGCAAAAAUUUUCAGGGGGCGCGGCAAAUUCCCGACCCCAACCUGGGAAAACGCGGGUUUCCCCCUCACGGCUGCGGUGCCCUGCAUAACAGAGAGGCAGUUGGCGGGAGGGACAUUUCAGCCCGCGCUAUUUUCCCCUCCCUUCCGCCGCCGCCGCCCCGCCCUUGCUUCCUCCCGCCUGCUGGUGGCGAUUCCGGCCAUAUCUGCAGGCGAGCCGCUGCACCGCCCCUCCGGAUCCGGCGAGAAGAGCCCCCUCUAGCCGUCGCCGCCCGGGAUCGACCACCGCCUCAUCGCCGCCGCCGGUUAGUACCUUUUUUGUGGUUCCUACUAUCCUCCCGCCAACUACCCGAGAAGAUGGAGUUGACCCCAUGUGAGAAGUUCCUGCUAUCCGAUUCGUCCGAUUCGGACGGCUCGGAUGUUGAGACCAUGCUUGCGACCUUUCGUCAGCAAACAUUAGUCAUGACGCUUGCCGUGAAGGAGAAUGAAGACGAGAACCAUAAGAAGAGGCGAGGAUCGACUGUCGAGCGUUUGUGCAUUCCUCGGAAUCGCCAUCUUGGGAACGAGAUGUUGAUGCAAGACUAUUUCGCGGAGAAUCCUACAUAUCCUCCACACCUCUUCCGGAGAAGGUACCGAAUGCGCUGAUCCCUCUUUGUGAAAAUUGUUCAAGCUUGCGAGGAAAAUUGCCGGUAUUUUACUCAAAGAAGGAAUGUCGCAGGCUUAAAGGGAUUUAGUGCAUAUCAAAAAAUCUCCGCAGCUAUGCGGGUGAUUGCAUAUGGCGUUCCGGUUAACUAUGCCGAUGUGUACAUUCGCAUUGGUGAAGAUACCACAAUUGAGUAUGUGCGUAGAUUUGCAAAAGUUGAUCAUCCGUCUCUUCGGUCCUGAGUAUCUUCGGGCAUCCAAUGAAGAUGACACAAAGAAAUUGAUGGCAUCUAAUGAGAGGAGAGGUUGGCCUGGAAUGCUAGAUAGCAUUGAUUGUAUGCAUUGGAAUUUGAAAAAUUGCCCCAAGGCUUGGCAAGGAAUAUAUUGUGACAAGUCUCGUGAUGCAAUAAUUGUGCUAGAGGCCGUAGCAUCCGAGGAUUUAUGGAUUUGACAUUGCUUUUUUGGUAUGCCGGGCACUCUCAAUGAUAUCAAUGUGUUGUAACGGUCGCAUUUGUUUGCUAGGCUUGCUAGUGAUGAUGCUCCUGCUUGCAACUACGCUAUUAAUGGACAUGAAUACACAAAGGGGUACUAUCUUGCAGAUGGUAUAUACCCUCCUUGGUGCACAUUUGUCAAGAGCAUCAAAGAACCCAAAACAAAAAAAAUAAUAUGAAUUUGCAAAGGUGCAAGAGGCAGCCCGCAAAGACAUUGAAAGAGCAUUCGGUGUUUUGCAAUCUAGGUUUGCCAUUGUGCAUGGUCCUGCUCGUUUUUGGGAUAAGAGAACCUUGAAGAACAUCAUGACACGCUGUGUUAUCCCGCACAAUAUGAUUCUUGAAGAUGAGAGAGGAUUGAACUUAGAAUUCUUUUACGACAAUGUGGGUAGCCGUGUCAAACCAGCUAGAGACCCAAACCGCAUUAGAGCUUUUCUUCAGACAUACAAGGAGAUUGAAAACCCAGACACCCACUUUCAACUUCAGAAGUAUCUCAUUGAACACUAUUGGCAAAGGGCUAGACAACGACUUAUUUUUGUAUUCAUUUGUAUUUGUAUUCAUGACAAGUUUUGAAUAAUUAUUUGUAAUGCGGAUGAUUAUUGUAUUGUGUUUGAUUGGAAUAAUUCAGUUUGUUUUCGGCCGUUGAAUUAUGUUGUAUUUGAUAUUUACGGUCUAAUGAUACGGGAAGCAGCGGUGCAAAGAACGGACCCUUCAAAGUCGACCCGUAAAAAAGAAUAUUCCACAAAUAUAUUUUUUACGGAUCCGUUUGUGGGAUCUGCAUAUGUGACAGCCCAGGCCAGCCCGCAUAAGCAGUUUAGCACGACCUGCAAACGUGUUUUUCGGGUCGACGGGAUGCGGGGUGUGGUAGGGUUGCUCUAGAGAAACUCUUUCCAGCGGUUGACUGGUUUUGACUGAGCGUUACAUGCCACGUCAUCGGGUUUACCUCACCAGGACAAGUCCCGCCUCCCGAGCCCGAACCAAUCCGUCCCGUGAGAGGAGCGCCGCCACUGCCCCUCCGCCGCCGGCUUCGGCCCUCCCCGUCGCCCACUUUCCCCGCCCCUCCCCCGCGGCCCCGCUCCUCCAACUCCCCUCCUCGCCCGCACCCACCCCGUCGCCCCGGUCUCCGCCCACCCCCGCCCCACCCACCCCACCCAACYCCUAAACCCUACGACCCUACUCCCCCCUACAAAACCCCGUGGAAACGUACCCACGGUUCCUACGCCCGGAGCCCCGCCCGCCGGGGACCGGCGACGCGGUACGCCCCGGAGACCCCUNNNNNNNNNNNNNNNNNNNNNNNNNNNNNNNNNNNNNNNNNNNNNNNNNNNNNNNNNNNNNNNNNNNNNNNNNNNNNNNNNNNNNNNNNNNNNNNNNNNNGCAGAUAACAUCGUUGUGGCACUCUCCAACGGCAGGUGCGUAGCUGCCAACAGGUAUGGAGCACACGUCUACCUCUAGGUAGCUAAGCUAGCUAGGCGAUGUACCCUAGCCUCUGGAGCAGCGCGGAGCGGAGGGCGCCGUCGCCGUCGUCGUCCUGUAGUCCAGCGGGCACGUCGAUGACGACGUCCUGCACCGUCACGCCCUCCAUGCGGUGCACGCACGCGUGCUGCACCUGCAGCUCUAGCCGACCGGAGCGCACUCAUCAGCCGCGCCGGCGCGUGCCGGGCUCGUCCCGAGCUCAUCACGCGCACCGCCGCCGCGUCCUUCCCCACCAUCCGCACCUCCACCACAUCGUCGCCAGCCCCGGCGUGGCUGCCUCGGGACGAAGAAGCGGGCCCGUUCGACGCCUCCCACCUAGCGGCGGCCGCCUGCCGGCCCUCCUCCUCGAGCCGCGCGACGCGGGAGCGCAGCUCGGUGAUGUAGGCGACGGCGUCGGCGAGGAGUGAGGCCUUGUCCAUCCGGGACACGGUGGGCACGGCGGCGCGGAGGUCGCAGAAGCGUCGGUUCAGCUUGUCGCGGCGCUGGCGCUCGGCCUCCACGUGGCUGACGGUGAGACCAUCGGGCCGCGGCACGGGCUUCCGCCCACGCCGCUUUGUAGGCGUGGUCGUCGACGCCGGCGGUAGCUCGGAGUCCGGGGAGAGCGACGAGCUCCGGCAGGCCACAAGAAAUCUACACUCCUCGCUCGUUCGGACCGGCNNNNNNNNNNNNNNNNNNNNNNNNNNNNNNNNNNNNNNNNNNNNNNNNNNNNNNNNNNNNNNNNNNNNNNNNNNNNNNNNNNNNNNNNNNNNNNNNNNNNCUUCUUCGUCCGUUUUCCGUUUCGUUUCCGUUUACCCCUUACGGUGUUUAGCUAAGCCGAGACCCCUUGCCUCCNGAAAAGUCAUUCCUUUUCUAUCUUCGUCCAUGUCAACAGGAUCUGGACGUGCAGGUUUUGUACUCAGGUUUGGGAUCUAUCUCCCCAGGUCGCWACUUUCUUGGGUCAUCGUUAGGCUCAUAAUUCUCAUCCUUUGCACAGGCAGCAUCAAGCAAUUUUUUCAUAACGCUCGAGGCACUGGGAUGGUGUUCGUACCCACAAUAGGUGCAAUAGUCCUCCAUUGAGUAGGCAUUGAGCUUAGCBAAGAUGUAAGCAGUCUUCUCAUCCUCUUCCCUUGUCCACUCAGUCUGGGGUUAAUGGGCACUAGGUUAGUUAAGUAAACGUAAAUAGACAGAACCUCUAUAAUUAUUCGACAGACAACUAGAAAAACUGAAAAAUGGGGGCAGACCUAUGUCAUAAUAGAGCAAGAUAUAACCAAUUAAAAGAAACAUUAAGCAUACAUAUGACAGGUAAAGAUUGUACGGUUAUUUGAACUAAUUUAAUUUGAAUUAGAAUGUAGAAUUCAACACAGAACUAGAAAAUUAUAAGUUUAGUACUAAGUUAGUCGUUUAGGUUUUAAUUUAGACUUAACUUUAAAGGUUUUAGUAAGUUUAGGUAUUACGACAAACGUCCGUUAAAUUAGGAAAGUACCGUAAUUUAAACGGAAAUUAACUAAAAGUUUUAANNNNNNNNNNNNNNNNNNNNNNNNNNNNNNNNNNNNNNNNNNNNNNNNNNNNNNNNNNNNNNNNNNNNNNNNNNNNNNNNNNNNNNNNNNNNNNNNNNNNUAUACCAUUCCCUUUGCCCUUCGGUGUGUUACUUGCCCGAGAUUUGAUCAUCGGUAUCCCUAUACCUAUUUCAAUCUCGUUAUCGGCAAGUCUCUUUACUCGUUCCAUAAUACAAGAUCCCGUGACUAACACUUUAGUCACAUUGCUUGCAAGGCUUAUAUGUGAUGUUGUAUUACCGAGUGGGCCCCGAGAUACCUCUCCGUCACACGGAGUGACAAAUCCCAGUCUUGAUCCACGCUAACUCAAUGGACACCUUCGGAGAUACGUGUAGAGCAUCUUUAUAGUCACCUAGUAACAUUGCGACGUUUGAUACACACAAGGUAUUCCUUCGGUGUCAGUGAGUUACAUGAUCUCAUGGUCAUAGGAAUGAAUACUUGACACGCAAGAAAAAAUAGAAAACAAAAUGACACGAUCACAUGCKURCGUUUAUAGUUUUGGGUCUUGUCCAUCACAUCAUUUCCUACCUAAUGAUGUGAUCCAGUCAUACAAGUGAACAACCUACUUGCAUUAGUCGGGUACUAAACGUAAAAAACCCUUUAACCCGAUUUACCCGUUUAGUAACUUCCCGUAAAACGUUCGGGGUACCUUUAACGGUACCCGUAAACGUUCGGGGUAAACGGGUUCCCUUUAAACGGUUAAGGGGGUUUAACCCGUUUUUUUUGGGUUUUUUACGUACCUUUAAAGNNNNNNNNNNNNNNNNNNNNNNNNNNNNNNNNNNNNNNNNNNNNNNNNNNNNNNNNNNNNNNNNNNNNNNNNNNNNNNNNNNNNNNNNNNNNNNNNNNNNUUUUUCAUGAACUGUAAAAAUAUUUUUUGCGGAUCGGCAUUAUACGAGGUCUUCUGGAGAUGCUCUUAGCGCAUCCUCAAAGCGAACCCUCAAAGCUUUGGUACACCGUGUCCGAACCAGUUUUGCUAACCUUUAUAAUUUAAUGGGACUUUAAACGUCUGCAGAUUAGUGUGGACCCCGAUUUUUGACAAAUUUAAAACAGAAUUGAGGAAGCUAUGGUGAAGUCGCGACAUGCAAUUGACCAAUAAAAAGCCCCUUCACGGUCCUCCUCUAUUUUCUCUCUAGUCACAUGCAUGACCACCCUCCUCCUCUCAACCGAACACAACAACACAAUAUCCCACUACAUGCAUAGUCCUCUUCUACUCUCUCUCUCUCUCUCUCUCCUUCAUUGAAUAUUAGUAAAUAAAUGACAAUAAAACAACUAUUGCGGUGUCCGGUUAGGGUCAGUGUURGAAUCGACCUUAAGUAAACGAAAUGUUAAUUACUAAGUAUUAUUUACUGUAGGAAGGUAAAGGGGUUGUUAGGGUAAUUUAUUUGAAAUGCGUAUACUCAUAUGACCAUAUGGGAUGCGGACGGAAAAAAGAAAGAAAGGNGAUAUUAUUUGGUUGCUCCGUCGAGAGGAGAGAAGCGUAGGGAAAACNNNNNNNNNNNNNNNNNNNNNNNNNNNNNNNNNNNNNNNNNNNNNNNNNNNNNNNNNNNNNNNNNNNNNNNNNNNNNNNNNNNNNNNNNNNNNNNNNNNNGGACACUAACAUAAAUAACAAACGACUCUAAACAAUAGGCGAUCAUGACAAAAAAAAUAANACGAGUUUAUUAGUWAGUUGUCUCUUAAWAGUGAAAUCUGAUUUCACCAGUGGAUUCUUGGGAUGAUUCUACCCCAAAAGCAUAUAUAAUACAUGGGUACUUGCUUGUAACAUGUAGGCACAAAGCUAGCUCGAAAAACAACAUAGAAUCCUAUAAGAUCAUAUGAGACAUCAUCACAUGUGAACAAAGCAUUAUAGUAUCUACUACUCCUACAUAUGCACACACACAAGGUUCAUACACCACCACAUCACCAUAAUGGCAAGCAUGAGGGGUUAGCCCUCAUGCACAAGUGCAUAGGUGCACUCAUGCCCACACACACACAUGCAUAGAACAACACUACACACAAAUAAUAURUCGCCCMCCCCACCACACACUACAACCUAAGAAGGUGGCACUACAACGAAGGGGACGGUACGUACCGUCCYUYGUCGMMCWAUGUYGYGACUAGUUGCGACCAACCGUAAUGUCCACAACCACCAANNNNNNNNNNNNNNNNNNNNNNNNNNNNNNNNNNNNNNNNNNNNNNNNNNNNNNNNNNNNNNNNNNNNNNNNNNNNNNNNNNNNNNNNNNNNNNNNNNNNUAUGAUUUUUUUUUCGAACGGAAGAAGAUCAGGGGGCCUAUGGGCCAAGCCAGGAGGGCUACAGGGAGCCCACAAGCCCCCACUCCGCCACCAGGGGGAGGCGGCGGUGGGCAGGCUUGUGGCCUCCCUGGCGCCCCCCUGACCUAGAUCUAGCGCCUAUAUAUUCCCUAAAAAUCAGAAAAAAAUCAAGGGAUCCACGAAAAUACUUUUCCGCCACCGCAAGCUUCCGUUUCCGUGAGAUCUCAUCUGGANACCCUUCCGGUGCCCUACCGAAGGGGACCUUGGAGUUGGAGGGCUUCUUCAUCAUCAUCAUCGCCCUCAAUGACUCGUGAGUAGUUCACUUCAKACCUACGGGUCCGUAGUUAGUAGCUAGAUGGGUUCUUCUCUCUCUUGGAUCUUCAAUACAAAGUUCUCCAUGAUCUUCAUGGAGAUCUAUCCGAUGUAAUCUUCUUUGGCGGUGUGUUUGUCGAGAUCCGAUGAAUUGUGGAUUUGUGAUCAGAUUAUCUAUGAUAUAUAUUUGAGUCUUUGCUGUAUUUCUUAUAUGCAUGAUUUGAUUAUCCUUGUAAGUCUCUCCGAGUUCUUUGGGUUUUGUUUUCGACCUAACUAGAUUCUAUUGUAUUUCUUGACCGUAAGUGGGGAAGUAAGUUGGUCGUUUUGGGGUUUUUUCGGGUUACCUUUACCAGUUGGUUGGGUACGUACCCCUUUUCCCCGAAGUCCGGAACGUAGGGUUACGGGGGACAAAACCGAACGGGNNNNNNNNNNNNNNNNNNNNNNNNNNNNNNNNNNNNNNNNNNNNNNNNNNNNNNNNNNNNNNNNNNNNNNNNNNNNNNNNNNNNNNNNNNNNNNNNNNNNAUGUUCAACCAUACCGCAGGGCAACACUCGAUACGGCUAUAAUGUGUGAGUAAGGAUUGUUGGCUUACCCCUACUUUUUAGCUCUCUACCAAUUUUUACAAGGAACAAAACUCACUUAACAACUAUGUGAAUAUUUUUAAUGUUAAGCAAUCCAAACUGACUAAAGAAUUGAUCUCGAAAGACUGACGCCUGAGAGUACUGUCAAGGCAUUCGUAGAGUCGUGUUGGACGAUUACCGGCUURUUUGAAUGCUCAAUGGUCAAUGCCAUACCUUGCAUGAUUGCGUGAAUUUCUGCAUCAAGUGCGUCAUUGCAAUGAAAGAUAUACUUGUAUGCAUCAAAGUUCGCGGAAUCAUCCUCAUUUCACAGAACCAUUCCAGCACAUGCACGCCCAUCAUGACUACGAAAAUAGAGCCUCAAACCAAGAAAAGGACAACACCAUCCAGCUGUUAGGAAAUAUGCCCUAGAGGACAAUAGAAUAAAAUAAGUUAAUUUAAUUAAUUAUUUCCUUCUUUACGUAAGAAUUAAUUACGUUUAUUUAUACCUAUGUCUAAUUAAGUUAGUUAUUAGUAAUAGAAAGUAACAAUAAAUACNNNNNNNNNNNNNNNNNNNNNNNNNNNNNNNNNNNNNNNNNNNNNNNNNNNNNNNNNNNNNNNNNNNNNNNNNNNNNNNNNNNNNNNNNNNNNNNNNNNNAGAGGGCGAGUAGCCCACGUGGUGGUGCUGUGGUAGCAGGGGACCGUAGGGUUCCGGUAAUACCAGGGACCCCGUUUUUUUUACCCCCUUUCGUUUCAUUUUUUUCCCUUACUUUCUUUUCUUUCGUUGCAGCAAGCAUGANAGUUUUCUUUUUAGAUAGWGUUUUGGUGUGUAUUAUCUGCUGCCUAGGAUACCAUAUAUAGGUGUGUGCAAGUGCUUGUGUAUGCACUAGUGUGUGUAGGUGGAGUGUGUAUGAGUGUGUGUAUGGUGUGUGGUUGUGUGUGUGUGUGUGCACAUGAAUGAGUUGUGCACACAUGUGCAUGUGGGUGUGUGUGUGCAUAUGGUUGCACAUGCACAUGUGCAAGAGGGCCUAGCCCCUCUUGAUGCACCUCUUGUAGUGUGUGUGGGUGGGGCACAUAUAUUUGUGUGUAUGUGUUCAUGCAUGUGUGUGUGUGGGCAUGAGUGCACCUAUGCUACUUGUGCAUGGACGGGUCCCUAACCCCGUCAGUUGUCCUUUCGACCCUAUUUAGUGGGUAGUGUUGGGUUGGGUUGGGUUUUAACGUUACGGUAAACCCGUUUUGGUUAGGGUUGGUGGUUCGGCCUUAAGUUAGUUAGGGUUUAAAGGGUAGGUUUAAGGGUAAACGGUUAAUUNNNNNNNNNNNNNNNNNNNNNNNNNNNNNNNNNNNNNNNNNNNNNNNNNNNNNNNNNNNNNNNNNNNNNNNNNNNNNNNNNNNNNNNNNNNNNNNNNNNNCAUCACUCUCUUCAUCGAGACAGCUGAUCUGAAGACACACGGUGCGUGAACCGCGUCACUCCUUCCACUUAGDDACGACAGCUUCGUAUCUGAAGAUGCAGGUGCGUGAACCGCGUCACUCCCUUCAUUAGAGACAGCUUGAUCUGAAGACACAGGUGCGUGAACCGCGUCACUCCCUUCAUUAGAGACAGCUUGAUCUGAAGAUGCAGGUGCGUGAACCGCGUCACUCCCUUCAUUAGAGACAGCUUGAUCCCAAGAUACAGGUGUGUUCCCUACAUCUACACUUGUAGCAGCAGCCUUAGGAACAUUUCCCCCCUCUUCUUGGCUACCAGCAUCAACAUCCAUGCUACAAUUGGUAUUGUCCUGGUCAUCUAAUUUGGAUGAAUCAACCUUGUCAAUGGCGCCCUCGUUCAUGGUAACGCUGUCCCCACUAUGAGCAUUAGAAGUAGUCUGUCCAACUGAAGCCCCAUCGUUAUCCACUAGAGUGUCAGGCAAUGKAGGAAUAGGACCUACAAGGUCUCCAUCUACAUCUGCAUUGUCCAUGUCCAUCUGAUCCCCCUUGAUUUCUUUGCUUCCUGCAGCUUCUUCAUCAGUAACCAUAUUCGUCUGUCCUGAUUCCUCUUCAAUGUCAUGAUUCUUCCUCUCAUUUUUCUUCCUCAGCAGCACGUAUUUUGAGCUGCAGUCUUCCUCCUC
rnacentral:lncRNA from 1 species